UUUAGAUCAUGUCUCUUCAUGAAAGCUUCCCUGGUCACUGGAGGUAAAGGUGUGUUGGCUUUCUCUUCUUGUCUCCUCUUUUGCAGCCCUAGUUACUCACCUGAAGUUUGCACAUGCUGUUCUUAUCCUGCUUGUCUUGACGUGUGUUGUUUUCCUUCUCCACCUAGAUUUUGAAUACAGUUGCAAAGCCUUUUUCUUAUAUUCCCCUGAAUCCUCAAAAUCAUUUAGCAGAGCUUGGUAUUAUAACAAAUAUUUUUUGGUAGAUAGCAAAUGUUAGUGUAGGGUUUGGUACAUAGCAAAUACUUUUUGACAGUUAAAUAAGUAGAAGUAUUAUCAUUUUCAGAGAAAGUUUGAAAAGGUCAUAGUAUCGAUAGUGAUUUCUUCUCCUGUAGUCUAUUCUUAGAAAAUAAAAUACAGUAGAUUAUGUGCAUGAUUUAAUUUCUCAAAUCUCUGUGAGGAUAGUCUAUAAAGAACUUAUUGAAUAAUUUAUGGUGGAUAUCAUUUAUUGCAGCAUAUAAAUUGAAUAAAGGGAGAUUAAGGGGUUUCAAUGUAUUUAUUUUUAAGCUUCUGAAUUAACUUUCUCAUGAUUUAGAGAUGCAUGUUGCAUUUUGAAGAACAUAGUAAUAGCAGGAAUGAGAAGCAUUGAAAAAGGACCAAAAUAUAUACACAAUAGUAUGAGGCCAAUAAUAGCACAACACACACCUGCUACCUUCUGUUAUAGUUUGGAUCUGAAAUGUCCCCCAAAGGCCUAUAUGUUAAAAGCUUUGUCCUCAGCAUGGCACUAUUGGAAGGUGGUAUAAACUUAAAGUGUGUGUGUGGGGUGCUAGUGGGAGAUUUCAGGCUCUAUGCAUGCAUGCUCUUGAAGGGAAUUGUGGGACACCAGUCCCUCUCUCUGUCUCUAUAUCUCUCUGUUUCUCUUUCUCUCUUUCUUAUCUCUCCUCCUCCACCAUGCAUUCUUGCCACAGGGCCGAAAUAAUGGAGCUAACUGGUCAUAAAUUGAGGCCUCCAAAACCAUGAAUCAAAAUAAAUCUUUUCUCUUUUUAAGUCAAUUAUCUAGGGUAUUUUGUUAUAGAAGCAGAUAGUUAACAUAGCUUACAGGCCACAUGGUUAAUGGUAAAAGUAGGACAGAGGAUGCUGACCCUUGGUUCUUUGAUAAGACUUCUUUUCGGACUUCUCUUUCAACACAGACUAAUCUCAAAACUGUCUUCUAGUCAUACUGGUGAGUAUACUGGUGAGUAUUUCUGCCUGUCAAAGCUGUCUUACACAAUUAACUUUGCCCCUGAUCCUUUGGAGACAUUUAAGUGAUGGUAGGGACAGAGAUCUUUCUGUUGCCACUUGUCUAUCAGCUCCUGUUGCUACUUUUAUUAGCUACAACCAGCCCCUUGCUAAUAUGAACAUUAUACAGAAGUAAAACACAUUUAUUGGAUAUGCAUACCAGGAUUUUUUAUCCUUUGACAACUUGGAUAUGAAAACCACUGCACCACCAACAAAAAUCUGUGUUUUCAAGGAGCUCACAGUGAUGAAGUCAGUUGUAUAUACAGGCCUUCAAUUUUUUUCCAUAGAAAUUUUCUCCCCUAUGGGAAGCUUGGUUAUCUUUGCUUAAGGCUUUAGUAUCAGGAGGGUCUAGCUUGACAGCUUGGCUUAUCCAUGUAGUAGCUAGUUAAUUAAUUGGGCCAGUUAAUUAAUCUCUUCAAUCUUUAUUAGCAUCAAUCCUAAAAUAAAGGUAGUGAUGCUUUUAUUCUAGGAUGGUGGUGAGAAUUAAAUGAGAAAAUGUAUUCAAUGCCCCUAGAGUAGGGUGUUAGACACAGUGAGUAAAAAAAACCUUCUCUUUGCAAAGACAAAGUUGAAGAGGAUGAUCUAUUUCCUGGGGCUGACUCAGACCUGUUGGCCCAAGGAUCCACUGUUUCUUUACAAUCCAUGCAGCAUCCUUCCACGGUUAGCCUUCCACCCACUCCACCCAUCCUCUCCCUCUAAAUUGCCAUCCACCCACCAUCAGAGGACAUGACUUUCCCUUUCUCCCACUCCACAUGGUUAUGCAAGAGUGAGGCUUCUGUAUCCCGGGAGCCCUAUACAGGCAAACUUGAGAAGAAGGAGUUAUUUCCAGCACCAAAUGAAGCAACUUGUCUCUCACUUCAUCUGUGAGUCAAGAAAUUUAUUGGUCAUAAGUUUUGAUAUCAUCUUCUUAUUUGGAAUAAACCCGAUAAGUGGUUCACUCUCUCUCUCUUGGCUUUAGCUUUCUUGUUUGUAAAAGAAAUGAUUGUGAAAUGAGAAGGCUGGGUUGCCUGUGAUGACUGGAGCUAUGAUGGUGAGAAGUACUGGAAAAGCAUUUGGCGGAACGAUCAUUGAGAAAUCCAGAGAUCUGGACUCAACCUCUCUAAAAGGGUGAACUCAGACUGGAGAUUUAAGUGUGGGAAGAAGAGGAAAGAAUUUAUGUUGUAAAAUAUCCUGACUUAAAUCCACUUUGCACUGCGAUGUUCCCUUUUUUCCCCUCAUUUGAUCUAAAGAUGAAGAGGAGGAAAAUAAUGACCUGAGAAAGGGAUGGGUGGAAGGAAUAACAGAAUGUCAUGGUGCUUAUAUUGGGGAUGGGUUUGUCAGAGCAACCAUCAGUUCUACCCCAGGACUUUCUUCCUUAGAUGAGCACCAAAAUCCAUUGCUUCUGGAUUUGUCUCCAGGAAGGAAAAUAUUCAAAAGUUAGAAGCUAAACACUGUAAUGAUUCACUACAACGAUUGUGCAAGAGUUUAUCUAAAAUCUCUGGAAUGUAUUUAGGUUUUCAGCCACUACCUUAUUUUUGGGCAAUGGUUUUCAUAAAGUAAAAAUUUUAUAAUUUUCUUGAAGGAAUCCAAAAAAUUGUAGUCUCUGAGAGGUGGCUGGAAUAUGAUUCCUAAGACUCUUCUUUCUCAACCUUUCCUUCUCACACAAAUUUAAUUUACUCGAUGUCAUUAUCUUAGAUUUCAAAAUAUGAAAAGUCUCAUUAUGUUCCUAGCCACUGUCUCCAGGAGAUAGUAUUCCAUUGACUUGCCUGAAGAAAGACAGCACAUUACAUAUAAUCAUGUGUUUCCUUAUUCCGGCCCCUUUUCCCACAACAAGAAACCACAGCGCCAGCGUGCCACUUACGCUGUCAUUCUAUUCACUUAAAAAUAAGUAGGCUUUUUGUCAACACCACUGUGACAGGCUAUAUAUAUAUAUAUAUAUAUAUAUAUAUAUAUAUAUACACACACACACACAUAUGUGUAUAUAUAUAUAUAUAUAUACACACACAUAUAUUUUAUAUAUGUAUAUAUGUUUUUUUUACCUGUGAAAACCAGAGAAAAUAUUUCUUAGUAUUAAAAAUAAGCUAGUCCCUAGGAAUUUAGACUUUCUAUAAAAUGCUGCUUCUGACACAAACCUCAUUUGCAAGAAGGAAACUGGAAAUGUGAUGUGACAGAGAUUGACAGGUUGGAAAAGGAAGUGUGGCAGGAGAAACUCUGCAUUCAAUGUUCAGCGGAGACUUCUUUGUGGGGAUUUACUGUCCAAUAGCUGGCUAACCAUGACAACCAGAACAACAGUGAUGUACAAUAAUUAAGCCUUUAAUUACCUUCUAGUCAUUUACAUGUGUUAAUUCACUGUGUCCCAGGAUUCAGGCUCUCGAGUCUCUGCUUUUACAAAGUUCUUACUCUUAUGAUCUCAUUUUAUGUGGAAAAAAAAAUAUAUAUAUAUAUAUAUAUAUUUAUAUAUUUCACCUCAUAGAAGUCUAGAGUAUUUGAUUGUUAUCAGAGGCUGGGAAGAGUGGUGGGGAGAGAAGUGUGGGGAGAGACUGAUUGAUGAGUAUUAAGUUAUAGUUACAGAGGAGUAAGAAGCUCUGGUGUGCUCUUGCACAAUACAGUGACUACAGGGCAUAAUUAUACACUGAAUACUUCAAAAAGCUAGGAGAAAGGGUUUUGAAUGUCUUUACCUUAAAAAAAUGAUGAAUGUUAAAGGGGACUGAUGUUUGUUCUGAUUUACACAUUGCAUGACAUAAGCAUGUAUCAAAACAGUACAUGGUACUUCUCCAUAAAUAUGUAUGAUUUUUAUAUUUUAGGUAUCAUUUAAAAUAAAUUAAUUUAUUUUAAAAAUUCCUCAUUACUGUGGUUAAGUAUUGGGAAGAAUUAGGGAAGAGCAUUCCAGAAAAAGGAAUGGCAGGUAGAAAUUUUGUAAGCAGGCAGGAAACCAGCUAUGUUGAGGAGCAAAAAUAGGUCCAGAGAGAUUUGUACAGAAAGAACUAGGGGAGCAGUUUGUAAGUAUGAAAAGUGUAACGGAGGCCACACGAAAGAGUUUUCAACUUAUUCUUUAGUCUUAUGACUUACCUUAUUCAUUAUUAUUACUUUUUUUAGAUAUUUGAAGAUAAACUUUCUUUUAAUUUGUAACCAGUGAAUAAUCUAUGCAUGCUAGGAAAACAGAUAUUGGAUUUUGUUUUCAACUUAUAACAUCUUAUUCUCAAUAUUAUAAAAAAAUCAUUGAAUGUAGUAGCUUUUUAGUAUUUGUAGUCUCUAAAAUAUCCAAGUAUAAAUUAUUCACCAGAUUCAAUAACAUCUUAUCUGAACUAGGCCUGUUUACGACUCCAGCAGACGGUUCCUAUUAGGUGCAUUUUUCCUCUUGAUCUUAAGAUUUUCAAAAAAGUAUAAACAUGUAACAUCUUUGAGCAAUUUGAGCAAUCACAGUUUUCUCUGCUAGUAAAGUGGAAUGGUGAUGGAGAAAAUGUCUUUUUAGCCAAAUAUAGACCCAAAUCUAGAUAAAUAUAACUUUAUUGCCCAUAACUUCUUUCUCAGGAAAACUUUCCCGUCUUCAACAGGAUGGUUUCAGUUUAAGUUUAUCCUUUUAACACAUUGAGGCAUUCCUUGGUGAUCAGAACUAGAAUAUCCAUUUACUAGGAAAUUGGCUUCCAGAUAUCAUCACCCUUAGUGAGGAAUGUCCACUCUAUAUACAAGCACAAAGCAUGUGGGUAGGUAGGCACUCAGCUUUUUAUCACCAUGACCAAAAUACAUGACAUGAACAAUUUAAAAGAGGAGAGUUUAUUUGGGGCUCAUGGUUUCAGUCUAUUGUCAAUUGACUUUAUUGCUUUGGGUCUGAAGUGAAGAAGAACUUCAUAGCAGAAGGGCAUGUUAGAAGAAAGCUGUUCAAAUCAUGGCAGCCAUGGAGCAGAGAGAGAAAGGGGUCAGGGACAAGUCAUAAAGGAGAUACUUCCUUCAACUGGGCCUAGUUUCUACCACCUCCUAGUAGACCAUUCAACUAUUAGUGGAUUAAUCCAAGAUGAGGUCAGAGUCCUCGUGAUUCAAUCAGUCCCUCAAAACCCCACCUUUAGGACGUUGCUGCACUGGGGACCAAGUCUUAAACACAUGUCUUUUUUUGCAAGGGAUAUUCUAUAUCCAAACCAUAACAAAAGCUGAUAUUUGAUUUUAGAGACUUAAUUUUUUAGAGCAGUUUUAGAUUCACACACACACACACACAAAAAGAAAAUGAGAGGAAGUUACAGUGAUUUUCCAUAUACUCCUCCUUACCUUCUGUGUGCACAGCUUUCGCCAAUACAACAUCCCACCCCCCUAGGAUGGUACAUUUGUUAGAAUUGAUGAGCCUACAUUGACACAGUGUAAUCACUCAAAGUCUGUCUUUCACCCUCAGAUCAUUCUUCCUGUUGUGCAUGGGUUUACACUAAUGUAUAAUGAUACAAAUGUACCACUAUGCUAUUAUACAGAAUAUAAUAAAAGUUCUCUGUGUUCUGACUUUUCCUUCCUUCCUCCUUCUUAACUCUGGCAACCACUGAUUUUUUAAAACUCUUCUCAUACUUUUGCCUUUUCCAGAAUGUCAUAAAAUUGAAAGCAUACAGUAUAUAACCUUUUCAGAUUGGCUUCUUCCACUUAGUAAUAUGCAUUUUAGUUUCCUUCAUCUGAUUCACAUCUAGAUAGUUCAUUUCUUUUUAGCACUGAAUGAAAUUCCAUUAUCUGUAUAUGCCAGAAUUGAUCCAUCACCUGCUGAAGGAUGUCUUGAUUACAUCCAAGUUUUGGCAGUUAUGAAUGGAUGCCAAACACUUAUAAGCAGGUUCCUGUGUGAACAUGAAUUUUCAACUCCUUUGGGAAAAUACCAAGGAGUGUGAUUGCUGGAUCAUAUGGAAAGAAGUUUUAGUUUUACAAGAAACAGCCAACUUAUCUUCUAUACUGGGUGUACCAUUUUGUAUUCUCACCAGAGCUCCUGUGCUCUGCAUCCUCAUCAGUAUUUGUUGCUGUCAGUGUCCUGGAUUUGGGCCAUUCUAAGAGGUGUUUCGUGGCUUGUACACUAGUGUCUCACCAUCGCUUCUCACUGCUACUGGAAUCUCACUGUUGUUUCAGUUUGCUUUUCCUUGAUGACAUAUAACAAGGAGCAACUAUUGAGCUGAAAAAAUACCAUCAUUUUAAAAAAGACUCUAGUGGGGGAAGAAGAGAAAUGGCUUUCAUAUUCCUGGGCAGAACUAAAGAGCCAAGUUCUCUUGGUGUGAUGGAUAUUUUGGAAGCUAUAAAUCUUUUGAGUCCUCUGUCAGAAGACAAAAAUCAAGGAUUGGGGAUGUAGUUCAGUAGUUGGGCACUUGCUUAGCCUGUGAGAGGCUCUGGGUUUAAUCCCUAGCACCACAAUAAAUAAGUGCAGAAAGAAAGAAUGAAUGAACGAACAAAAGAACAAAAGAAAGAAAGAAAUAAGAAAGAGAGGAAGAGAAAAAAAUAGAUAAGGGUAUUAACAACAUCUCUUAAAAGGUGGACCCAUUUGGACUAAGUGUUGAUUAUCUGAAUCAAGAAACAGAUGGGAGUGAGUAAAAGGGGAUGUUUCCUCAGUAGGUUGAUGUUUUUGGCAAGAGUACAGCCGAUGUUGCAAGACGGGAAACAGUCUCAAGAUGAAAAUCUCUUACAGGUUGGCAUUUGCCCAAAACUGAAUGUUGACAGGGAAGUGCAGGCACACCCAAAAACAUCCUGAUUAAAUUGCAGGUGUUGUGCAAAACCAAGUGGGAAGAGAAAGAGUUUUUAACUAGUAAGCAAAUUCUGGUAGUUGCCUUACAUCUGGUGUGCAUAACAAGUAAUAUUAUAACAUCUCAGGACACAAGAUAGUUAGGUUUUUGUUGUUCAGCAGAAUUUUGAGAAUCAUACACUAUUUGAUUUGUGUAAUAUUUUUCAGAUUAUAUUUUCUAAUGAAUUUUUUAGCAGAAAUAACUCCCUUCAAAUACAAUCUUAAAUGCUACUCUACUGUAAAGAAGUAGAGCAUAUUUUAUUAGUAAUAAUAACUUGAUGAAUUCAAACUGAACUAAUUUACUCAUUACAUAGGCAAUAAAUGAAAUCAGUGGUGUGUUUUCAUUUGAUUAACACAAAAUAUGGAAUCAGAGCUACUGUGACACUUUUGAUUUCACAUAAUCCUUAAAAUCUAAUUUAUUUUAGUAUUUUUACAUUGUAUAAAAAUUAUAAUUAGCCUUGCAAAUGAACUAUAAACAAGAUUUGUUUAGCAGAUUACCUUGUAACCUCAGGAUACUCUUGUAGAAGCCUUUAUUCUGAGACCCAUUAAAAAAUGAGUCAAACUGGAAAUAUAAGUUGGUGGUUUCCAAUGUGUUAACAUCUAGUACAUGGCUUUUUGGAGUGUUUAAAGUACUAUGAUAUUUAAAACAUUUUUUAAAAACCCUUGAAAUGCAAAUUGAGGCUAACAUCUGUUGAGAUCUUUCCACAAAAGCUCUUCCAAGCCCUGAAAAGGACACUAUUACUUCCUAGUGUGGUGUUGACCAUUAGUUCAAAUUUUUCGAGAACUGAAAAGUGUGUGAUCCAGCAAAAUAAACAAACUUAACCCUGUUAAAUAAAGUAAUUUACAUUCUUACUAGGAAAUGUCACAGUCGAGACUGAAAUCUGGGCUUCUUGACUUCUUUCCUGUUUGAUUUUCAUGGAGAAUAAAUUCAACACAAUAUAUAAUGCUUAACUAAAUGCCAAUUUUAUUCAUUCAGUACUUUAUUAGAACAUGACUUGUAGGCUAGUAUGCUACCUUUAUAAUAUAUCUUUCACCGGCUAGAUUAAAGUUGCUUGCCUAAAGAAACUGAGCUAUGUAUUUUUCUGUAGUAGCUCGCACAGAGUGCAUAUCGUAGGCAACUAAUCAUAUAUAUCACUUAUGCAUUUAAGAAGUAUGCAAAUUAUUCUCAAGUAGACAUCUAUUAUUAAUAAUUUACUUAUCUAGGCAUUCCAUUGAUGUUUCUAACUGCACCGUUUUCAGUGUAUAAAUUGAUGUAUCCAUAUUUUUUGUUUGAAACCUCAUGAACCAAUUUUAUGCACUAUUAAUUAAUAUUGAAUAUCCACUGUUUCUCCAGCACAGGGAUAAUUCUGUGGAUACAGUGGGUAGUCUUGUUUUGCAGCUAUUUAUGACAUUAUAAAUGCAAGAAACCAUUCAAUAAAUGGAUACUCAUAUUUGCUGAAGUUGUCAAUAAAUGGGGCCAUUAACAGGAUGGUUGGUAUAACCUUCUCUCAUUUGGAAUGGUAGCAAGUAGUAAUCUUUAGGUUUGGGUUUAUGUUGUGAGGAGAUCAGAGUUCCUUCUUCAGAAAUAUCCUGGAUUUGCUUGCCAGUAUUUCAUGCAUUACUCCUAUGUGUCCUUUCUGUUAUCCACCAAGUAAAAGACUUGUUUGGGUCUCUGAUUUUCAUGACAAGAUUUCAAUCUUAUUUUUUUUAAAGUGUUAGAAUGAACUAUAUAAAAUUGGCCUUUUGGGGUUGGGGUUGGGGCACCACAUAAAAAUAAAAUAAAGAUAUUGUGUCCACCUAAAACUAAAAUAUAAAUAUUUUAAAAAAUUGGCACUUUUAUAGACCAGAAAAUUUCAAAAAUUGACAAUUUCAUGUGUUUUUGCAUAGUUUAUGAAUCUUACUCAAAUCAAUCAGCUGUUUUCUGUCUGAAUCUUAUCAAAAGCUCUAUGGAUAAAACUAAUAGUAGAGAUUCAGUUUAAAGAAGGGAUCAACAAAGCAAAUGUUCGUAUUUUAAUGAUAUUAAACGAAUGUUCAUAGCAUAAAUGAUACACUGAUUUUCAUUCUUAAAUUGCUCUUUUAAAAAAAAUUUUUUGAGUUUCUAAUACGUUUUUUUUCUAGUUUGCACGUCUUUAUCGAGGACUUAAACAUUUUAAAUUCCGAAGUAUCAAAUUUAAGAAGUUCUUCUAUUUCUUGAGUGCUUCUUUGCUCAUCUGUUCUGACUGUUUCUUUGAACUCUUUGUCGAUUUCAUCUAGUGACUGAUAAUUCUUAUUUUUCUGGCAUGAGUUCCCCCAUUUCUUGGCUUGAAGUUUCCCUUUCUUGGUUUCCUCCCUUCUUUUCCUGGAAAGCAUCCCUAAAUAAGUUCCUGAGGAGAGGACAUGUGGAAAGUAAACAUUCUGAAUCUUUCUGUAUCUUAAAUGUUUUUACUUUACAUUAUAUUUGAUUGCUAAUUUGACUAGGUAUAGAACCAUAGGUUUCAAUUUUUUUUUUUUUAACAGUAAAGUCAUUUUUUGGUUACGACUAUUUUUUUUUUUAAAGAAAGUCUUAAUUUACUUCUUAAUCUAUUUAUAUUUUAUUUACAUUUGUAACUUUGAAAUGUCUUCAGUAUUUAAAAGAAAGAUUAAGAAUUCAUUGAUAUCAUUAUUAGGGGAAAAUACAAGCAAAUCUAAGAAAAGAAGGGAGAAAACAAAGUUGGAUAUAUUUUUAUAACUAGAUAGACUUUAUUCGCUGAUGAACUGGGUAGUGUUCUCUGAUUCACUUUCCUUUCUAUAUAAAUUUUGUUUUUCAUGGAGCAACAUUGUAUCAUUUCCUCCCUUUUGUUUAAUUUCAUGGGUACCUAUCAUAGUUCAACAUCAAACAUUUUGCCAGAAUUGUAAAACUUCUCCCAAUGUAUCCAAACACAUCAAACUAUCUUACAAGCUCAUUGAAAAGCAUUGAUGUCUCCCUCUUGGAAGGAUGGGGUUUGGUGCUGUCUAGUGCAGCAGAGUGGCCAUUGUAGUAUAUAUCCCUCACCAUCAUGGAAAACCCCUUCAACUCUCUCCUGAAUUAGAGAUUCUGUUUCCUUCUUUCUGCCUCCUUGUUCCUCUUUCUUGUUUACUUUCUCCAUCAGUUCCAGAGAAAGGGCACAUGACAUGACAUUUAUUUAUUUACUUGGAAUCUUUCAUGUCUGGAAUAUUCUUGGUCUGUUCUCACUCUUGAUGAAUAAUUCGGGCAUGGGGUUCAAUAUUGAAAGUCAUUUUCUCUUAGAAUUUUUUAAAGCAUUUCUCUACCACCAAAGCAUGACAUGGGUCUGAUUCUCUGCUUAUGUGUGUAAUCUAUUUUUCUUUCUGAUUUUGGAGGAUCUAAGACCUUUUCACUCUUGGUAUUUCAGAAGCUCAUGAUUUUGUGUCUGGGUGUAGAUUGACCAGUCUUCAUUGUAUUGAGAAUCGUGCAAGCUCAGUUCUUAUAAAUUUUCUUAGAUUAUUUCUUUGACAAAACUUGCCCAGUGUUUUCUUUGUUCUUUUCUUCUGAAGCAUCUGUUGGUGCUUAAAUGUUGGACAUUCUGGCCUGUGGUUCUGGUUCAUUCUUUAUCUUUUAUUUUACUUUCUGGAUUGCUCUCUUCCUUACCCUCUAAUCCUUCUACCACACUUUAACUUUUUUUUUGUAUCAUAUUUUUAAUAUCAAGAACUGCUCCUUGUCUUAAUAGUCUAUUAAAAAUAAUAUCUUGGGCUGGGGAUGUGGCUCAAGCGGUAGCGCGCUCGCCUGGCAUGCGAGCGGCCCGGGUUCGAUCCUCAGCACCACAUACAAACAAAGAUGUUGUGUCUGCCGAUAACUAAAAAAUAAAUAAAUAUUAAAAAUUAAAAAAAAAAUAUCUUGCCUUCCGUUCCAUAGAAGCAAUUAUUUAUCUCUGCUGGGGUAAUAAUUUAUUUGGGGAAGGGUUUUUCUGUCUCUACUUUCUCAUCUCUCCUGGUUUCUUUUAGUGAUUGUUUGGUGUGGUUGCUAUUGUUUGUUAGAAGUUUCCUCAAAUAUUUGUGCUCUCUGGGUCUUCUCUCAUGCACAACUUUGAUGCACCAGAAGGCUGACUGCGGACUCUGGUAAGCUUCAUUCUGGUAUGAUUGGAUUGGAUGUUUCACUGAAGGAUCUACAACCAUCAGUGUCUGUAGUUUUUUCUUACAGGUUGGUUUUCCUAAGAUUUCCUACCAAAGGGCCUCACUGGUUGCUGGUACAGAAAAUGGAGCCCUACUAUGCAGUAUGUCAGCCAUCAUUUCAAUGUUUCAUUUUCAGUAUGUCACUUCUAAUUUGACUUUCAUGAUGUAUGCUCCAAUCUCUGCUUCAAUCUCUAUAAAAAAGUAAUUUUUCUUGGGUGGUGAAAGGGAGGUCCCCAAGCAAGUUCGGAUUGCUAGAUCUGGGUGCAACUGGUUUUUGCUUUCUGAUUCAGAAGUUGCUUUUAAGUAUCUACCUGUUUCAGCCCAAUUCUUCCCUCCCCGUCCAGAGGUAAAAGAAGUCUUCGAUUUUCACACUUUCCAACAAUCUUUACAGUUGAUAAACUUAUUCCUUAUCCUACUCCGUUAUUGGUAUGUUUAAUUUUUCCCCUUUUUUAGUAAGUUCAUCAUCCCCACUUGUUGGCUUUAUAGAUUCUAAAGUUUUGAUAUUGUCAUUUUAUUCUCUCUCCUCAUAUUCUUUGUAGGUUUAUGUCUUUUUUUUCCAUCUCCCUAGUAUUAUUUUAAUGGAGUGUGGUAAGGGAAUGAUGAAGACAUAUGUUUAAAUUCCCCAUGUUUAACAGAAAUCUGUUUUAUUUUUAAUUCAACAUGUAAUAGCAUAUUAAAAUUGGGGAGGAUUUAAAAAAAACAAAAAUCACAUUAGUUCAACUAUUUUGCAAAUUCUUUAUUCAAAUGUUUACAUUUUUUUCCUGGUUUUACUUACAUCACACAUACUCCUAUUUACUUUGCAAUUUAAUAUUUCAUCAUACACAUUUUUAUAUUUUCCUCAGAGUAUCCGUAGUUAUAGCCUUAUAACAUUUCAUAAGUGUUGAUGUCAUAAUACUAGCUUAUCCAGUCUCUGAUACUGGGUUCUAAUUUUCCUCCAUCAUUUAUAAUAUUGAAGCAAACAUCUCUACUUUUUGACAUUUUUUGCUUCCUGCAGGAACAUUCCUUGCAUUGCAAUGGCUGGAUCCAAGAGGAAGAACAUCUUUAUGAGUCCUACUACAUAUUUCUGUAUUGAUUUUCCAAAACAUGCAUUCCAAAUUUUAAAAUGCAACGUAAAUUAUUUUUAUCAGCAACUUGGUCCUUCAGAGAUUGCUAUGGUUUGAAUCUGGACUGUUCACAGGUGAGGUGGCGCUUUUAGAUAAUGACUGGAUUGUAAGGGCUCUGACCUCAUCAGUCCAUUUGAUGGAUUAAUUCAUUGACAAGUGCAUGGACUACUGGGAGGUAGGACCCAGUUAGGGGUAGUAAGUCUAAUGGAGUGCCAGGAAAGGGCUUAACUGUCCCCCACCUCAGCCCCAGCACUCUCUCUACCAUAAUGUUUGGCCUCAUGUUGCAACACUUAUAAAAUGUUAUUGCUCUGGGCCAAUGGAGUAGGCUGAAUAUGGACUGAAACCUCUGAAACUGUGAGCCAAAAUAAACUUUUACUACUCUAAGUUGUUCUUGUCAGGUAUUUUGGUCACAGCCAUACAAAGCUGACUAACACAGAGAUCUUCCCUAAAUCACAGAUUUUUCUCAAGAGAAAUGAUUUCCUUAAACGAUCUAUGGUAUACAGAUAUGUCUGAGAAUCUGAUUAAGGCUAUGGGCCUCCUUCCCACUAAAGUGAAAAGCCUCAGCUGCAUGUUGACACUCUCACGAGUGCACUCAUAUCCCCAUCUUGACACAUAAUUUCAGGCCCCUAAUGAAUUCCUCUGAAUCCCAUUCUGUGGACUCUGGGGUAAGACCUCAAUGUUUAUAGAAAGCAACCUCCAGAGCUAUGAGCAUCAGAAUUCAUUAUAGUAGAGAAAUUCAAAUUAAUAUAAAGUGGAAUCGCUGAAUCUGAGGAUCUCAUAGUCUAGAUUUCUUGCUCUUUUCCUUGCCAUCAUGGGGAAAAAAUCUAGGGCCUUGGAUUUAUGAGGUUAAAUCUAGUGCCAUGGAGAAGGAUGAGGAGCCGAUUCUUCUAAUCUUGGCCCAUUUCCUUCCCCUUAACGUUGUUUUCCUUGCCCUGAAAUGAUUAUCUCGAAACAUGAUCACCAUAGAGGUUGGGCACACAAAGUUAAGCCAAAAAAAGAGCAAAAGGGGAAGUUUCAACAGGGAUGGGGUGUGAGAAAAUUGAAGAAAAAGAAUAGAAAGAAGAACAUGUGGAACUAAGAGGAGACUAUUCUGAAGUAUUGUACAAUCAAACAUGAUAAAACGCAUAUUGAGGAACUGAAAUUAGAACUCUUGGUAACCAUGGGAACAUCACAGUUAUGGCUCAACUGUUAGAAAAACAGUACUGGGAUUUCUUUGAAAUGGAAAUGAUUGUUUAGAUAAUGACACAUCUCUAGUAUGCGGACUGAUAGUAAAGUUCCAGUUUAAUAGGAAAUAGUGGGCCAAAAUGUGAAGAUCUUUUAAAACCCAGUAUUCCAAAACAUUUCUCUUUAAAAUAAAUGCAAUUAAGGAAAUUCUAUCAUUUGAAUUUUUUGCCACAUGAUUUCUUCAUGAUUUUAUAGCCACAAUAUUCCUAUAUUCCAUAGUUUUCCGUUUCCCUUCUCUUUAUAUUUGCUAUAUUUAGUAGUUUUUCAGUAGCUUGCUCCUGGAAAAAUGUCAUGUGAGGUUUCUAUUAUUCUAGUCUCCAGAUCCCAGAGUUAAUUUUAGAAAGAGAAUUUAGAAGUUAGAUGCAGAGUAAUCUUAAAAGAGAAAAUUUAUCUACUUAUAAGGAAGUACUGAGGUCUGUGGUAUUUUUUGCUAUGAAGAAACUUUACAAUAAUAAUAUAGCAAAAUAACAUUUAUUUCAAACUCAGCCAUACACUAGGAUCUAUGCUUUUUGAUUACAAAUAUAAACAGUUCUCCUGAUUUGUUUUUACCACAUUCCAUGUUUACAGAAGAUUAAACUAAGGUUUAGAGAGAGGUAAAGUAGUUGCUCUAAGGUUAUCAAAUCAGUAAAUGACCUUGGUGAUUAGACCCCUUGAACCCUCAAACUUUAUGCUCUUUCUAACUCUGUGUGGUCUAAUUCACAGUUGAUUUAUUUCAGUUUGUUAAGGUUGAGAACAUCUGUGUGUUGUUUAUUAUUCUCUGCAAAAUCAGGAAUUCUUACUGCUGAUCCCGAUGACUCUGGUAAACUCUUUCCCUAAAUCAUUAACCUCCUGAAUCUUCAUGGCUCAAUUUAAAAUGCUACAUACUUGCACUAAAUUUUUCCUUUAAAUGUUCAGUAGGGCCAUCUCUCCUUUCUGGAAUUUUCUGUGAAGUUCAAUUUUGCAUUUCUUUAGAACUUUCUCUUUUAUCAUAUCCACAUUUGGUUCAGCUACUUGACAAUGUCUUAUAUACACUAAAUGUCCACCGGACACCACCACCUCACUCAUUGUAUGUAGUUUGUUUUUGUUGAAUUACCUGAUUGUGUUGUUCUCUGUAGGUCUUCAAGUGAUGAGUAGACAGAUCAACAGAAGAUGAGAAUCUGCAGAAAUGUGGACAACAAUUAAAAAGACUAUAAUGUUUUAAUCUUUUCUCACCUUUUGAGGAAGUUUUUAUAGAAUAGGUAGAGGAUUGUGUAGAAAGGAUUUUUUUUUUUUUUUUUGGAAAAAGACAGAAAGAAAUUCCAUUAGUGUUCAAAAAGACACUGGGGGGAGUGGGAGGAAAAAACUGAACAAACAAAAAAGACAUCAGGCUUAGGCCUUCAUGCAACUGCCUGAAGAGGAGGAUUUUCUAAUAAAAAUGGACUUAUUUUCAGCAGCUCAGCACCUCAGGAAAGUAUAAGUGUAUCAAUGUUUAUAACAUCAAUGAUAAUCACAACCAAUAUGCACCUCAAACAUUUCAUUUCUAUUGAAGAUUUUCCAACUAUGCUCAGUGUCAGAUGCACUGUUUCCUUCUCUGUAUCUGGAAUAUUGUUUUUGCAGACCUGGCUACUUUCAGAUAAACCUGAUAUUUGAAAACUUAUUUAAGAUAAGACAGUCAUAUUCAACAUGGGUGCAUUUUCUCUGAAUCAAUGAUCAAACAUCUGAACAUCUUUUCUGAAAGUUCUAACAAUAACAGAUGACUUUAAAAGAAUAACAACGAUGGGUUGAGGUUGUGGCUCAGUAGUGGAGCACUUGCCUAGCAUGUGUGAGGCACUGGGUUCUAUCCUCAGCACCACAUAUAAGUAAAGGUCCAUCAACAUCUAAAAAAGAAUAACAAUGAUAAUUUUCAUAGCUUCCAUUUAGAUAAUAUUCUUUAUCUGAAAAAACAGAAACUCCCUAAACAAAAAGCAAGCCCUCCAACUUAACGAAAUUAGCACAAAAUGCUCAAGUAAUAUAUACUUAUUAAUGGUAAUAAUUGGUACUAUUAAUUUAGAGUGUCCAUAAUUUAAAGCUGAUGGUGAUAAUUUGAUAAACUCUUCUGUAUGACUUAAAUGAUUGGUGCCUUUAAGAAGUUAAAAGACUACCUCAUUUAAUGUUGGAUCAUAUGGAUUCAUUAAGCUCUCAUUGGAGCAAACCAGGGAGAUCUAAGUUUCUUCCUCUGCAAGUCUUAUCUGUCCAUCACCAGUUGCAAAAGGUUCAUAGUCUGGGCAGAAUUCUACAUGGAAAUGUAUUUUCAGUUAGAUAUGCAUCUGUGGGAGCCCUUGGAUUUUUCUUGGGUGAUGUUGCUGCCUCAAAUUGACAUAAUCUAUGCAUUUUUUUUCUGAAUUUUUAAUUCAGUGUUAGUUCUGUGAAAGGAAUUAGCUACUCUUAUAGUAUGUGUUGUGUUUGGAAGGUUUAUAAAUUACAAAAUGUGUGGAAAAUAAAUUAUACUUAAAUGCUGGUUACUAUCAUCAGGGUCUCACAUUUAUUCAUACCAUCAACUGAAUUUAAAUAAAGCAUUUAUUUUCUAUGACUAUGGUAGAUGGAGUGUUCUCCCCAUCUCUCUGCAAAGAUGUCUGUGUUCUCAUGCCUCGAGCUUGUGGAUAGGCUACCUUCUUUGGCAGGUGGUGGGCUCAACCUAAUCACAUUGAUCCUCAGAAGGGGUGAGCCCUUUCAAGAUAGGGAGAGAAAGAGGUUCCAGGGGAAUAUGCUAAGAAAGAUUCUCAUGAACCAAAGAAUGCCAGUCUUCUAUAGAAGUUAAAAAAGGACAUUAUUCUCCCUUAAGAUCUUUUCCUUUCUGGAGAGAAAAGAAGCAGCCCUGAUGAUUUUAGACCAGUAAGAUCCUGUGAGAUUUCUGACCUACAGAAUUGUACGAGAAUAAAUUUGUGUUGUUUGAAGCCACUCUAUUUGUAGCAAUUUGUUUGGGCUGUAGUAGAAAACAAAAUGCAGUGACUGAGCUACACUUUGCCCUGAGCCUCCAUCCCUUUAGCUGUCAGGGAAAGCACUGUACACUUAUGAAGUGUAAGUAUUUCAAUCCUUUCCUAUUUCAAAGGAGGUUGAGGUUGCUCCGUCACUGUUGGGUAAAAUGUAGCUCUUCCAGAUUUCCUGUCCUUUCUUCUGUUCUUUCAAAGAUGGUUCACAGACAAACAGGGUGGAAGGGGCCCCAUGUGUCUUCCUGGAAAUGUGGGAAAGUUGAUUUAUUUAUGAGCAGCCUCUGGUUAUGGAUCUGUUUCCAUUUAUCUUUGUUUGGUGGCCUCUGCUAAAUGUGUUGAUAUUAUAGCUGGUCCUACCUAACUUUUGUGUCUGCCCUGGGAGAGGGGUGAUUUGGGGAAAAGGAAAAUAAGAGUCACAGAGGAUCCUUUCUAGAGAGGAGAAAGAAGUAAAUAUGUAAUCUGUCCCUUGAGGCUUAACCUAGACCCUGCCAUUGCCUAUGGUCAUUGAGGCCCAAUCCAUAAUCAGCCUUGGACUCUGCUGUCUAAGUGGAUUCCUUUCACUCUGCCAUGGCUCAUUCCAUGUGAGAGCUAUUAACAUCUUCUGCAUGCUAUGCCCAAUCCACGGGAGGCUCUUCUAACAAAUAUAUGCCCUGAGUUUUGGGCCAUUUUGUGUCGAGAUUCCUGUUCCUAUCUGAUUGUACCUGAAGCAUUUUCCCCCGUCUGUGCACAGUGUUUUCCUGUGGUGUGCAAAACCAGGAAUCCGACCUUCUCACGCAGCUUCCCUUUGUUCUCUUCUUAAACUCUCUUGUAUUCAAAACUGUAGAUUUCUUCUCCUUCUUGACCUUGGAAGAUCCUUUCCCUGCAUCUUUCUUUCCUUUCUUCUAGGUACCAGCUUCACUUUUUAAAUCUUAGUGGGAGGGCUCUUUUCUUCACACUGGAAAAGACAUGCUAUUAUCUGAAAUGGCUCAAUUUCCCUCUUGAUGGAAGAGUUGCAGGACAACAACACAUUAGAAACUACAAAGACUGAAAAAUGCAAUGGUUUUGAGCGAGUGUUGGCAUAUGAUAGCCUGCAAGCUGGCUGAACUGUUUUCAUAAAUAAAGUUUUAUAGGGACGUAGCCAUAUCUACUCAUUUGCAUAUUGUCUCUUGUUGUUUUUGAGCUACAAUGGCAGAAUCGGAGAGUGCAAUAGAUACAUAUGGCCAGAAAAAUCUCAGAAUAUUUACUAUCUGGCCCUUUAAGAUAGGAGCUGCUAACCUCUAGUUUAGCAUAUUAAUUAUGUUUUGCUAUGUAACAAAUAACCCUCGAAUCUGGCGGCUUAAAACAACCAACAGUCAGUAUCUCAUAGUUUCUGUGCAUCAGAAACCGAGGCUUCUGUAACUGAGUGAGUCUGGUUCAGUCUCUUAGGAGACUGUGGUCAGGUCUGCAGUCCUUUCAAGGAUUGUUUUGGCUUGAAGAAACUAUUUCCGGCUGGCACAGGAGAUUGUUGGCACAUCUCAGCUUCUCAUGACUAGAAGCUUCUGUCUUGUGCCUGACAGGGCUCACCAUGGGGCUACUCCAUAUGAUGGUUGCUUGCCUGAGAGCAGGUGAUCCAAGGGGCAGGGUGGGGUAGAGAGAAGCAGUAGUCUUUUAUAACUAAAUUUAGAUGUGACAUCUUUUAACUUUUACCCCCAUUCAAUGUGUUAGAAGUGAGCACUAAGUCCAGCCCAUGUUCAAGGAGAGGAGAUUUCACAAGGGCUUGGAUACCAGGAGACUCAUCUUGGAACUAGCUAUUACAUUUAGUAACUCUUGCUCCCAAAUUCUACUUUCUUUUGUUUUUUUAAUGGUCUUCCGUCACUGUAGCUCUUGAAUUUAGGACUAUGAGUAGUGAAGUCCUGAAGUCACUUUAGUAAACAGCCUGAUUCUAAGACAGGCAUAAAGAUUGCUGGUCUGGUCAGCGUCUGUGAGCCAAACCCAGGCUGAGAACUUGAAAGUUGAGAAAUACUUGAGGAAACCCUUAGGACACACAGGGCAAGGAUUCAGAGAGAACAGAGACCAGUGGUCAGGACAAGGCUGGUUUGUGGCAAGGCAGGCAGUUAAAGGAGCACUUCAUCAACAAUGAGAACUUUUAUUUGUUAAUUCUUUAACAUUCCACAAGUAUUUAUUGAGUUCCUACUAAGGCCCAGGCACCACUGAAGGCUUUGUGAAUAUAACAACAAAUUGGCAAGAGAAGAUGGCCUCAGACAGGAAACCUCUUACAGCAGGUGCUUCCUUUGGAUGUUGACAGCCAACUAGCGACUUCCCAGGAUUUGACUCUUUUCAGUAUUUGUGGCAGAAGAUAUGUACAUACAAAGAUAAUAGGUAGAGUGAAGAGUGUGUUCAGGGAAAUAGAGGCAGGUCCUGGAAAUGUUUUAAUGCAUUUGCAGUCUCUCCCAGUUUCAAUGAACGUUUUAAGAAUGUUCUUUGUGACUCGAGAGGUGGAGGCAGGAGGAUCUUGAGUUUGCAGACAGCCUCAGCAACUUAGCAAGGCCCUAAGCAACUUAGGGAGACCCUGUCUCAACAGAAAAUAUAAGAAGGGUUGGGGAUGUGGGCAUGUAUCUCAGUGGUAAAGAACCUCUGGGGUCAAUCUUCAGUACAAAAAAAAAAAAAAGCUUCCCAAAAGAACAUGCUCUUUGCCCCAAAGUUAGAGUCCCUGCACAGUCUUAAAGGGUCUAUGAAAGCUAUCAACUGUUGAAAGUAUCCAUAUACUGCUUCAUGUUUGUAUUAACCUGUUUUAUUGAGCCAUUUUAAAAAAUAUAUUUUUGACUAGUCUCAAACAAUGUUUGUUUAAUAACUGGAUCUCAAAUUUAGGUAUAGAAGCCUCUACCCAAACCCAAGAAUUUCUCUUCCUAUUGAGAUGGAUGCAGAGAGGAAUGAUUGAGGGAAGAGGGGGCAUUUUCUUGGUUCAUCUAGGAGAUGUCAGAUUGAUGAGGAUGAGCUGUAAAGGCCUCUUUCCUAUGCUGACUGGGUGGAGAAGUACUCAAGGUGGCCUGCCUCUAGGACAGUGUAACAGUUUUUGAUCUGUAAAGUUAAUUUCCUCUAUCUGUGUAAUUGAAAGUCAGUUUUAGGAUCUCAUUAGGCCCAAAUAGUCCAUCGCCUGUACUUGCAGCCGUGGUUUAUUGGUGUGGAAUUUUUUAAUGGAUCUCUGGAAGAGACACUCUGGACUCUAUGGAGCUUAUAAGAAUGUUCAUUUCGGUGGUCUGCAUUUCAAAAAGGAGAGAUUUGGUGAAAAACAGAAAACCUUGGAAAUUUAUUGUUUGAAUGUGCAUCUGUGAGAAAAAUGGAAUUUUUUUUUUGAAAUUGACUCAUUUAUUUUUAAUUCAAAAAACUGCAAGGAUUUCUAUUCAUUGUUACUCUACAUAAAUAUUUUACCAUGUAUACACUUUCAGAGAGUAGAUAAGGAGGGGGAAAGUUCUGGCUCUGUAGUGGCCUGGCUCAAAUAUCCUUUACCUCUUUAUACCUUUUUACUUCUCUUUCUCUUUUUUUGUAAACUAAAAAAAUUAUUUGUUCUUUUUAGUUAUACAUGACAGUAGAUUGUAUUUUGACAUAUCAUACAUACAUGAAGUAUUGGAAAUGUAAUUUAAAUGAUAUAAUGGCUAAGCAAAAUAUUGAGUUAUACUAGAUAGCCACAGCCAUAGCACUCUAGCUUUGAGUGCUUUUUCUUGGAGAUUAUUCUAUUCAAUGCCAAUGGUAUUAGCACCAGAACAGACAUGAAGACCAUUGGUACAGAAUAGAAAACACAGAGACAAACCCACAUAAAUAUAGUUAUUCAUACUAGACAAAGGUGUCAAAAACGUACAUUGGAGAAAAGAUAACCUCUUCAACAAAUGGUUCUGGGAAAAGUUGGAAAUCCAUAUGCAGCAAAAUGAAAUUAAACCUCUAUCUCUCACCCUGCACAAAACUCAACUUAAAGUGGAUCAAGAACCUAUGCAUAAACCUGAGACCUUGCACCUACUUAGAAAAAGUAGGCCUGAAUUUCCAUUAUGUCAACUUAGGAACCAAAUCCCUCAAUAAGACUCCUAAAGCGUGAGAAGUAAAAUCAUGAAUCAAUAAAUGGUAUGGUCUAAAAAGCUUCCUCACUGCAAAUAAAACAAUCAAGAACAUGAAGAGAGAGCCUAUAGAAUGGGAGAAAACUUUUGUCACCUGCACCUCAGAUAGAACAUAAAUCUUUAGGAUAUAUAAAGAACUAAAAAAACUUCAUACCAGAAAACAAAAAACAAACAAACAAAUAAAAAACAAAAACCCAAAUAACUCAAUGAAUAAAUGGGCAAAGGAACCGAACAGAUACUUCACAGAAGAAGAAAUAUGAUCAAUCAACAAGCAUAAAAAAGUUCAACAUCUCUAGCAAAUUAAAAUGAAAUGCAAAUUAAAACUAUACUGAGAUUUCAUCUCACUCUUGGAAUGGCAAUUAUCAAGAAUAUAAGUAAUAAUAAAUGUUGUGAGGAUGUGGGGGAAAAAGGUACACUUCUACCUUGCUGGUGGAUCUGCAAACUGUAACAAUAACUCUGGAAAGCAGUAUGGAGAUUUCCUCAGAAAACUUGGAAUGGAACCACCAUUUGACCCAAUUGUACCAUUCCUCAGGGCAUAAUCAAAGGACUUAAAGUCAGCAUACUGUAGUGAUGCGGCCACAUCAAUAUUUAUAGCGACUCAAUUCAUAAUAGCUAAGAUAUGGAACCAACCUAGGUGCCCUUCAACAGAUGAAUGGAUAAAAAAUAUGUGGUAUAUAGAACCAUACACAAUGGAGUAUUACUUAGCCAUAAAGAAGAAUGAAAUUAUGGCAUUUGCCAGUAAAUAGAUCAAACAGGAGACUAUCAUGCUAAUAAGCCAAUCCCCCCAAAACCAAAGGCCAAAUGUUCUCUCUGAUAUGCAGAUGCUGACUCAUAAUGAGGGGAGAGGGGUGGUUCACUGGAUUGGAUAGGGGGAGUGGGUGGGGGAAUGGAAAUGGGAAAGGCAGUAGAAUGAAUCAGACAUAACUCUCCAAUGUUCAUAUAUGAAUACAGUGUAACUCCACAUCAGGUACAACCACAAAAAUGGGAAGUCAUACUCCAUGUAUAUAUGAUAUGUCAAAUACAUCCUACUGUCAUGUAUAACUCAAAAGAACAAAUAAAAAUAAAAGUAACGUUAAAAAGAAUAUUACUAGUAAAAACAAUUGAGAUAAAAUUAAAUAUUCAUAAAAAAAUUAUGCACAUAAAAAUAUUAAUAAUAUCUGAUGCCAGACACACAAAUGUCUCACACUUAUUUGGCAUUUAGAGGUGAAAGGUUGUGAAACACCAAAUACACCAGAAGAAAAUAGGCAAAGGGCUGAGUUUGAGUGAGUAAAGGAAGAUAAAUCAGAUGAGACUGCACACUGAUGACACUCACCAGGCUUGCUCAACAGCAGAAUCAGGCAAACAGCAGGAGAAAAAGGAAACAUUUUGGCCGAGUCAGCCACCCCCAGCAUCUCUCUUCAAACCCUCACUAAGAAAUCCCCAGCACUGGAUGAGUUAUUUCCUCUUUCUGCAUUAUGAGUACAAUGGGAAAAAACAGGCCCUAGGGCUGAAAUAUUGAAGUUAGGAAAGAGUGGCAUGAGUAAUAACACAAUAAUGAAUUAGACAGAAAGGCCUAGAGGCACACAUCUUCCAUUUAGACAGCUUGGAUUGAGUAAAGUCCAUUUUGGUAAAGUAGAUAUUGGACUGGCUUUCCCACCCCGUCCCCCUGCCCAAUUUUUUUUUUUUGUUGGUGCAUUAUAGUUGUCCAUAUUGAUGGGAUUUGUUGUUACAUAUUUGGACAUGCACACAAUGUAAUAAUAUAAUUUGGCCAAUAUCACUCCCCAGCACUUCCCUCUCCCUUCCCUACCCUCCCACCCUACCCCUUAGUCCCUUUCCUUUAUGAUCUCCCUUUAAUUUUUAGGAGAUACACCCUAAUUUUGGUUUCCUUUUAAUUCUCUAGUUUCCAUAUAAAAGAGAAAACAUAUGAUACUUAAUCUUCCGAGUUUGACUUAUUUUGCUUAACGUGAUGAUCUCUAGUUCCAGUGAGUUGUCUAUAAAUGACAUAAUUUCAUUUUUCUUUAUGACUGAAUAAAACACAAUUUUUUUUGAGUGUGUGUGUGUAUCACAUUUUCUUUAUCCAUUCAUCUGUUGAUGGACAUCAAGGCUGGUUCCAUACUUUGGCUACUGUGAAUUGUGCUACUAUAAACAUGGGUAUGCAUGCAUCAUUGUAGUAAGAUGGCUUUAAUUCUUCAGUCAAGAAGUGAUGCAGUUAGGUUACAUGGUAGUUCCAACUGUUAAUGAUAUUAAACAUUAUUAAUGUAUUUAUCAGCCAUUUGGAUUUCUUAUUUUGAAAAGUGUCUGUUUAGUUAAUUUGGCCAUUUAUUAAUGGGAUUAUUUGAUUUUUUUUGUGUGUGUACAUUUUUUGAGCUCUUUGUAUAUCCUAGAUAUUAGUCCUCUGUCAGAAGAGUAGCUAGCAAAGAUUUUUCUUGCAUUCCGUGGGUCCUCUCUUCACAUUCUUAAUUGUUUCCUUUGCUGUACAGAAGCUUUUUAAUUUGAUGCUGACCCAUUUAUUAAUUCUUGGCAUUAUUUCCUGAACUUUAGGGGUCCUACUGAGAAAGUCGUUGCCUGUGCCUAAAAGCUGGAGUGCUGACUCUAUAUUUAUUUCUGGAAGUUGCAUGGUUUGUGGUGUAGUUAUGAGGUCUUUGAUUCAUUUUGGGUUGAUUUUUGUGCAGGGUGUGAGAUAGGGUCUAGUUCCAUUCUUCUACAUGUGGAUAACAAGUUGUUCCAGCAUCAUUUGUUAAAAGACUGUCUUUCUCUAAUGUGUGUUUUUGGCACUUUUGUCAAGGAUCUGAUGAUUGUACCUGCAUCGGUUUGUCUCUGUCUUCUAUUCUGUGACAUUGAUCUAUGUGUCUGUUUUUAUGCCAGCUAGUUAUUGUAGCUCUGUAGUACAAUUUGAAGUCAGAUAUUGCCCUUUUAGGCUUAAAAUUGCUUUGGUUAUUCUUAAUUGUUUAUUCUUCCAAAUGAAUUUUAGGACUGUUUUUUUCUGUGAAAUUCUAUGAAGAAUGUCAUUAGUACUUUGAUGAGAAUUGCAUUGAAACUGUAAAUUGCUUUUGGUAGUAUGGACAUUUUAACAAUAUUCAUUCUGCCUAUUUAUGACCAUGAGAGGUCUUUCCAUCUUCUGAAGUCUUCUUCCAUGUUUUAUAGUUUUCAUUGUAGAAGUUCACCUUCUUGGUUAGAUUUAUCCUUACAUAUUUUAUUGAUUUUUUUUAAAGGUUUUUGUGAAUGGAUUGUUUUCCUGAUUUCUUUCUCAGCAGAUUUGUUGUUGGCACAUAGGAAAGCUAUUGACUUGUAUAUGUUGAUUUUAUAACCUGCUACUUUGCCAAAUUUGUUUAGUAGCUGUAGCAGUCUUCGGUGGCGUUUUUGGAUCUUUUAGGUAUAAGGAUCAAAUCAUCUGCAAACAGUGAUAAUUUGACUUCCUCUUUUCCUAUUUAUAUCUCUUUUAUUUCCUUCUCUUGCCUAAUUGCUCUGGCUAGAAUUUCUAUCAUUAUAUUAAAUAGGGAUAAUUAGAGUGGACAUCCUUGUCUUGUCCCAAAUUUAAAGGAAAUUCUUUUCAGUUUUUCUCCAUUUACUAUGAGGUUGGUUUUGAGAUUUUCAUAUACUGCCUUUAUGAUGUAGGUUUCUUUAUCCCUAGUUUCUUCCGUGUGUGUGUGUUUUUUUUUUAAUCAUGAAAGAGUGCUGAAUUUUGUCAAAGGCCUUCUCUGCAUCUAUUGAAAUGACUAAGUGAUUUUUGUCCUUAAUUCUGUUAAUGUGAUGAGUUACAGUUAUUGAUUUGCAUUAUUAAACCAUCUUCGCAUCUCUGCAACAAACCAGCUAGGUCUUGGUGUGCAGUCUUUUUAAUAUGUUAUUAAACACAAGUUGCUAAUAUUUUAUUGAGUAUUUUUACAUCUAAGUUCAUCAGGGAUAUUGGUCUGUAGUUUCCUUUCCUUGAUGUAAGAUAUUGGACUAUUUUCAAAGUUGUUUUCAUCUCUUGUCCAGGAUGCUCCUUUCCUCUUGGCUUUUCUCAUUAGCACCUCCUGGCUGGGUUCAAAAGCCACGGCACCUCCUUCCUCCCAGUCUAUAGCCCAGCCACAUUUUCUUUAGAUAAAAAUGCUUUUUUCAAAGCCCAACUUAAUAUCCAUUUCCUCUAAGAAAACUUCUGAAUUCCUCCAGUCCAGUCCAAAAGGAUUUUCUCUUUUUUUUUCUUCUUAAUGAAUAUCUUUAGCCCUUUAUUAAAUAGGUCACACCGGCCUCUGUAAGUGACCUUUACCUACAAGUUAUUUUUACAUUAUGUCUUCCUUAUUAAGUUAAAAAUGUGAGGGCAAAAGGCUUGCCAUGAACAUCUUUAUAUUUUCUGUAAAUAUUACAGAAAUAUUUUAAUAUUUAAAAUAUUUUAAUAAAUAAUUAAUAUCUACUCAGCAAUACGAGGGGUAUAAUAAGUCAAUAAAAGGAGUCACUAUUUAUUGAUUUGAAGUGUAAACUCUUAAUAAUUUGUGAGAGGAAUUAGGAAUUAAGGUAAAAGUACCCUGUUUCUUCUGGAUAAAACUAAUCAGAUUCUAUCUUGUUUUGCUUCUUUGAAGAAUUGUGAUGAAAUCAAGAAAUCUAUUUGUUGUUUUUAAAAAUCUCGAGGAAGCUAUUUUAUUUUAUUUAGAAUUCUUUGACUUAACAAAACAAAACAAAACAAAAAGGUAAUUGAUUCAACCUAUCUUUGAGUUCCUUGGAGGCAUGGGGCCAUGCGGUUACUGUGUUGACUGCAGCUUAUCCUUGUGAUAGGUUCUGGAAUAUUUAAAAUUUUCCCCCUCUGCAGAGAAAUAUCCUAUUUAAACGGAGCCUGGGGGAAAAAAAAUAAGCAGAACGACCUCGUUUUUUUGCCCUUCCUGCUCCCUCUCAAGCCUCUCACACUGUACUCUCUAGGCCUAUAGGCAACACUUGCGAGAUGUGUCUUCCUUUCCUAAACUCUUUGCAAUUAAGUGGCUUUGAUCUUCAUCACACUUGAGAAACAGUUUUUGAAAAGGUCAGUAGUGACUUCCUUUUUGUCAAAAUCUCUCAGCAGCAUUUGCAGUUGAUCACCUCCUCCUUGUGACUCUCCACAGCCUUGGCUUUGACCUUGUUCCUCUCUAGUUUUUGUCCUAGGGGGAGGGAGAAUUAAUUUGUUAAACACACAUCCUGGUGCUGGGAGUUUUCUCAGUGCCGUUGUAUUUGAGCCUAUGUCAGCCCUUGGAGGCAGGGGACAUUCUAGUACACCAUCACUGCAGUAUGAAUUUGUUUUGUUUCCUUGGUUAAUUAUUUCCUACAGGUGGGGCUCCUGGGGCUCAGCUGGUUAUGUUAAUUGACAGUGGAUUCUACCUAUGAACUCCACUGCCUCUCUUGUCGCCCACAGUGCCUGACACAGCAAGUCUUCCCUGGCUUAAUAAAUAUUUGUUGACUGAUUGUAGAUGAAAGUGCCCCGACCUUGAAAAGGAAGACCGACAGGAACAUGGAUCAGGGUUUGGUUGAAUAUCUUUUUGUUUCUCAAAGUGCUUGUAGAGAGCAGGGAGCAGCGCUGUCAGUCAUGUAUCACCUUAUAAGAAGAAGUAACUCAUUCAUAAGAAAAUCACAUGGGACAUUAAUCUAGAAAACCAUUAGCCACCAUCACGUGUAGGCCAGAGCAGACUUCCUUCUGACCAUAGGAGAACCCUCAUCGGGAAGUGACUGAACGAACCCUGAGGUCUCUGUCUGAAUUAGAUCAGGGCGAUUAUAUUUAUUAUCGACUCUGGGCAACUUUGCCCAGUUUCUGCGUCAGAUGCGCUGAAUUUGUACUUUCUGUCUGACACACAGACACUUUAUCUCUCAUUUCCAUGUGAGAUUAAGGCUGGCCGUGGUGAGAUGGGAGCGUGGGGGCAGUGCUGGUGAAGUUAGUCUGUGUCACCCUCUCUGUUUCCUCUUACAGUCCCUUUAUCCCCUUUCAGUUCCUCCUUUCCCACCAGGUGCAGCUGGGUUUUUGCUUCCCCAUUGACUCUCUCUGGCGUAGGGGAAGUGAUGGGAACUAACUUUUGCGUGUGUGCCUACUGUGAAGCAGGCUCAGGAUUGGAUAUUCUCGAGUCACUGCUGCAUCUAGAGUCUCUUGGUAACUCUGUAAGGCAGCUUUUGCUAUUUCUAUAUCACAGAUUGAAACUGAGGUUUUGAGAGGGUAGGAAAUUUGUUCAAGUCUCACAGCUUAUAUAGACAAAGGUGGGAUUUGAAGCUUGACCUGACUUCCAAACAUCUGGAUUCCCCAUGUUGUAUAAGCCUGUCUUCUCAGAAGGGAAGAAAUGAGAUAAAACGGUUUAACAGCUUUGUAGCUUAUGACAGGGAGAACAAUGCUCUUCCAAUAAAACCCCAGCAAAAUUUUGCCAUGGUUAGCAGGCUGAAGCAUUCAGGGUGGACGGGGCAGUAUCUUGUCUGUUGGUACAUGUGACUGAUUGGGGGAUAGGAUCCUCUUGUGUUUACAUGUGCCCCAUAGCAUUGUAGCUGACCUCUUCAUGUAAGCAUCUUUGGCCACUUGUGCUCCAUUACCUAGCCUUCAGCACUUAGAGACUUUUUUUUUUUCUUUGAUGGAUGUUCUUUCAUUAGUCCUGGGAAAAUGAAUUUAGUGAGCUAAGCCUUCCCUUUUAAUCAAAGGAAAUGCCUACUUUAAAAUAAGGAGCAAAACUCUCCCAUGAGCACUAAGUUCAUUGAUCAUGGGGCUGUGUCCAGGAUCCAGAUGAAUGCCUUUGAGUCAUGUCACAUGACUCAACUGUGAGCUUGCUUGAUGCUGCCUGUUAGGAGUUUAGGAGCUUCUGUGGGGCAAGGAUCGUGGCAGGAACAGUACAUGGUUGAAAAUGAGCACACUUACAAUAUUCUAAGAAUAAUUUAAAGAACUGUGAUUAGGUCUGGAUCCUCAAAAUAAACCUAAGUUUCGUGGUGAUGAUUUGUUUAUUCUUACAUUUAAAUAUAUUUAGGUUAACUUACUGUAGUUAGCACUUUAAGAAAACAAGCAAAUCAAAUGCUGAUCAUUCAUUUUUAGUCCUAAUUUCCAUAAUAAAAAAUCAUAUAAUUGAAUAAUUGACAUUUAAAUUUAUGUAUGACUUUUAUAAUUUUAUCAUAAGAUGGGUGAUUGGGAGGGGAGGGGGGAUAGGAAGGGGAUGGGAAGGACAGCAGAAUACAACAGACACUAGUAUGGCAGUAUGUAUAAAUGUGGCUGUAUAACCAAUGUGAUCCUGCAAUUUGUACACGUGGGAAAAAUAAGAAUUCAUACCCCAUUUGAAUCAAAUGUAUGAUAUAUGAUAUGUCAAGAUCAUUGUAAUGUUUUGAGCAACUAAUAAAAAAAUAGUUAAGAAUAGAUUUCACAAAUGUUUCCUUUUAAUAUAAUCAAGAUUUAAAAAGGAAGUUAUUUUAAAUUUAGAUAUGGAUAUCAGGUUAAUAUAGGUCUUUGCCAUGAUUAAAAUAUCUAGCUCCACAGUCUUUUGAAUACUUACUCUUAUUUGAUUUUAUACAUGUAUAUUUAAAAAAUUAUUUUGUAAAAAUUUUAAAAGGUAAUAAAAUUAUAUUAUCUGUGAGAAAAAAAUAAGAUGGGUGAUUUUUGCAUUAAGGACUUUGUCAGUUUUCCUAAGGGCUUCUUUUAAUUAUUAUUUUUUAUUCAAUUCUAUUUUUCUUUCUUUCUUUCUUUCUUUUUUUUUUUUUGCUAUGCCUGUUACAUCAGCAUCUUUACUGAUUUCCUACUCACUAAUUUAUUGAUAUUAAUCUAUCUCUGUCUGCUCCUAUUUGGUGUGUUGGGGUGUGUGUGAGAGAGAGAGAGCGAGUGAGAGGGAGGGGAUCUAAGAAAGAUUCUCAACAUCACUUUCAUCAACCAGUGGAAUAAAAAAUUUUAAAUCCAGAGUUCUGCUGGAAGACUUCUAAUUAUCUCUAUUGUGAAGCCUUUUAAGAGAUCUGAGAGGUGGUGCAAUUUUGAUUCGAGGUGGGAUAAGGAGAUGGUAAGAUCAAAUGGCACUUAAGUUCCAGGCCUGUCAUAUUCUUGUGUUAUGCUUCUCAAAAAAGCAGGGGGUUCAUUUAGCUUCCAUUGACUUCACUACUGAUAUCUUUGUUUCUUUAAACCUCAUUUAUAAUUAUAUUCUAUAUAAAUUUAAUUAAUAAGAAUCAGUUUUUGUCCUAGCAUUUAGACAAAGAGAACAGGUUAUUUAAACAAACAAAACAGGUUAUUGGCAAAGGAUAGGCCUGCUUAUUCAUCUCUCCUUUCUCCCCUACAGAAAUAGGUAUGUCCACAUAUUCGAAUAACAACAUUAUUUGCAAAGUAUAGAGGAAUUUCAGAGAGAGGACAAUACUUGCUUUUUCCUGUUGCUGCUUUAACACGCUGUCAACUAUGUAAAACAAGAUUUUUUCCUUUCUCUUAUUAAAGCUGGAUGAGGGAAUUUGGUUAAUUCUGUCUCUCUUUCCACUAGAUUGCCAACUCCUUGACAAAACUCGUCUUUUUUUGUUCUGUGUCCCCAGGAUCUCACUUAGGAACUCCAUUGAUGUCUGUUAUAUUUGUCUUUAAUUGAUGUAGAAAUGAAGAACCUCACUUAGAAGGAAGGAAAUGGUAAAUGGUUGUGAUGGGAAUGAAGCGAGCUGUACUGACUCAGUGAGGACAGGAAAUAAAACACGGUUGACUGGCAAAAAGAAGCCAGGACAGAGGGUAGUGUGUUAUGAAAGGGGCAGAGGCCAGAGUGGAUGGCUAUUCCCCUGGAAAAGUGAGCAAGCUAGAACAGGCUGGCCUGAGCACAUGCAUGCUUGUAAACAGACUGCUAGUGACAGGCCACAACCAGCCUCUAUAGUCACUUUCCAUACUGCGUCCUAAUAGGAAAUGACACUCUCUCAGCAAGUGUCAAUAUGACAUUUAGUCUGUGAUUAAUACAAGGCGAUGGCAUCUCCUUAAAAAUGGAGAUUUCCAAUGACCAUACCAGAAACUUCCAGUCACUAACAGAGGAAGGAGACAUUUUUUGGAAAACAUGUUUCUGUUGAAUGCACUCAUAUAGCUGAGAAGGAAAGUUAAUUAAACAGAUGAGAAACUUCCUGAGAGGCAUUGGAUCAAACCUUAUUUCCUCCAAAAGAAGCAUGAAAACCGUAAUAACUGGCAUUCACUGUUUGGGGACUUGGCCAUCCUUGGUUUGCUUUUACUUGGUGGGAAGAGAAGAAGGUGAUACCCCUGCUUUUGGGUUGGGUUCACUGAGUCACCAACUUUGGUUUUCUCUUAUGCAGAACGUGUCUUAAAUUGAGCUCCAGGUGGUCUGAGUGGGGUCUGCCUUGAUACAGUCACUGUGCCCAAAAGGACAUUCUCAGCCAUCUCUCUCUGCUUGUAGUAGCUCAGGAAACAGAAACAAAUUUUGAUUUCAGUGAAUCCAAACUUUAUUAGCAAAGGAGAUAUGAAGCAUGAAGGAGAUGAAAGCAUGAAGCUCCUGCCAAGGCCACACACAUCUGUUAACAUUCUUUUGAUUGCUUCCCAUUUGGCUUAUUCUUGCCACCUCUGUCUCUCCAUCUCAGAGUAUAUAAGUAAGAUUUCAUUGCACUGGAACUUUGUGCAUUAUCUCGUCAUCAUUAGAGAGCUAACACUGACUUAGAAGAUCGGAGAGUUGAAAGCUCUCUCUGAAGGGUAUGAACCUUCACUUCCAUUUCUCAGUGUUUCUGCUUCUCUGAAAUAGGGAAGAGUGUAGGUCUUCGUUUCCUAGUGCCCCACUUGUCUUAUCAUUAUUAUUAUUUGUACUUUGCAAAACUGAGUCACUGAAACCUAUUUCCUAUUUCACCACCCUGCAGACAUGGUGUCAUUAUUAAGAAAAGAAACCUUUUUAUUCUUCGUGGGUUAUCAGGAAUAUCUAAGUUGUAGAUCUCUAUCACAGGACAUUAGUUUGUGAUAUAAUAGCUGUUCUUAAGAGUUGCUCUUUCAGUCUUCAAAGUUAGUAACUAUUGGGCCAACUGAAGUUCAUAAAAGGUAAAUCAAGUACCAGAUUUCACUUAAAUACAUAUGAAAGAUGAAUAAAGAGAAAUUGUAACCAUGCUCCUUUUCAAUUGGAAAUUAUUGGAGGAUUUAAAAAAUAUAGAGUGCUGAGAGCAAAAUAUCAAUGAAAACGAGAUUUGGAUAGCUACUACAUAACACACUGCAGGCUGAUGCAGGAAAUAGAAACCCCNNNNNNNNNNNNNNNNNNNNNNNNNNNNNNNNNNNNNNNNNNNNNNNNNNNNNNNNNNNNNNNNNNNNNNNNNNNNNNNNNNNNNNNNNNNNNNNNNNNNNNNNNNNNNNNNNNNNNNNNNNNNNNNNNNNNNNNNNNNNNNNNNNNNNNNNNNNNNNNNNNNNNNNNNNNNNNNNNNNNNNNNNNNNNNNNNNNNNNNNNNNNNNNNNNNNNNNNNNNNNNNNNNNNNNNNNNNNNNNNNNNNNNNNNNNNNNNNNNNNNNNNNNNNNNNNNNNNNNNNNNNNNNNNNNNNNNNNNNNNNNNNNNNNNNNNNNNNNNNNNNNNNNNNNNNNNNNNNNNNNNNNNNNNNNNNNNNNNNNNNNNNNNNNNNNNNNNNNNNNNNNNNNNNNNNNNNNNNNNNNNNNNNNNNNNNNNNNNNNNNNNNNNNNNNNNNNNNNNNNNNNNNNNNNNNNNNNNNNNNNNNNNNNNNNNNNNNNNNNNNNNNNNNNNNNNNNNNNNNNNNNNNNNNNNNNNNNNNNNNNNNNNNNNNNNNNNNNNNNNNNNNNNNNNNNNNNNNNNNNNNNNNNNNNNNNNNNNNNNNNNNNNNNNNNNNNNNNNNNNNNNNNNNNNNNNNNNNNNNNNNNNNNNNNNNNNNNNNNNNNNNNNNNNNNNNNNNNNNNNNNNNNNNNNNNNNNNNNNNNNNNNNNNNNNNNNNNNNNNNNNNNNNNNNNNNNNNNNNNNNNNNNNNNNNNNNNNNNNNNNNNNNNNNNNNNNNNNNNNNNNNNNNNNNNNNNNNNNNNNNNNNNNNNNNNNNNNNNNNNNNNNNNNNNNNNNNNNNNNNNNNNNNNNNNNNNNNNNNNNNNNNNNNNNNNNNNNNNNNNNNNNNNNNNNNNNNNNNNNNNNNNNNNNNNNNNNNNNNNNNNNNNNNNNNNNNNNNNNNNNNNNNNNNNNNNNNNNNNNNNNNNNNNNNNNNNNNNNNNNNNNNNNNNNNNNNNNNNNNNNNNNNNNNNNNNNNNNNNNNNNNNNNNNNNNNNNNNNNNNNNNNNNNNNNNNNNNNNNNNNNNNNNNNNNNNNNNNNNNNNNNNNNNNNNNNNNNNNNNNNNNNNNNNNNNNNNNNNNNNNNNNNNNNNNNNNNNNNNNNNNNNNNNNNNNNNNNNNNNNNNNNNNNNNNNNNNNNNNNNNNNNNNNNNNNNNNNNNNNNNNNNNNNNNNNNNNNNNNNNNNNNNNNNNNNNNNNNNNNNNNNNNNNNNNNNNNNNNNNNNNNNNNNNNNNNNNNNNNNNNNNNNNNNNNNNNNNNNNNNNNNNNNNNNNNNNNNNNNNNNNNNNNNNNNNNNNNNNNNNNNNNNNNGUGUGUGUGUGUGUGUGUGUGUGUGUGUGUGUGUUGGGGAUAUUGGAUUGGGAGUAGUACAGAAGGGAGGAGCUGUAGGAGUUGGCUCAUUCUUCACCAUGAUUCCAGAUCAGAACUAGAUGUUAGAGGCAUGAAACCAACAGAGCUGUGCUUUCCCAAAUACUGAUACUGCCACUGUACUCUUCCCACUGAGAAGAUUUGAAUCACCAACCUUCUUUAUGUCUCUUGUUACUAUUGUAAAAAAAAAAUGCUUGGUUCACCAAAGAUUUAUUAAGCAGUGUAUAAGUGUAUAUUCAUGUUCAAGAUUUUUUUUUACAUGUAGAUCAAUUCUAGAUCUUGUUUAUUUUUUUUUAUUUUUUAUAUUUUGGUGGUGCUGGGAAUUGAACCCAGGCCUUAUGCAUGUAAGACAAGCACUCUACCAAUUGAGCUAUAUCCACAGCCCUAGAGUUUUUAAUUAAGUAAAAAAUUUGGAAGUAGAUUAAGAGGUCUCAUAGGAACAGUCCAGGCUCCUAAGGACCAAAGUCUGGGAUUUUAGAAUGGGCCAUCAUUCUGGAACAGUGAGCUUGCAAACAUUAUUGUAUAGAUGCCCACGAUAUCCACGAAUGGAGAUUUUUGUCAAAUUAUUUUAUUUUAUUUUUUGCCAGAUUUGAUAUGCAGUGAGAAAGCAGAGGAAAAAGACCUGAAAAUUUAGAUGGGACUGCUACACAUGUAAAUAUAAAAUAGUUUGAUAAGACAUAAACAUUGCAGCAUCAAAAGAUUGUGUCCACUGGAGGGGCAAUGGUAGACAAUGACAGAUUCUAUUCAAUGAUAGAGAAAAUUUGGAGAUAAUUCCUCUUCCAUCAGGUAGUCUGGAUGAAUUAACGUCUUUCCUCGGAGAAACUUAGAUUCUCAUUACAUCAGGUUGAGCCAUCAGGGGCAGGAUAAUAGAACAUACACUGCAAUGGCAUACACUGUUCAUGCAGGACCAGAGAAAUCACUGAUAAAUGAGAAAAAUAAACUAUUUUUCCAUUUUUUGUACCAUCCAAAAUUUUUCUGUCAUAUUAAAAAAAAAGCUAGAGCAAGUACAGGCAGAGUACAAGUUCUCUCUCAUUCUUUCUCACUCUCUAUGUAGAGGAGUGUGUGUAUGUGUGUGUGUGUAUGUUUGUGUGUGUGUGUAUGUGUGUUAUGGUUUGGAUUUUUAAUGUGCGAUAGGCAUUGCCAGCCUAUGGUACUACAGGGAAAUGGUGGUGGAGCCUUUAGGCAGUUGGCCCCAGUGGAGGGACAUUAGGUCAAUGGAAAUGUGCCCUUGAAGGGGACAUUUAGACCCUGGACCCCUAUUUCCUUUCUUUGCUUCCAGUUUCCAUGAGGUGAGCAACUCCUCUGCCAUGCCAUCUCACCAUUAUGUACUGCAUUGCCAUAGGCCCAAAGGCACAGGGCCAAGAAGCCAUGGACUGGAACCACUUCAACUUUGAGCCAAAAUAUAUGUUUUUCUCCUUUUAAGUUGUUUACAUCAGGUGUUUUGUCAUGGUAAUAGAAAUUUGACUAACAUGAUAUUUAUUUGUAUCCUUAUCUUUAUAUAUCUGUGUAAUAUAAAUAAAUUAAUACAGGCAUAUAAUAAACACAUCAAACAAUGUAAACUAGAAUAUGCUCACCCCCUUUCUCAGGCUCAUAAUCAAUUGCUCUUAAUAAUAAUUUUCUACUAAUAGAUUGAUUAAUAUAUUCUAAGCUUUUUUUCUAGACAUAUGGCAAACACAUGAACAGAAAUAUAUGAUUUUUGCAUAAAUUGAAAUGAAAUGUUUAUUUCUUUUUAUCAUUUACUAUUUAAAAAAUUUUUUUUAUGAUUUAAUUUUUAUUCACAGUACAUUUUGGGGCACAUUUUCAUGUCAUACACAUGUAUCCAUAUAAUUUGAAGAAAUGAUCAUGUCACAUUAUAUCUGUUUUAAAGCUUAAUCAUGUUUUUUGAAGAGGGGGUACCAGGAAUUAAACCCAGAGAGGCUUAACCACCACCCACAUUCCCAGCUGGUUUUAUUUUUUAUUUAGAGACAGGGUCUCACUAAGUUGCUUAGGGCCUCGCUAAGUUGCUGAGGCUGGCUUUGAACUUAUGAUCUUCUUGCCUCAGGCUUCUGAGCUGCUGGGGUACAGGCGUGAGCCACGGUGCCCAGCUAUGGUUUUUUUAAAAAACUACCUUCUUAAGGACAUUUAUACUAUUUCCAGCUUUUCUGACUCUCAAAAAAGUUCUUGCUGAGUAUGGUGGUGCACGCCUAUAUUCCCAGCUACUUGGGAGACUAAGGCAAGAGGAUUUUACUUAUGAAGCCAGCCCGGGCAACUUAAUGAGACCCUGACUCAAAAUAAAAAUUGAAAGGGCUGAAGAUAUAGCUCAGUGGUAGAGUGCUUGCCAACUAUAUGCAAGGUCCUGGGUUUAAUCCCCUAGUACUGAAACAAACAAACAAAAAACAAGAAAAAGAAAAAAAUUCUAUAAGAAAUAGUUAUGAUUUGUAGACUUACUUUCAUAAGCAGAAUUCCCAGAAGUAGAAUUGCUUGAUCAAAGCACCUAGGUAUACAUUUAAAAUAUUUGUAGGUGUUGUCAACUUGUUCUCCAUAAAUUUAAGAUGUAUUUAUAUUUCUAGAUACAUUCUAAGGGGCUGGGGAUGUGGCUCAGGCAGUAGCACGCUCGCCUGGCAUGCGUGCGGCGCGGGUUGGAUCCUCAGCACCACAUACUAACAAAGAUGUUGUGUCCGCCAAAAACUAAAAAAUAAAUAAAUAAAAAUUCUCUCUCUCUCUUUAAAAAAAAUAGAUACAUUCUAAGAAUUUUUAUUUAUAAAUACCCUCAGCAAAAAUGGUAUUUUUAAUCUAAUAUGGAUAACUUUGUUAUCUUAAUGCUUGAAAUUGCAUUUCUUUAUUAGUGAGACUUUUGUAUUAUUGAUCACAUAGAAUUUUCCUGUGAAUUACUUAUUAAAAAUUUUUGUCAUUUUUUUCCUUUAGUUUAUCCCCAUUUUACUUCCUUUUUAUUGAUUUUUUUAAAAAAAAUGACAGUGGAAUGCAUUACAAUUCUUAUUAGACAUAUACAGCACAAUUUUUCAAAUUCUCUGGUUGUAUAUAAAGUAUGUUGACACCAAUUCAUGUCUUCAUACAUGUACUUUGGAUAAUGAUGUCCAUCACAUUCCACCACCCUUGCUAACCCCCUGCCCCCUCUCAUUCCCUCCCACCCCUCUGCCCUAUCUAGAGUUCCUCUAUUCCUCCCAUGCUCCCCCUCUCUACACCACUAUGAAUCAGCCUCCUUAUAUCAGAGAAAACAUUCAGCAUUUGUUUUUUUGGGAUUGGCUAAUUUCACUUAGCACUAUUUUCUCCAACGUCAUCCAUUUACCUGCAAAUGCCCUGAUUUUAUUCUCUUUUAUUGCUGAGUAAAAUUCCAUUGUAUAUAUAUGCCACAUUUUUUUUUAUCCAUUCAUCUACUGAAGGGCAUCUUCAUCAUGUGGGAUUAGGUGCCAGCUUCCUUAAUAAGACUCCUAUAGCACAAGAAUUAAAACCAAGAAUCAAUAAAUGGAAUGGAUUCAAACUAAAAAGUUUCUUCUCAGCAAAGGAAACAAUCUGUGAGGUGAACAGAGAGCCUACAUUCUGGAAGCAAAUUUUUACCCCUCACACAUCAGAUAGAACAAUAAUCUCUAGGGAACAUAAAGAACUCAAAAAGCUAAGCACCAAAAAAACAAAUAAACCAAUCAAUAAAUGGGCCAAGGACCUGAACAGACACUUCUCAGAAGAGGAUAUACAAUCAAUCAACAAAUAUAUGAAAAAAUGUUCAUCAUCUCUAGCAAUUAGAGAAAUGCAAAUUAAAACCACUUUAAGAUUUCAUCUCACUCCAGUCAGAAUGGCAGAUAUUAUGAAGACAAACAACAAGUGUUAGCGAGGAUGUAGGGAAAAAGGUACACUCAUACAUUGCUGGUGGGACUGCAAAUUGAUGCAGCCAAUAUGGAAAGCAGUAUGGAGAUUCCUUGGAAGUCUGGGAAUGGAACCACCAUUUGACCCGCCUAUCCCUCUCCUCAAUCUAUACCCAAAGGACUUAAAAUCAGCACACUACAGGGACACAGCCACAUCAAUUUUUAUAGCAGCACAAUUCACAAUAGCUAAACUGUGGAACCCAUUUUACUUCUUUUUUUUUUUUUUUUGGUACUGGGGUUUGUACCCAGGGGCUCUUAACCACUGAGUCACAUUCCCAGCCCUUUUUAUUUUUCUUUUGGGGAUAGGGUCUUAUUAAGUUACUUUAGGGCCUCACUAAGUUGCUGAGUCUGGCUUUGAACUUGUGAUCCUCCCGAGCCUCUGGGAUUACUGGUGUGUGCCACCACACCUGGCCCCCUUUUACUUCUUACCUCCUUAUAUUUUAUAAAUGUUAACCUUAGUAUUUUCUACACUUGGCAAAUAUUUUAUCCAGUUUUCCAUUGGGUCACUUGUCAUUCUUCAACCUUCUGUAUUUUUCCCUCUGAGCAUGUCAAGUUGAAGAGAUGGAUUUAUUUUCACUAACAUUUGUGUUAAAUGAAUAGUAGAGAAAAUACAACUUAAUGACUCAGGUUAAUUAAAAGAAGACCUUGACUUUUAUAUUGAAUUCACUGAUUUUUAGACUAACUUCUUUUACAGUUUUCAUCACAAAACUAAUAGAGUUGAUAGAAACCAUUAAUAGCUUUUUUGUUUCUCUCUCCCAUUUUCUUUCUGGUUAUUUUUUUUUCCCACACCCAGAGGACUCCAUUGGCAUUUUUGUUUCACUUCCAUGGUGACAAAGUGAUAAGUCAUUAUAGGUAGUUUAGUAAACAAAAGACAGAAUAUAUAGGUAAUAGAUUUGUACUGUAAAUUCAGUUCUUUUAUAAAAAAUGUAGAUGAUAUUGCCUGUUUCUUGAUUUAGAGGGAUCUGGAAAUAAUAAUUUGUAUCAUGAAUAUGCAACUCUCUUGGCCUUCAUCAUAUCUUGCUGGAGGUGGCUGGUUGUUUGCAGGUAAAGGGUGAGCCCCUGAGAUGUCCUGGUCUAUAUGGGUCAGUCACUAUGUACUCACUGCCACAUUUCAUCCUUCUAGUGACCUCCUGAGAAAUGGAUAAGAAAGUCCUAAUUUUUACAGGCAAUAAAACAGGCUUUGGCCCAUGAAGCAGUAUGCACACAGUCAUAAUACAGUGAAAGAGAGAUAUGAACCUGGGGCUGAAUGGAGUGACCUUGAAGAAGUGUAGGAUUGACAACAAAGCUGAGUUUUCUUUUUCUUUUUUUCUAUUCUGUCUUAUCUAUCUAUCUAUCUGUCUAUCUAUUUAUUUAUGUUGUGAUGCUGGAGAUUGAACCUUGUACAUGUGAGGCAAGCACUCUACCAACUGAGCUAUAACCCCAGCCCUAUUCUCUUCAUUUUUGACAGAGUCCUUGACGUAGGUUUCAAUAUCUAUUGACUGUAUUUAAAUGUCUGUGUUCUUUUUAAUGUUCCAUGCUGUAUCUGGAACAAGGAUGAUAGUUAGUCUUCCUCUUAACAUUAUUAUAAAGUUUAUCUUUCAUUCUCAAAUGAGAGCAACAGCUUCAUUCUUUAUUUUUGUAAUUUAUAACUUAUUGAUUGGUUUAUUCAAGCUCAUGCAGGCUCCUGAAGAGGAAGAAUGAUGAAUUAUCUAACAUUGCUUUUAGACUAAUUUUGGCUGAAAAGCCUCAACCUGACUAAACUGGAAAUUUUAUGUCUUUAUUGAAGAAUUAUGGGUCUAUCCUUUUUUCCAAAUUAAUUUUUCAAACCAAAGUAAAUUGUAGGCCACAGAAAGGUUUUGUGCAAUUUGUUAAAGAAACUUUUGAGUGUUUACCAAGUACUUAACACUGUGUUAUAUAUUAGGGAUAUUAUAUUGAAUAAAAUGUCUCCUAUAAAUAUAAAAUGUAUGUCAAUACAAAGAGAAUAUCAUAACAUGAUAUACAAUCAAAAAACAUUUUCCUCAUUAGAAAUGCUUGCUAGAAAUCUAGAAAUAAUAAGUUAGCCAUUUAGGAAAAUUUCCCCAUGCAUAUACCUCUGAUAAGGUGCAAAUAUUUUAACAUAUUUGAGGCAAUUAACCCUUCCUAUUGUGCUUCUCAAAGAGAAUAAGGCUAUGUCCCAAGGAAGCGAUUGUUCUAAAUUUAUUAUUCAAUUCAGCUAAACAAUUGGUUUUAUUUUUUCUCCUGAGUAAAAAUUGGUUAGCUGUUCUUUUAUCACAUUUCAAACAAAUUAUUUUUUCUUCAUAUACUGAAUUUGUAAUUUUCUGGUUUUCAUUAUGAAAACAACAAUUAACAAAAAGUGAAAUAUACCAAAAACCCCAGGAAGAUACAUGUUUUUGAAUACUUUGUUUACUAUAGUCAAGUAUGCAUCCAGAUAAUUUCAUAUUAUUGCACAUCUUCUGUAGUUCUUCAUUUAAAGAAGUAUAUUUAUUCUGUGGAUAAGUCUUAAACAUACUUUUUUUUCUUAAAAGAGAAAUAUAUGGUGUAUAUAUGUUCAUAAGAUCUGAGAAAUAAAAACAGUUUCGUGUAAGUUUAUCUUACCAAAGUCAGUAAUCUAUAUGUCCCUUAUAAAAUAUCUUCCAGCACAUGCUGAAAAGAUUUUCUCUUUGAUUAGUAACACAAAGACAAUGAAAACAGGUAGAUUAGGACAAGAAGCCAAAUGACCUAAGAGGAUUAAAAGAUUAAUGCCAAGCAGAGGGAGGCUCUCUGCUCUGCACACCCUCCAGGCUAUACAGAGCAGGCUAUAUAUCUGCAAAAUAGAGGCUCUUUCAGAAAAUGUCCUUUAUCAGUAAGAGUUUAGCUUGCCCUUGACCAUUUGGGGCACAUGAGAUAAAUAGUUAAUGAAGGUCUUUAUGAAAAACACAAUAGCACAUUACAUUUCUUACUCUGAAAUUCUAGGGCUCUUUCAGUUGGAAGAAGAGAGGAUCCUAGUGUUACCCUAAAUAUCAAAGUCUGUAAUUUUACUCAGAAAAUAGAAACCAAUUCAACAAGCUACUAUUAUAAUGCUGUGCAUUGAUGAAUCUUAGAUCCUCAAUUUCUGUGCUAAACAGCCUCCUUUCUGUGGCAAAAAUGAGUUCAAUUUUCACUUUUAUCCUGACAAAACUUUACCAUCAUUCUCCUAAGGCCUAAUUAGAGACUGGGAUUUUAAAAAUGUUUCUUUAAAAUAUUAAGCAGUAGAUUUAACAGAAAAGUGUCCCAUCCUUUGUAGACUGUUCCAAUGACAGAUAAGAAUUGAAGCACAACUGAUACGAUAGUUUUAUCAUCAGCAACACAAUGAGGUUUCUCUAAAUCCACCAGAAAAAGGUCAGACUACUGGCUGCAUGAAUGUGGCAUACCCAGGAACCCAGGUAGGGGGAAGUUGACUAUUCAGUUAAGAAAUAGUAGAGACUAGCAGAUAUAGAAAAAGAUGCUCAACCUCAUGAACAAUUAGGAAAAUGAAAACUAGAAUGACAAUAGUACACUGACCAGAUUGGCUAAAAUCAGGUUGCAAAAUCACAUCCAAAGGAAGCUUGGUAUUUCUGAGGGAAGCUGGAGAUGUACAUAACACAUGACCUGGCAAUUUUGGGAAUGUACCCAGGAGAAAUGUUUGCAAAUGGGCCCUGGACCUAUGUAUAAUGGAAAAGUAAAUUGCAAUACUAAAAGUAACAUAAAUGAACAAAUGACAAUUACAGGCAACAUCGAUGGAAAUGAUCAUGAUUGAAGGGUUCAACAAAGGAAUCAAAGGAUCACAUGCAUUAUGUUUCUGUUCCUAGGAAAUUCAGAACAGACUAACCAAACUCUAUUGCUUGGUAUGCAUGCAUAACUAGUAGCCCUGAAAAGAAAACACAAGUAAGGAUAAUGGUUUUCUCUAGGAGAGAGGAACACAUAGGCAGCUUCUGGGUUGUUGAUAACAUUGUAUGUAUUGAUCUGAAUUGGACUAUUUGUUGAAAUAAUUAUCACAAAGUUCAAAGAUACUUUAUGUACUUUUCUAUGUGCAUGUUAUAUAGUGCAAUAAAAAUAAACACAUACUCAUAAACACAGGUUCUGAAACUAUUGUGCACAGCGUGUGAUUAUACUGUGCCUAAUACACUAGAUUGGGCUUAGGUGUAUGGAAAGCAGUUCAGGACUGACAUCUAAGAAGAAAAUGUGCACUGAACUCGAGGUGCAUUCUCUUUUAUGUAACAUCAUUGCUUGACCAUGAUCCAGGAUUGGGUUAUUAUCCCACAAAAUCCUGUUCAAUUCAACCAACUUCAUUCAUUCUUGUGACUGUUCACUUAGGCUUUUUGCAUUGGGGUAUUAGUCAUAGGUAUUAAUAUUUUAAAUUAGAAUUGGUUGGGAAUCUCUAAGAAUUGCUCAAGACUUUUGUUUUCAUUCCAGUGCUGCUUUCUUUCUAAAUGACGUGUAAAUUGGUUUCUGUUAGCCUCUUUGUACCUCAAGUGGCACAGGCUGUGUUCCAUAGAUAGGAAAGGAGAAAAUAUUUUCAAUGAUUUUUUUUUUUAUCAUCUCCAAACAUACGAGCAGGAGACUAUCUGAAAGAUGUUUUCAUCUGACUAAUUAGGUUAGAAAUCUCAGGAGAAAAGUCCUAUUUGCUGUAUUUUAAUGGAAAUGCUUGUUUCUGCUUGAGAAUCUUGCAAGAACAGAUUUCUCCUUUGGCACUUCCUGCUGAACUUCAAGUAGGAAGGAAAAAAAGAGCCUUUUAUUUCUCAUCAUUUGGGAAACUUAAACUUGGGCUGCAAGCAACUCAUGUGCAAAGACUGUGACUUCUUAAUUUUGCUAAAUACAUAUUGUAUAACAUGGAGCUGUGUAGAAUGCCAGAAAUUAAUGCUUUUUUGCCUUCCAGAAUUAUGCUACUUCAGUGCUGUAUUCCUAAGGGCCUGAUUUUAGUACAGGCAAGUCAAAGGAUGGAGUGUAAAACACUUCUAUCUUUAUUUGAAACUGGUUUUAUUUUAUUUUAUUUUCAUUUUAAGGUCUAUGAAUGGGAAUAGUUGGAAUGAACUGUUCUUCCAUUUUCUCAUUACCUUAUAUUUGCCUGUCUUACCUUCUUUUUUUUUUUUUAAUUUUUUAUUGUUGGCUGUUCAAAACAUUACAUAGUUCUUGAUAUAUCAUAUUUCACAAUUUGAUUCAAGUGGGUUAUGAGCUCCCAUUUUUACCCCAUAUACAGAUUGCAGAAUCACGUCAGUUACACAUCCAUUGAUUUACAUAUUGCCAUACUAGUNNNNNNNNNNNNNNNNNNNNNNNNNNNNNNNNNNNNNNNNNNNNNNNNNNNNNNNNNNNNNNNNNNNNNNNNNNNNNNNNNNNNNNNNNNNNNNNNNNNNNNNNNNNNNNNNNNNNNNNNNNNNNNNNNNNNNNNNNNNNNNNNNNNNNNNNNNNNNNNNNNNNNNNNNNNNNNNNNNNNNNNNNNNNNNNNNNNNNNNNNNNNNNNNNNNNNNNNNNNNNNNNNNNNNNNNNNNNNNNNNNNNNNNNNNNNNNNNNNNNNNNNNNNNNNNNNNNNNNNNNNNNNNNNNNNNNNNNNNNNNNNNNNNNNNNNNNNNNNNNNNNNNNNNNNNNNNNNNNNNNNNNNNNNNNNNNNNNNNNNNNNNNNNNNNNNNNNNNNNNNNNNNNNNNNNNNNNNNNNNNNNNNNNNNNNNNNNNNNNNNNNNNNNNNNNNNNNNNNNNNNNNNNNNNNNNNNNNNNNNNNNNNNNNNNNNNNNNNNNNNNNNNNNNNNNNNNNNNNNNNNNNNNNNNNNNNNNNNNNNNNNNNNNNNNNNNNNNNNNNNNNNNNNNNNNNNNNNNNNNNNNNNNNNNNNNNNNNNNNNNNNNNNNNNNNNNNNNNNNNNNNNNNNNNNNNNNNNNNNNNNNNNNNNNNNNNNNNNNNNNNNNNNNNNNNNNNNNNNNNNNNNNNNNNNNNNNNNNNNNNNNNNNNNNNNNNNNNNNNNNNNNNNNNNNNNNNNNNNNNNNNNNNNNNNNNNNNNNNNNNNNNNNNNNNNNNNNNNNNNNNNNNNNNNNNNNNNNNNNNNNNNNNNNNNNNNNNNNNNNNNNNNNNNNNNNNNNNNNNNNNNNNNNNNNNNNNNNNNNNNNNNNNNNNNNNNNNNNNNNNNNNNNNNNNNNNNNNNNNNNNNNNNNNNNNNNNNNNNNNNNNNNNNNNNNNNNNNNNNNNNNNNNNNNNNNNNNNNNNNNNNNNNNNNNNNNNNNNNNNNNNNNNNNNNNNNNNNNNNNNNNNNNNNNNNNNNNNNNNNNNNNNNNNNNNNNNNNNNNNNNNNNNNNNNNNNNNNNNNNNNNNNNNNNNNNNNNNNNNNNNNNNNNNNNNNNNNNNNNNNNNNNNNNNNNNNNNNNNNNNNNNNNNNNNNNNNNNNNNNNNNNNNNNNNNNNNNNNNNNNNNNNNNNNNNNNNNNNNNNNNNNNNNNNNNNNNNNNNNNNNNNNNNNNNNNNNNNNNNNNNNNNNNNNNNNNNNNNNNNNNNNNNNNNNNNNNNNNNNNNNNNNNNNNNNNNNNNNNNNNNNNNNNNNNNNNNNNNNNNNNNNNNNNNNNNNNNNNNNNNNNNNNNNNNNNNNNNNNNNNNNNNNNNNNNNNNNNNNNNNNNNNNNNNNNNNNNNNNNNNNNNNNNNNNNNNNNNNNNNNNNNNNNNNNNNNNNNNNNNNNNNNNNNNNNNNNNNNNNNNNNNNNNNNNNNNNNNNNNNNNNNNNNNNNNNNNNNNNNNNNNNNNNNNNNNNNNNNNNNNNNNNNNNNNNNNNNNNNNNNNNNNNNNNNNNNNNNNNNNNNNNNNNNNNNNNNNNNNNNNNNNNNNNNNNNNNNNNNNNNNNNNNNNNNNNNNNNNNNNNNNNNNNNNNNNNNNNNNNNNNNNNNNNNNNNNNNNNNNNNNNNNNNNNNNNNNNNNNNNNNNNNNNNNNNNNNNNNNNNNNNNNNNNNNNNNNNNNNNNNNNNNNNNNNNNNNNNNAAAAGCAAGUAACUUGCUCCUGCUCAAAACAUACAACUACAGUAUUAUGUUUCUUUGUGAUUUUAUUCAAACAGUUAAUGUUCUCAUUAUAAACUUGAUUCAUUUAUUUAAUCCCAGAUAUAUACUAAGCACCUACUACCUGCCAACACAGGUGGGAGGAGAGAGAGAAUGAUAUAGUCUCAGCCUGCAGGGGUGCACAGUUUUUGCUUCUUGAGAUUUCUUUAGAGCUUUUGCAAUGUGUUUACAUUUCUGUCUUUAGCAAAUUCUUUAACCAAUGAGCUCUCAGUCCCUGCUGCUUUAGAGGUAAGCCAAGCCCUCCUUUUCUCCAUUUUCCACAAACUCCAAUUAUAAAAAUGGAGACUUUUUUCUUCUUCUUUCCCUAAAAUUCCCAAAUUGAGUGGAUACAUCUCCUGUUAGCAGUGCAGCAUUUCCACACGGUGAAGAGAUAAUUUUGUGAUUUUCCCAAAUGUAAUGACUACUUGCCUCAGUCUUGGCUAAAUGUUAAUGAGUCUCAAUUCUUAAAUAUUUCAAGAAGAUUAAAGCAUUUAAUUCACACACACACACACACACACACACACGGGAUCCUGAAGUGUUCAUAUCUAGUCCUGAACAUUCAAGUCACAUGUUUGAGCAUAAUCAUUAAUGAGAGACACAUGUGGAAUUUGUGCAUAAUUCCAGGACACUGAUAAUUCCCAAUUUUAAAUGUCACUUUGGGCCUUUCUCAUAUUCAGUGGAAUUUUCAGAUCUGAACCGAGGUGGAGUGCUCUAUUGGACUAUUGACUUGGGUGGAGAAUUACAAGUAUCUUUUGGCAAUUUUCCACCAGGCAUAGCUCCUAAGUAGAGAAAUAGAAUACUGGGAAAUUCUAAUCCAAAGUUGAUACUGGAAAAGGCAUGGUAUACAGAAAGCAGUGUGAUGUUAAUCAAGGAUAAUGGUGUUCAUUUCAUCCAGAAUUGAUAGCAAACAGAAUUUGUGAGUGUGGGAGAACAUUUAUCCCAUUCCUUCACUCUAAAAAUAAAGAGACAGUUUGGUAUGGUGGUGCACACCUAUAAUCCUACUUAUUCAAGAGGCUGAGGCAGGAGGAUUGAAAGUUGGAGGCCAGCCUCAACAGCUUAGUGACACCCUGUCUCAAAACAAAAAUAAAAAAGGGGCUGAGGAUGUGGCUCAAGGAUACAGCACCCCUGGGUUCAAUUCUCAGCCCCCCAAACAAACAAAACAAGGCAAAACAACAACAGAAAAGGAGGAGACAAAAAGUCCAGAAAAGUAGAAAAGUUAAGUGACUCCUUUAAAGUUGUUUAAUUAUUAGUUAAAAAAAUUCCAAGAUUCAAGUUCAAUUAUUCAGAUUCUUAACACAAUGCUCUUUUUUACUAAAUCUUUUCCCCAAAUUUUUAUAUGUGAAAGAUUAAAUUUAUAGGCUUUCUACCUCUGAAAUGAGCUUCUUUUAAAUUAAAGAGUUUUUCUUCAACUCUUUUCUUCCCCAGCCACUAUUUUUAGGCUUCAUUUAACCUCAGUUUGGGGUUACAUCACUACAUUAGUGGCCCCAAACCUAAGUCUGCAGCAGUUACUUGGAGGCCUGGCUACAAUGUGGAUUCCUGGACCCAAUCCCCAUAGCUUUUGAUUCAGCAGAUUUGAAGCAUGUAUAUAUGUGUAAGAAUUUGUAUGCCUAAGGAGGUCCCUGGUGCUGCUGCUGUUCCUACUGGUUGGGGACUAUAUUUUGAGAGUUAGAAACCUACAUGAAGCAGGCUUAAUGACCUCGUAUCAGCAAGGUUUCUUAUGGCUGUAUUUCUUGUUGCUCAAUUUUUUUGGCCUCCAAAAUAUUGUAAGUUAUCAGAUAAAUCCUGAUCCAGGAGCUAGCUGCCCUGUAAAGUCAUCCAGCAUUGGCUGCUACAUGGAAAUCAGUGUGAAAAAGAUUUUGUGCCUGUGCAGAUGGCUAAUGAGUCAGUCUGGAAUAAGAGAGUAGCUCUUUAGCAUGUCUGAUUAGCACUCACAGCUCCUAAGACCUAGCCUUCCUUCUCUUUCCCUCAACAAAAUAACAUUAAAAGUGUCAAAUGCUAAGAAAACAGUCAUAAAAAAAUGUUUUAUGAGUCUCUACAUGUCUUUAAUUCUUAAAGAGGCAAGGAGUUAAAAUAUUAUUCUAACAGUCAGGAUUCUUAGUUGCAGCAAUAAAAUUCAGGUUAGCCAGUGUAAACAGAAAAAAAGAUGUAAUGUAAUGUAUCAGGGAGCUUUCAGAAAGUGAGUGAACUUAGAAGAAUUUGGGUCCCAUUCAGAAUCCUCUGGGGAAUGUGGGAUUUAACUUUCCAAUCUGAAUUCUGUAGAAAGGUGUGCUAGGAGAUUGCACUGGUAGUUGAAUGAACCAGUCUGAGUGUCUUUCACAAUUAUCAUGACUCGAUUGUGACUUAUUCUUUAUUCUCAAGGUGAAUGCUUGUAAAACAUUACGUCUUGGCUUUACAUACUCACAUAAUGAUUUAUGAAUUAGGCUAGGGUUGAAGGAAAGAUGUGAUGGUGAACUGACCAGUAAAGUGAAAAAUUUGUAAAUAGUUCUGUUGGUACAAAAAGCUUAGUGGUACCUGGUCCUGGGAUUUCAGGAUUCACAUAGAUCUUCCAUUUGAAAAUAUACUUGUAUAAAGACAAUCUGACAACUAUUGCAACCCAAUACAGAUUGUUUUGUUACCAGGGAUCCUAGAGUUUUUACUUAAAACACUAUGUUUAUGGGGGCUGGGCUUGUGACUCAGUGGUAGAGUAUGCGCCUAGUGCAUGUGAGGCCCUAGGUUUGAUCUUAAGCGCCACAUUAAAAAAAAAAAAAUAUAUAUAUAUAUAUAUAUAUAUAUAUAUAUAUAUAUAUCCCACUAUGUUUUUGUGGUAUGGGAAAAUUUAUUGGUGUUAGAAUUUUGGAGAAGUAAUAUUUUACCACAAUAUGCUAAUUAUAAAGACUUAUUGUACUAUUAAUAAUUUUGUAAGCAUAUGUUGGCUUAAAAACAUCCUUGGGCCUCAGCGGUUGGCAAGUCUUCUUAUGAAACUUGAGGCACCUUAGUUUAUGACCAAAACUAUUUCCCUAUAAAUAGAACUGGAAUCCUGUGGGCUAGGUGAUUCUGAAUAGAAUCUGGCUGGAGCAUCCUGCUUGAAUUCUUCAUUUUUCUUCCAUACAGCAUUCAUUGAUGGCCAUAUCAUUGUGGGAUCCAUCUAAGCUGUCAAAACAGAAAGACUCCCAAUGCAGUGGCUUAAACAAAAGGAGAGUUUAUUUCUCAAAAGCAGGCAAUACAGGGGUGGCUUCUUAGCUCUGUUGUGUUUAACAGUUUCCAGCUCUGUGAUCAGGUUGGCUACAGACAGUCAGAAGGGGAAAAGAGGAAGUACAGACACAUCCCUACUAGUAAAGAGAAACCUAGAAGCUAUGCACAUCCUUUCUGGCUCAGAUGUUACUAGUCAGAACCUAGUCACAGAGCCACACCUAUUUGCAAAGGAGGGCAGGGAUUGUCAUCUAUAAUCAGGAAACCUCAAGUCUAGUGGAAAUUUGUGUAGGCGAUACUAUUACUGAAAGAGGAAGUGGAUAGAUAUUGUUGGAAGGCUAACAGUGUUUGCUACAAUGGCUUAUCAGAAAUUGUUAGGUUUUUUUUUUUUUUAAUCAGAGCUGCUAUGUGGGUGGACUCUACUCUGGCCAUCUGUGCUGGAAGUGAAGCUCCUCAGAAGGGUCAGUGAGGCGAGUCUCAGUUAAUUCCUGGUAAACAGAUGAUAAAAAUGAUAGAACUGCAGUAUUGGAAAGGAUCUAUCUUUAGGAGUGGUGGUGCACACCUGUCAUCCCCGCUACUCAGUAGGCUGAGGCAGAAGGAUCAUAAAUUUGAGGUCCUCCUGGGCAACCUGGUGAUACUCUGUUUCAAAAGAAAAUAAAAAGGUCUGGGAAUGUAGUGCAGAGUUAGAACACUGCUGAGUUUAAUUCCCAGUAACUGCAAACAAACAAACAAAAAAGAUAAAAGAACAUCAAUUGUCUCCCAGUCACCCAAUCCAACAAACACCUGAGAAUCUUAACCAAAGGAUCUCUUUUAGACUUGCUGAGUUUUGCAUGUGAAAACUAAGGAGUUGGUCAAAGUCAAAGAAUUAUUUGUGACCAUCAGGACUAGAAUCCACAGAACUGGGUAAAUUUUAUUUUCUAGCUAUUCUUCCUGAAUUAACCCUUUGGACCUUGAUGUGUAUUUAUAAGCCAUAAUAGUCUAUGUACUUUUAGAGUACUGUUAAGUACUGUGAAAUAAUUGAGCUAGUACUUUGAUAAUGACUCUCCCUUUCACUUAUCGAAACAGUGGAGUCUUGUUAAAGAAAAGUUAAUGGUUAUAGAUAUUUGGAUGAUCAGACAUAUUAGUGAAAAGAGUAUUGAAGUAGAAUUCAAAUAACCUGAACUAAUCUUGGCUAUCUCCUAUUCAUCUAUAUUACUUAUGGAAAAAUCAUUUAGCUUCUCUGAGUCUUGAGUUGUUUUUGAAAUAAUAAAUUGAACUAGAUGGUAAACUACUCAACCAUGGGCAUAGAGACCACAGAUCCCAACCAAAUAAAACAAUAUCAAUCUCGAAAAAUUCAGCUGGGUGAAUUGGUGCAUCCUGGGAGAAUGUUCCCCAACUUUUAGCAUUCUAACCUUUCUCUUGAAGUUGAAUUGUUUGCAAUAAAAAGUCAUAACUUUAGCCUGUAUGUUAGAAUGCAACCUUACUUACCCUUGGUACUUAAAGGAUAAAAGUUUACAUCGAUGCUGUCAUCUGAGGAUUAUGUGUUAGUUUCAAACUUACAUUUCAAAUAUAUUUGAGAAAAGGUAAUGAAUGAUCUGUAAGAUCAUUCUGGAACAAAGUGAAAGCAUUGUCUAUUUAGAAAAGAAACUUUCUUAGGUCCUUCUAUAAAAUAAAUUAUAAACAAUGUACAUAGUGGCUUCUAAAAUGGCAAGGAAUCCAUUUGGUCAUAAAAGGAACAGUAUCUGGAGCCUAAUUCAAAAGCCUGUCACAUUUCAUUAUGUUUCUAAAGACUUCGGCCUUGAAGAGAGGACAAUUGUGGGCUUGUAGGUGAGGCUGAAUAUUAUCUUUAGUGAGGUCUAGAGAUAAACACUGCAGUGAGAACAGAAUCCAUUUAGGAUGCAUUGGACAGAAUAAUUCUAAAUUAUGGCAUUGAAAUUCCCACUUCACUUAUAGGAAAGAGAUAAGGCCAAACACUCCAGUUAAUGGAACAUGAGCUACUAAUUUCCCGAGGAAGACAAAAGGAGGGGGUGUGUGCUGCUCUUACAUGGAAUGAACAAUUUUCUCCAGUCUCAAGGUUGACAAUGAGGGAUUGUGACAAGGGAGAAAGUGAUAGAAGAGGCAGCCUUAGAUCAAAACAAAGGACAAUGGGAAGUCAAACAAGGACUCUUAUCAGUUCCACAGGUGAGUUCACCUUCCUGGCUUUAAGGGUCUUAUUCAUUAACUGGCUGACAUGGGCCCUAGGACCAGGGCUGUCUCUGCUGUCUGUGUUGGUGUGUUUAGACACACGUGUGCAGCUCAGUCUUGUAUGAAUAGUAUCCUUUAUGACUAUUGAAAAAAACAGUGCUUUUCUUCCAAAUGGAUGAACAUGGGUUUGUCACCACAACUUCACCUUAUUUACAUGAGAACAUGGGAACUGAACAUAUGAAGAGCACUGGACACUUUGGAACUGAAAACAAGAUUUCCAAGUUGGGAAAACAUUCAAGUUCAGGUGAUCUGCAGACAGGGGAAGGCACUCCAUCCUAGAAUCCCACUGAUAAGGGUAGUGUUCAGGGAGAUGGGGUCUUCUCACCCUUCAGCUCAUCUUCUAACUUCCCUAGCAAUCUUUUCCCCAUGCCCUCUUGAGGCUGUCCACAGCCAUGGAAGAAGUGGAACCUUUGUGUUAGACAAAGGAGAAUGAGGCCAUGGCCCACCAUAACCUCUGGGAAGACUUUAUUAACCUUCCUUCUUGGACAUAUGGAUAGUGUACUCCCAGUUCUUCUUCUAAGAGUCCCGAGUUUUCUGAAGCUUUCUCACUCUGUGCUGAAUAAAGAACAGGAGAAAGAAGAAUAUUUGAUAUUAUAUUGUCAGGCUAGCUGAACUUGUCCACCCUCUGGCUUCCUGAACCAGUCAUUUUAUUCACAAUAUUCUUGAAUAUACCCCACAAAUAUAUAAGGUCUUACCUUUUCUUUGCAAGUCUUUUGGGAUGAAAUGAAAUAUUUCUCUCUUUCUUUCCCAACAUCCUUCUUUCCCUCCCUCCCUCCCUCCAUCCUUCCCUCCCUUCUUUCUUUCCUUCUUCUCUUUAUGAAGAUUUUCCUCUAAGAUUUUCCGUUGUCUUUCUCCUGCAAACACCACCAGGAAAAUGUCUGAUUAUCUUGUCGGUUUGUUUCCCUAUUCAGAAUAAUCUUGGGAAAUUGUUUUUAUGGAGUAACUCCAGAACCUAAACUGUCUACAGUAUUCCUUGAAUUCCACAAUCAAGACAGCUUUGGACUUUCUCCUGUACAUUCUGAUGUGGCAGGGCCCCUACUACAUUGAGACCAUUACUCUAGAAAAGGCCUGACACCAUUAAUUAGGCUGACCUUUAGGAGGCAGGAUAAUGAUUCUAUAGUGCAACUAGAAAGAGUUCUUCAAAAUGUGGUAGAAAAAGAUGACUUUGGUAUUAUUCCACCCUUGGUUCAAAUUUUAAGUUUGACACAUACUGGGUGAGAGAAUGAUGUCAAAGUCAUGGUGGGGAAUCACAUCCCUCUGUUUUGUCCAAUGCAGAGGUUUUCCCCUUCUUUAUGUCUGUAGAAGUCCUAGGAAGGGGUGUGGGGAAGGUGCUGAGAAGGUCACUAAGAAUACCAGAAGGUGAGCUGGAGUGCCAGGAACCCAUUUCCCAAGAGCAGGGAAGGUUACUGUAACUUCUAUGAGCAUCAAUAUCCUUAUUUGAAAACUUGAGAUAAUAAUAAUGCUUCCUAUUAUAGCAUUGCUAACAGCCAUAGUCCAGACUUGAGAAGAUGUACAAUCAAUAUGAAUACCUCUUUUUUGUUGUUGACAAGAAAACCUCCAAUUCUUGUAGACUUUUUUCCUUUUAAUGGCACCUCCAGUUUUUGAAGGGAUGACUUUUCCAAGCCACCAUUCUGAGCAUUUUGCUUAAUUUAAUUUUCAAAAUCCUAUAAGUUAAUGUGCGAGUCACACUUCCAAGUGACUAGUGAAAAACAGUGACUUUAAGGGGUUAAGUAGCUUGCUUGAAGACACCCAGCUGGUAAGCAGCUCAGCGGGAGAGCUGGAUUUGGCUGCCUUCUGGCAGGCAGGAAUCCAGAACAUUUCCACUGAGCCAUCAUGCACACUGCCUCCCUGUAGCAUAUAUCUGCAUUUCCUUUGGAACUCAAAAGCAGAAUGUCAAAUGGAACAACAUACCUUUCACAUAGACGUAGAAAUUAAAAUAAUUGCUGUGAUCAGUGGGAAAAGUAGAUGUUCCACUGAGAGUUGCUGUUGAAUUGAACAAGGGCUCUCUACUUGUUGCACCAUUGUGUUCAGCUGAUGCUCAGUGUCUGCUGGUUCUAGACCAGUCAUCAGAGGUGGAAGGCAUGAUUUUCAUUGCUGCUACAUUAAAGCUGAACAGUGCUCAGGGCCAGAGACUUGUGAAAACUCUUCCAUGUUUUGAGGCCUAAGAGGUCUAUGAAAGUCAGGGGGUAAUAUGAAUAUCUUAGGAAUGGCUUUAUUUAAUACAGAUGGCUCAAUAUUUAAAAAUUAAGAGAUAUUUUUUUAAAAAAACCUUAAGGUCUGAUAUUUAUAGGGAAAAACAAAACAAAACAGGCUUCUGGGGGGUGGGAUUAUGGCUCAGCGGUAGAGCACUCGCCUAGCAUGUUCGGGGACCUGGGUUCCAUCCUCAGCACCACAUAAAAAUAAAUGAAUGGAAUAAAGGUAUUGUGUCCAACUACAACUAAAAUAAAUAAAUAAAUAUUAAAAAAAAACCCAAGCUUCUGAGGGGUAAAAUGCUUUCCUAAACUUCCUUUGCUAGGGCAUUAUGUCAACAUAAGAGUCAAUGAAGCAAGAACUCCAAGCCUCGUAGUUGCUGGUAUGUUUUGGCAACACAGAAAAUGCUCAGGGAUCUGAUUUCUAAACUGCUGCCUACAUGGGUGAAAUCAACAGAGAUGACCUGUAAGCAGCAAUUAAUAUGGUUUCUGAAGCCAGAGUGAUGAAAUUCAUGCUGAAAUAAGCUAUAAUGAGAUGCCUCAAAGUUUUAAUUCUAUCCUGUAAUUUCCUCCAGAACCUUGGAAAAGGAUGAUGAAUUUGUAUGGUGCCUGUGUGUGUGUGUGUGUGUGUGUUAUAUGUGUGCACACGGGUGUGCAAGAGAGAGAAGGAGGAUGUUUGAUGUAGCUAUGAAUAACCAUUUAGCCAUUAAUGGCCCAAAUGCAUUGAGAGACUAUGCAAAAUCCAACUAGUUCUUCCUUAAGUAAGCUAAAUCCAGUGGUAUCCUAGAAAUAACUCCAAUCCAAAGUUAUGACAAGUUGAGGACAGGCAUGACUAGCCAGUUCAUUCUAAUUGGCUUUCUUGGCCCCUUUUAUCCUCCAGAGAGCUGGUUUAUGUUGCAAGAAAGUAGAAGAAGGAGAGGGCAUUGUGGAAGGGUUUAAAAAUGUAGUUAUUCAUUGACUUGUCUGUGUGUUGCAACACAAUUUAAUGACAUCCUUACAUUUGCAUUAGCAAAUAGCCCUUCUUCAAAGUGGACUAAUACAAAUUGGGUUUUCAAAAUUGAGUAUUGUCUUAUUUCUCAAUUUGCAAACAAAGUUGUCUAUUCAUAAAUGACAUGCUAUGAGAAAAAAAUCCAAUAAAUAAAUAAAUAAAUAAAUAAACAAACAGACAAAUAAAUAAAUAAAACAACUCCAAAGUCUCCUUGGAGGCUUCCUCAUGUUGGUAUUUGAAAAUAAAAAAAAAAUUAGACUUUCUGGCAGUUAGAAAUUCCUGCUUUACAUUUUUAAUAUCAUUGUUAUUGGACUUCUGAAAAAUAAACCUGUCAUGGACCUGAGACAGAAUGUGAAUACAAAUACCACUUGCUGAUCAUUGGUGUCAUUUGUCCCUACAUGCACUCUGCUCAAAGAGCUAGUCUAAAAUGCAAUUUUGACACUGAAACAACAAACCUUUUCUCAGAAGCCUCUGGCAGAGAAGCUGAGGUAGCACCAGUAAGAAGUGCGCCAAAGCCUAAUUACUCCCCCGAGAGCCGAUCUUUCUGUGCAAACCUGCAUAAUGUUCCAUCUCCUGUGAGAUACAGACGUUGACAUAUUUCUUCCCUUGUUUCCUGCCGUUUGGAGAUGUUGCUAUUUGUCACAAACUAAACAGAGGAGAAGACAGCAAAGUGCAUUUCAGUUACCUGGGCAAUUUUUAUAAAUAAUCAAUAAGUGCAGCUGUUUUAAAAGCUUUCUUCUUAUGUGCCAAUGCCUUAUGAGGCUGCUUGACAUUCUUAGGGCUGGAGUCCAACCAACAGUGGCUGCUUAGAGGGGCCUCCACAGCUGUACCAGAGCACAAGGAAGUGAAUGGUCAGGACUUGACCCCUACCUCCUCAAACCCUUGCCCUUUUGUAGAACAGCAUCCUUAAAACAAUAGCCUUUUAUACUAGGGUUCUGUAUUACAUUUCAUUCAGGAAUGAAGAGUAAAUAAAUCAACUAUAUCUUGGAUGGCAUAUAGACCCUGUGAAUAAUAAAAAGUCAACUUAGGGCUUACUUUAUUUGUGAGAAUGGUCAGUGGCCAACUUGCAAACUGUCAUUAACAGUUCCCAAGCUACCUUGAUCCAGCAGAAAUAGCCAUUGGCAUACGGGAGUGAUCUCUGACUCAAAACCUCCUCACUGCUUCCUUUUGUCCAUAUCAGAGGCAUGGUUCUCUCAUGAUUAAGCUGGAAACAUAUGAAGAAGGUAGACCAUGAAGGGGUUUAAUAAGGCAGGUUAGAAGAAUUGACUUCAAGAGCCAUAAAGUCCCUUUGGUAUGAUUUCAACCAAAAAGAUCACUGUGGCUGCCCGGAGAGUGGCAAGACUGGAGAUGAAGAGACUGAACGUGAAAUUUAUUUUCUCUCCCUUUGUCAUCCAAGAAAUAUGCACAUGUAAUGAAUGAUAAGGGUGUGCAAGAACAGUGCCUCCAGAACACUUGUGAAAGGAAAGAGUCAUUUAUAGAGCUGGGUGCAGUGGCACACACUUAUCAUCCCAGCAACUUGGGAGGCUGAGGCAGGAGGUCUGAAAGGUCAAGGCCAGCAUUGGCAACUUAGCAAGACCCAUAGCAAUUUAGUGAGACACUGACUCAAAACAAGAAAAUAAAAACUAGCAUAGAUGUAAAUCAGUGGUAAAGCACCCCUGGGUUCAAUUCCCAGUACCCAAUUUUUUUAGUCAAAAAAAAAAUUGAAGAAAAUGUAAUUAUUUUUCAUUCAGGUAUUUGUUUCAUUGCUUUAUUCAAUUUGUUUGACAAAUAUUUGAGAGCCUACUCUAUGCAUGGCAGUGUUCUAAGUAUAGGGGACAAGAGCCACUGCCCUGUGAGAAUGCUUUAUAGAAUGGGAGAGACAGAGAAUUGGUUAUAGUAUGUUAAAUGAUGAUAAUGGGGUGGGGGACAAACAAAGAAGAGAUGGGGAUUCUUCUUUUUUUUUUUUUGGGUAUUGAAUUCAGGGGCACUCAACCACUGAGCCACAUUGCCAGUCCCAUCUUGUAUUUUAUUUAGAGACAGGGUCUCACUGAGUUGCUAAGCACCUCACCAUUGCUGAGACUGGCUUUGAACUCAUGAUCCUCCUGUCUCAACCUUCUGAGAGGAUGGUGUGCGCCACCAUGCUGGGAACAAUUAUUCUUAAAAGCCUAAGGAGGUGAGCUUUCAGCAGACCCAGUGUUGGUGGGUUGGGCAAGAUAUUUGUAUGAGCCCUGGAGGAAGAGCACUUUGGAUGGUGGGAAAAGCAGGAACAAAGACUCUAAGAGUCUCAGAACUGGAAUGCUCAAGGAAAAAUGAAAAUAGCAGUGAGGCAGGGCUGUAAGAAGUAGGGAAAUGUAGUGGGAAUGAGCUCAGAGAGGUUGAGUGAGGGCACAGAGCAGGGAGCCUCACAGGGCAAUGGGAACUUUUGGCAUUACUCUGAAUGAGGUGGGACCAGUUGGAGAGUUUUGAGGGGUGGAGAGAUUUGACCUAACUUAUGAUUCAAAGAAUUUCUGCCUGCUAUGAUGAGAAUUGACUUCUGGAGGCAAUGUUAAGAAAGGGAGAUCAGGAGGAAGUUGCAAUAAGAGUAUUAUGCCUUCGAUGUUUAUAGCAGCACAAUUCACAAUAACCAAAUUUUGGAACCAGCCCAGUUGCCUGUCAAUAGAAAAACAUCAAGAAAAUGUGGUAUAUAUACACAAUGGAGUUUUAGUCAGCCAUAAAGAAGAAUGAAAUUAUGCCAUUUGCCAGGAAACGGAUGGAAUUAGGGAACAUUGUACUAAGUGAAAAAGCCAGACUCAGAAAAUCAGGGGUAGAAUGUUUUCUCUCAUAUGCAGAAGGUAGAGCAAAAUAAGGGGGAAAGGUAGUGGGUUGGAUAUCAUAAAUGUAGAGGGAAGAUCAGUGGAUAGAAGAAGGAGCUCUUGAGGGAGAAAGGAGAGGUAGGAAAAGGGAGGAAAUGGGGAAUGAAUUUAACAAUAUCAUACUAUGUGCAUAUAUAUAAUAUAUAACAUAUAAAAUAUAUAUUAUAUAAUUAUUAUAUGAUAUAUAAUAUAUAACACACAUGUAUUUAUAUAUAAUAUACCAUAGGAAUUUCACUCUUAAGUAUAUGUAUAAAGCACGUAUCAUAAAUAAAUAAAUAAAUAAAUAGAAGGAAUAUCAGUAGAGAAAGGAGAAUUGGGGAGAAUUAAGGAAAAGGCAGGGGGUGCAGAUUAUGAUGCCUUGGACUAGAGCAACAGGAGCAAAGUAUAGGAUUUUGAAGGUAAAAAGGUGGAGCUGAAAUGAUAUGAUAAUGGUUUGGAUUUACAGUGUGAGAGGAAAGAGGAGUCAGAAAUGAAAGGAGAGAGUUACCAUGAACUGAGGUAGGGAGCAAGGUACAGGAAGGCAAAUCAGGAAUUCAUGUGAAGUUUGAGAGGUCUAUGAGACAAGAGGGCAUGGGGUCUGCUUGCCGGGUGCUCAGUGGAGAGGAUUGAGCUAGAGUUUGAGAUUUGGGAAAUCUCAGAAUACAGGUGGGAUUUAAAACCACAAAGUGAAUUGGAUCCUCAAGGAAGAGGGUGUAGCUAGAGAAGAAAGAUGUGAAAGUGGACCUAAAUUAAGAUCUGGUGCCAUCCAUAUCCAAGCCCCUUGAUAUAUCCUGAAAGCCCUUUAGUACGAGAGUCAUAAAAUUAUUUCUUUCAAUUAUCUCAUCUUCCUAUAACUCAUUCUUAUUCCAGUGCAAUUGGUUUUACUUUCUACUGAUUCAAAGUACAAAUUAAUAUUAUUUUAGCUGCCUAUUGGUUUGAACAGAAUUCACGGGUAACAUAUGAACUCAAUGAAUCUUUUUCAACUAUGUUUCUAUGGGAACAUAUAUUGUGAACUCCAAAUAGUUGUUUUUCAUAUUACCUUGGAAAUAUCCAAGUUUUUUAGCUGAUGCCUACUAAUUUUCAUAGUGUAAUAGACAUAUAUCCACUUCCUCCCAUCACAUGGCUUAUUUACCUCAAAUUAAUUCCAGUGCAGACUUGAUUUGUGUAGUUCUCAGGGUGAUGAUUUUUUUCCUUCUUGUGUCAGAGGAAUCCAGCUCAUUCAGGAUGGUAGUGGAAGGAAAGAGGAUGAGUAGCCAUUGAGAUGAUGGAAAUGGAAUGAAACAGCAGGGGAAUCCAUGUUUCUAAUUCUUGGUUUAAUUUUCUGGAAGCCUCCAAAAACACCCUCUCAUUUCCUCUGGCUAAACAUUUUUAUGCAAGGAUUAAACUGUGUUAUUCGCUAUUGUCUUUGGAAGAACUAAUUUCCUUUUGACACUCUUCUCCAUUGCAUGAUUCUUUUCUGACUACCACUGUGAUAUUUUGCACAUUUGGCCUAUUGAAUCAAGAGGAUCUCUCAGACUAGAAUCUUUUUGUUAAUCAGCAUCAUGUCUUACUCUUGUGCUGUUAGAAUUAAUCUCUUGCUCUCCUUUUUUGAGGUGAUAUUUCACUGUGGUUUUCUUUUUUUCUUUGUUCUUUUUUCUACGACAGUAGAAUGUAUUUUGACCUAUCAUAUAUACAUGGAGUAUAAAUUCCCAUUAUUGUGGGAAUUAAUCUCUUGGAAAAGCAAUGCAUUUCACCAUUCGUAAGACAUGUCUUCAAGUCCCAUUAUUUUAGUUUCACCAUGCACUGAGCUAAUCUUUGGAUGGGGUAAAAUGUCAUCAUUAUCACCAGAGGAUUUCACAACCUCUUUCAUUUGUUUCAGCCCAACAGUACUCUCCUGACUGGGGCAAAUGAUCAUUACCUUGCAAUCAAAUUCUUUGGUGCUACUGAACUGGAAAGCUUUGAUUUCUCUUUGGAUUUCUGCUUCAUGUUUUCUUUUCCAUGAUUCUUUCAUAUUUUCCUCAAGUAAUUGGAAAAUAUUGCUUGAAGGUGUUAUUCUGGUGCAGUAAAAGGAACACAUGUCCAAGCACCUGGAAUGGAGCCUCGUGGGCCAAUGGACAAAUUUCCUCUUUAUGUUUUCAGUUUAAAUAGAGUUUGCAUUGCUUUUUCUACUCCCUUCACUGGAGGCAAUAUAGUCUCAGAACUGGAUGAUCCCAGAGGGGCCCUUUAUUGAAAUCUCUACAGUAAGAUCCAUUUAAAAACAUUUUUCAUUAGUGGUUGUCCUUUUAAAUUGAGCAUCUUCAGGCAUGUUAAAUUUCCUUUCAGUUAAUGAAAAUCAUUAAAGUUUAAUUACACAUGAUUUUAAGGAAAAAAAAAUCCCAAGAUUGUUCUUCAUAAUGUACUUAGAAAGUCUUUGAGCAGCUUACCACCAAUGUAUCAAAAUUAUUUUUUUUUCAUGGAUUGAAGGUCAUCACAGCAGGUGGUAAUUUGUGAAGUAUCUAAGUGCCUCUCUUUCCAGACAAAGGUCAAUUUGCUGCCAUUUGAGGAAUCAGGGCUUAUCAGCUUUUUCUUUUUAUUGUGUUUUUCAUUAUUUGACAGACUUGCAGUUUUAUGAAUCUGUGGACAUUGUAAAGAGAUGGCAGGGGGCUGGGAUUGUGGCUCAGUGGUAGAGUGCACAUGUGCAAGGCCCUGGGUUCUAUCCUCAACACCACAUAAAAAUAAAUAAAAUAAAGGUAUUGUGUAAAGCUAAAAAAUAAAUAUUAAAAAGAAGGAGAUGGCAGUGUCCCUUCCACAGGCUAAAAUUCACAGGUAGCAUUAAAGGAAAAAUUUUUUAAAAGAGGAAAGAGAUAGAAGGGAGAAAAGGAUAAUAAAGGAGAAACAAAGAGAAAUAAGAGAAAUAAACCAAGAUAUGCAAAGGAAAAAUUUUGGGGAAAAAAAUCAGGAAUAGGAAAAUUCAGUAAAAUUUCUGUUCAAUGCCAAGAUGGCCCUUCCAUGAGUGUUGGAAUGAAAUGCAUGCAGAGGGGCAGUUCUCUGUUGGACUCUCUGGUUUGAGUGGGCCAUGCCUUCCUGAUCAAAUCAGUAGAAAAGCUUUCUUUCCAGGUUACUAAACCUCUAUUUCAUGAAUGACCAUCUCUCUUUUGGACAACAGGGAAGGGAGCCAAGGGAUGAUAGCUUCACUUUUUAACUACUGCAUUAAAGAUAUUAACCUUGGGUGAACAUAUAGCAUGGAUGGUGGCUAGGCAAUGAAAACUGGGCAUAUUUUAUGUGAUAAAAAUGAUCCAGCAAUUUAUUAUAAAAUUCAUUAAAUAAGCUCUGGGGAAUUCUGCAUGUUUUAAUCAGUUCUAUUAGUAGACAGAAUCUUUACCAAAUUCUACCACUGUCUUUAAAGUAAUUGGCAGUUUUCUGAAAGCACAUUGAUGGACGUAUUUUUUGAUAUGGGUAGUUUCUAAUUUAUUGACCUCUUCUCUGUGAAACUUUUUGGGUGGAAGGGCUACUGAAUAGCUACUUGUAGAUUACUUUUCUUGAAAAUUCUCAGGCAGUAACUACCUUUCCUUCAUAGAAUUAUUCAGUUAUGAUUUAAGUAUCUGAUAUUAUGUCUAUCUAUCCAUCUAUCCAUUCAUUAAUCCCCCCAUCCAUCAUAUAUAUUCAUUUCUCAUUUAUUUUUAUAAAGAACUAUGAGUUUUUGAUGUCCUGAGCUCAUUGAUAUUUGACUCUUGUGUGUUUUAUCUAGUGAAACAAUUAGGAUAGUUUUCUACUUUUCUUUUUUAUCAUAAAUCAUCACAUUAUAGUCCAAACUUCUUUUAGAAAUCACAGUUCUUCUUGACUAGUUAAAAAUUAUAACUUUAUAUAAGAGGAUCAUUAUGAAAAUACAUAACAAGGAAAAAUGUCUUGAUUUAUCUCAUUGAGCCCAUGGGAUAGGACAAAUUUUAUGCUUACUUAGCAAGCACCGCUUGUGGGCUGUGUAUUCUAAGACUUCAAGAAAGAAUGAGGACAUAAAGAGUUUAUAGAACUGUUAUUACAGGUGCUAGAUACCUGUAAGAAUAAAUACAAUUGAUACUUGUUAUAGUUUCAUGAGGCACACUUAUUUUUCAACUCCUAGCAAUUUAGUAGGGGUAAAACUCCAAAUGUAAAAUGUAGUUAAGGACUUAUCUCAUGCCUACUUGAUUCCAAAGCUGGGGACCUCUCUUCUCUUCUGUUCCCUGUGAUCUAACUUCAUGUUCCUAUCCUCUGCAGAUAUCAUACCUUUAUGCAAAUCCUAACGAGGAGUAUACAUAAUACCUUUUCAAACAGAUUAGAAAUUAAAUCAGAAUGGAAAACUGAAUAAGGUUUUAGAAAUAGAGGUCUUUAUUAUUGCUCAAUAGUAAAUGACAAGAAAUAAUGGGUGAAAGAUAUACUGGAGAGAACAUGGGCUUUGAAAUGAGCGUUCUAGUGCUUGAAGUCCAAAUCACUGUGAGAUAAUGGAAGAAAUUAACCCACGUUCUCUUAAUGGAAAGUUAACAAUGCCUGAGGUGUAUGUUUAGUGUGAAGAUUAAAUAUGGUAUGUUUGGGUGGAAGUGGAUGCAUCAAUAAAUUAUUUCUUUCCUUCUCUGUCAAUUACCUCCCUAAAUUGACAAUUGACCGGACUGAAUUAAGUUUUAUGUAAGUCACUUGUCAUUUCUAAUAUUCUCUGAAAUGGCACCAUAAACAUCACCUAUGUAAUUCAGGUUGUUAUGUAGAUAUAAGUAGGCAAAAUUCUGGAGAAAAUGUAUAGUUUGCUCAGGCUUAAAGAUACUAAUUCUACUUAAUUCACUAACUUACUAUGUAUUUAUGACCCAUACACUGGUGAGAUACAAAAAAUGCCAAAGGUGAUGGCUUUUAUGCUGCAAGAACUCACAAUUUCAUAGUGUAGUGGUAUGGAAAUGGCUAGUUAUGAAACAAUACAGUAAGAGCCAUCUUUGAGAGUGAGUACAUGGUGCUACAGAAUAUGGAAGAGCAAUUAACAUGUCCUAAGAAUGGAGAUCUUACAAACGAGGUGAUAUUGAACCUGGGAUUUGAAGGAUGGUAUAUUUUACCUGCUGGGUCUAAGAGCAUCCCAAAGCACCAUAUUUAAAGAUCCAGAGACAAAAGAGAACACAGCAUUUGGAGAGGGGCAAGAAGGGGUGAUCAGAAUGCUGCACGUGAUGCAGAUGAAAAAUGAAACCUGACCUUUUAUGCCCUCCUGAAAACUGUAAUUCUUAUCCUGUAAGUAAUGGGUGGACCAUAGAGUAUUUUGUACAAAAAAAUGUCCUUAUUAUGUCUGUGUUUUAAAAAAAUAGAUAUUUGAUAGUGUGGAAAUGCAAUGAUAAGAGGAGAGGCAGAACGACUGAUUCAUUAGAUAUUAUAUUAUUAGUUAUUAUUAUUGUCACUUUCCUUUUAUAUUUGGAGACCAUUAAAUUUUAGCUGACAAUCAUUCUCAUAGGCCCUUGGAAAGUUCAGAGGGCCAAGCCACAGUGCUCCAGUUCUAGCCAGCUAGUGGCCCUGCCCUGCAUUCCUUUUCUCCUUCAUUCUGUUUGCAUCCCUGAAUGUCACUUUUCCCUGGGAACAAGAGUCCACCUCCCCAGCUCUGCUUUAGAGGACAGUCAGGUGUCCUUUUUCCUCUUACAUUCUUCCUUUUCUCUAAGGGGCAUUAUGGGCUGAGCUGUGACUCUUCAUAUUUGUAUGUUGAAGUCCCAUCCCUCAGUAUCCCAGAAAGUGGCUGCAUUUGGAGAUAGGGUCUUUAAAGAGGGGAAUUAAAGUUAAAUGAAGUCCUCAGGAUGGACCCUCAUCCCCUUCUAAUAAGAGGAAAUUUAGAUGCAGAAACACAUAGAGAAAAACCACAAGAAGACAGAAAUAAGGUUACGAGCCUCCUUCUUAUGAGGAGGCCCUCAGGAGAAAACAUCUUGGAUUUCACCUUAUCUUGGAUUCCCAGCUUCUAAAAUGUGAAGAAAUAAAUUUCUGCUUUUCAAGUCUCUCAGUCCGUGAUCCUAUUAAGGGAGCCCUAGCAAACUAAUGCAGGGGAGGAUGAGAGAAGAGAGUACUCAUAUGUUAAUGCAUAUGGCAUGUGCAUGUGGAAUAAGUGUGUGUUGAGGUAGAUCUAAUGGAGGAGUGUGUGUACUCUUGAACACAUGGACUAGAUUCACUUUUAUUGAGCUAAUGCUUCUAUACAGCCUAUAGACAUGAGGAUGAACACAGAUGAAAUGAAGGAAAGAAACCAUUGAGUCCUCUGGACUAAAUAGGUAUGUGUAUGUGUGUAUGUAUGUGUGUGUGUGUGUGUGUGUGGGUGUGUAAAAAUAAAAUGAUCUUAUGUUAUAGUACCUUUCCAUUCUUUUUAAACCAUUUUGUUUGAUUAGGUCAGAAAGGACAGAUUGAAAAAAGUUUUACAGAGUCUCAGGCUUCUAUCAGUAACAGAAGGAAGUAUUCUGUUUUAUUUAAAAUGAAAUAGAAUACUUAGGAGGCAGAGAAAGCCAAUAGAAAAAAAAGUAUCUCUAGUACUAUGAAUGACAGCUUUCUACCCCUCUUAUGAUCAGAUAUGUACAAAUAUUCAAAACAAAGUUUCCUCCUUUCUACUGAGAGUACGUAAGAGUAAUAAAGGAAAAAUAGAACACAUAGUUGGUUGCCCUUACCUAGUUCUAACUAUCCAGGCUCUUGCUGAGUUUAUACCAUACUCCAAUUUGGUUGCAAGGUGGCACAGCCCUCAACCAUCAGGAGGUAGAUUUGAAAGACUGAGGAUAAUGGCUUUGAACUGGGAGACAAGAUUGAGAUUGUCCCUAGGAAGAAAAUACAUAACUACAAACUCUCCAAGUGCACUCUAACCUUGAGUUUCAGCUGGGUGGUUAACAUCCAUCUGGCCAUAUGCUCUGGGAAUAUACUGAGGAUGAAUUAAUUUCCCCAAACAAGUCAAUGAAAACCAGCAAAAGGGCAGGGCACUGAUAUUCCACAGAAAGUGUGACCUUUAGAGCAUCUGUGCUAUUUCCAAUGUGAGCAGAUGCUUUGAUCAUUAUAUCAUCAAUUUGGAAGGAAGGGAAUUAUUAUUUUUAAAAUCUGAAUGGCUAAAGUGUCUUCACUAACUGAGACAGCUAAUAAAGCAUGUAUCUUGUCAACCACCUACCAAAUGGAAACUGAUAGAUGUUUUAAUCUUUUCUAUGCAUUUAUUUACGAGUACCUUGGCUUUAAUUUGAGGAGGUGGUACGAACACUCAAGGAAGGCUUUCUGUUCCCUUUCCCAUUCCUCUCCUUUCUCCCUCUUCCCCCCAUAAAUUGGUCUCCAUAUUUUUUCUUUUAAGAUCUCAAAGAUUAUAAGGUGUGUUUAGCUUAAUCAUCUGAGUUCAACAUUACUCAUCUAGUUAACAUAGAUUGGCUAGAAGGUAUAUUUCUUUUUUCCUGGGCCAUUUCCGGUAACGCGGCCUAUUGCACCAUAUUUAUUGACAAACCCAGCACGGCAAGAGAAACAUGAGACUCAAAAUUUGCACUGACUCCAGCCAGGAGGCUUGGUUUUGUGUUCAUGGCUUGCUUUAGAAUUAUUGUUGAGCCCUGUGCUCAUUUCCAUCCUAGAAGUCAGUUAUUUUACAAGCAUCAUAGAACUGUAGCCAAGUAGCUGGAAGAAAAGAACAAGAGAAGAAGGGAGUAAGCCUAAGCCUGAAAGAGGCAGCAGGUAGCAGUAAAUCCAGUUGCUCUUGGCUCAGAGUUGUGCACAGGCAAACAUCUAGACACUGUGCUACCUCGAUUGCCUUACUUAUAGAAGAAAAACAACUACUCGUUUUCCUGCAAGAAAAGUGAACUGGUAACACUCUCUUCAUUUAACAAUACAGUUCCUUCCUUGUGAAUGUGUGCAUGUGAUAGGUUAGGUGUUUGCUAGAGAUCACUAUUGGGUGUAUCUAUAGAUAUAUAUCUCAUAAUCUUUUGACUUGUUUCUGAGUUCAUAAACUCUAAUUGGGUUUGUUUUAGAGCAUUAGGGUAAAGAAAAGGAAAUAAAUGAACAUUUAUUGAGAUUCCACAUGCCAUACUCUUGUUGAAGUUUUGUUUCCUACAUUUGUUGCCAAAAGCUCGGUCCCUGUCCCCAGUGCCAAUCCAAUAAUGAGAACACAGUUUUGAGAACAAGGAAAAAGACAGUAUUUUGCUUUGCUAGCAAAGGAGAAACACAGGGGACUCCUGUCCCAAAGGCUGUGAUUCAUGUCCAUCAGCAGGAACAGGGUUUCUGUUUUAUUUUAAUUUUUUUUUAAGUUCUAGAUGGACAUAAUGCUUUUAUUUUAUUUAUUUAUUUUUAUGUGGUGCUGGGGAUGGAACCCAUCACACAUGCCACCACCACAGCCCAGGAACAGUUUUUUUGUUUUGUUUUUUAAUAGAGCUGAUUUAGAGAAAAUGAGAUUAGGGAGGAGAUAUGAGGAAGGAUAAGUUUAGGGAAAAGAAGAUUGGGAAAAAGAAAAAAAAACAUAUAAGUUUUAAAGCUACAAGUGUUAUAGUCAAAGCAUCAAGUGAACCUCUACUACACAUUGAUAAUCUUAUAACAGUAACGUGUUAGUUUUAGGCUGAAUUAUAUAGCCUACUGGCAAUAUCAUAUGGUGCACUGGUCUUUAUGUUCAAGUUUUUGUGAUGAAAACACACCAUCAUACAUUUGCUCUGUCCCUAUCUAUUUCUCUCAUGACUAUCCCAACAGAGUCUUAUACAGUAUAGCAUAAAGCACUUGGUCUCAACUUCAAGGGCCAGGGUCUUAACUAAAUAGACACAGUCCCUCCAACCUCAGAGUUUCUGAUUAAGUAGUCUAUGUAAGACAGAAUUUCUGAUUUUCUAACAAAUAUUUGUUGCUGUGAUACUGCUGCUGGCCUUGGAACCUCACCUUGGAGAUCAGUGAUACAGAGGGAUGAUAUAGAUCAGUGAUAUAGAAGUGCUAAAGGCUUAUCCUUGGGAUAUCCCCAAGGAUAAGCCUUUAGCACUUCUUUUCCUCUUUUGACUAGAAAGCAACAUUCAAGAUCUAGAUUUCCUUUAAAAGUACUUUACAUAUCUAGUGUUAUCAUUUUUAACUUAUCCCUGAUUUAUAUUUCUGUGUAUGUGAUGCAUAAACUAGAAAGUGAAUAACUUUUAUUUUUAAAGAGCUCAGAAUCUUUCCAAUCAUGCAAUACAAUCAUAAGAUAGUACCAGAAAAACAAUUUUACAGAAUAAGUGAUUAUAAAAAUCUAAAAUUUGAAGUACUGGAAUUGAGGGGUUAGAUAAAGUACUCAGUACUAGAAAUUUUCCCUUCAAGUCCUUCCCACUUCUGUGAGAUUCUCUGAAACAUAGUACACCGAGAAAAACAGCCUGGGAUGCUAAUCUCCACUUUAAUAGAGAAGGAAUCAUAUUUAGAAGAGUACCAUGGUCUGCCCAUGGCUGGUUUGUGGAAGAACCGCAUUCUGCUGCCAGAGGAGGAACAGAAAUAUAGGAGGAGGUGACAUGGCAGACAUUUUGGCUUUAGACAGAGAAAAAAAAUUCAAUUCCUUUACUUUCUUUUAACUUUCACCCAUAUUGAGAACAAAGACAUUAGGGGCAAAUAGAAAAUGUUAUUUUAAUUCGGAUUGGCCAAACUGUUCUAAAAACCUUAGCACAAGCAAACUAUGUGAUCAUCAGAUGCUCUUGUUAUUUGGUAAUGCAUUCACAUGUGCUCAGCCCAUUGGUUAUGUUCAAAGCCAAAACAGCUUAAUUCUCCAUGUGUACCCUCCUGGGCUGUUCCAAGGACUUGAAAAUUUCGUUUGUUUUUCUUUCUUUAUUUUCCUGUGCCCUUGUACUUAUCUCUUUUUCUCUUUCUUUCAUUAUCUCUUCCAUUCUCUUUGUUCCUGCCUUUAUCACACCAACUUCCUUUUUCUACCUAAUUUGCUUUAAUUCACCCAGUUCCUUUCUCUGUGUGUUUUCCAUUUCAAUGAAGGUGACAUGCUUUUUAAUUUAUCAAGAGACUUCCCCUGAAGGCUUAUUGUGUUUUGCCCUGAAUAGGGACUGGUGAUAACUGUUUUUGGUCACCAAAAAGAACUCCUUGGAAAUGUCAAAAGAUAUUAAUACUAUUUACAUUUACAAAGUACAAAGCAGCUGGUGAAAUUUAGUAGUAGGUAAUUACUUGUUUUAUAAAAUGUAGAGGAGUGACCACAAUGAUCACUCUUCACUUCCUGUAAGAGCCAACUUUAAAAUGAAAUAGAGGAAGCAUUGCUUAGUGAAGUCCAGCUGGGUUCCAUAUCAGCUUUGUCCUAUGCCACCUUGGAAACAUAACCUCACUUCAGUGAACUCUGACUUCCUUGUCUGUUGAAUAGAAAUAGUAAUAUCUUCUUGCAAGUUGUUAUGUGGAUGAAAUGAAAAUAUGUUGUCAUCCUCCAAACUACCAGAGUAACAUUAAUUCAUUCUUUCACUCAUUCAUUCAUUUGAGGAUGUGUGUUAGGCAUUGUGAGCACAACAGUGAACAGGGUCUUGUGAAUCACAAUAAAGAUUUUGCCUUUUGUCCCCAAAGCAUUUAGAAGACUAUGAAAGGAACUAAACUAGGGAAUAAUUUUCCCUUUGAAUUUUCUGGGUUAAAAUAUCUGGAGAAAUGCAAGAAUGCAAGUAGUAUAUCUGUUAGGAGGCUUUUAGAAUUAUGUAUAUGUGAUCCCAGUGUUUGGAGGAAGUGCAAGUGGAGUCAUAAGAUACUUGACAGAAUUGUUGAGCUUUCUGAAUCAACUAGUGGGUAUAAGAUGGAAAGGUGGGGAUUGUUAUGCUCGAAUUCGGGACCCCCAAAAGACCAUCAGAGAUCAAUGUAAGCAGCAAAGAGGUGUUUAUUAAGAGCUAGCUCGGUCCUCCGCGCGCACACAGCAACUGGUGACGCUGAGAGGCCCUGAGCCCAGGGUUUGCAGCAGUUUUAUACACUCUUUGGGGAAGCCAGGGACUUCACAUACAUCAUAGCAUCUCUUAGCAAAUCAUCACAUACCACGGGAAAAUCAUAAAACAACUCUAAAACAUGAUUAUCACAUUCACUGGUGGGAACAAAUUGGGUAAGGGUGAUUGGUUAGUACAAGAGGGGGAUUCGUUUGAACUGAUUGGUUUAAGCCACAAGGGGUGUAUGUGCUGAACUACAUGGUUUCCCAACAUGUUAUCAACCAUCAUAAACUACUGGGGGUCAUCUGGCAUCCCAGAUAUUUUCCCUUGGUGGUUGCUAGGGGGUUGCUAUGGGUCCUCACCUAGACUGACUGAGUCAGGGACACCUGGUUCCACAGAUCUCUCCUGUUAUUUGUAGAUAAACAACUCAGCAGGGUGGGUAUGUGCCUAGAAGUGCUCUGUGGUCUUUCCAAGGACAAGAGUCACGCACCCUUCCUUGGACAGGCUUUGCUCUGAGGUAGAGGCUGGUUUUUCAGGAUGAUUACCCACCUUUGUUUUGGGCUUUGUUUAGAUAUUUGGAUAUGAUGCUGCCAUUUACCCCUAGAUGGAACAGAUUUGAAGGGGAUGCCCAUUUGUUCUUGCUUGGAUAUAUUGGAUCAUAUAUUGGAUAUGAUGCCUUUAAAACCUCCAACUAAAACUUUGUGGUGGGCAAUUCAAUAUAGAAAUCUGGACUAAACAAAAAUUGUGAGAGUAGAUAUUAAAAUAUGUAGGCUUGACAAAUGCACAGCAAAGCACUUAGACCAGACAGAUAAUGGUACAGAGCUUAGUCAAUGCGAGCAUGGAGAUUAAGGGUAAAAGUGGGAGUGAUAUAACUGACCAUCUGGAGGGCUGAAUGUAUCUGUAUUGGCAGAAGUUUUAAAGCCACAGUGUCCAAGUUCCCCCAGGAUUCCUUGGGUAGCUUAUUUAGGGCAAUGUAUUAGCUUUCCGUUAUUGAGACAACAGACCUCAGACAAUCAACUUAUAAAAAGGAAGACUGUGUUUUGGCUCAUGGUUUCAGAGGUUUUGGUCCAUGAUCUGCUGGCUCUGUUGCUUUGGGCAUGCAGUGGGUAGAACAUCAGGGUGGCAAGCAAGUGGUGGAGGAGAUGGAUACUUCAUGGUAAUUGGGAAGAGAGAGAGAGAGAGAGAGAGAGAGAGAGAGAGAGAGAGAGAGAGAGAGAGAGACACCAGGGUCCCAAAAUCAUCUUCAAGAGCAUGCCCCCAUAACCUAACUUCUUUCCAUGAAACCCCAUCUCCUAAAUAUUCUAUUACCUCCCAAUAGGACCAUAGGUUAGUUGACCAAGCCUUUAACACAUGUUGUUUGGGGACAUUUAAUAUUUAAACCAUAGCAAGUAGGGUUCAAAACUACUUGAAUCUUGAUGGAACCAGACCUUGGGCAUAGUUACUUCUCAGAGAAAUUGAAAAAAGGAAAAUACAAUCCCUUCCUAUUCUUUCCUAUUUAUCUAUCCAUUUAACUCCCCACAAAUAUUGCAUAAAUAUUUGCAUAUCUUUUUAAAAUUUUUUAUUUGUUUUAAUUAGUUAUACAUGACAGUAGAAUGCAAUUUGAUACAUCAUAUAUAGAUGGAGUAUAAUUUCUCAUCCUUCUGGUUGUACAUGACAUAGAAUCCCACCAGUCGUAUAGUUAUAUGUGUACAUGAGGUAAUAAUGUCUGAUUUAUUCUACGAUCUUUCCCACCUCCAUACUCCCUCUCCUCCCUUCACUCCCCUCUACCUAAUUUAAAGUAACUCUAUUCUUCCCUAGCCCUCCCUCCUUAUUGUGAAAUUAGCAUCUGCAUAUCAGAGAAAACAUUCAGCUUUUGGUUUUUUGGGAUUGGCUUAUUUAACUUAGCAUGAUAUUCUUCAGCUCCCUCUAUUUACCAGCAAAUGCUAUAAUUUCAUUCUUCCUUAAGGCUGAGUAAUAUUCCAUCACAUAUAUAUGUAUAUACCACAUUUUCUUUAUCCAUUUAUCAGUUGAAGGGCAUCUAGGUUUGUUCCACAGUAUAGUUAUUGUGAGAUGAAGUGUUAUAAACAUUGGUGUGAUUGUAUCACUAUAAUAUCUGUAAUAUGCUCCUUUUUAAGUUCUUUAGGUAUAAACUGAGGAGUGGGAUAGCUGGGUCAGAGGUGGUUCCAUUCCAAGUUUUCUGAGGAAUCUCCAUACUGCUUUCUAUAAUGGUUGCACCUGUUUGCAUUCACACUAGCAAUAUGUGAGUGUACUUUCCCCCCGCCAUCAUCACCAAGAUUUAUUGUUGUUUGUAUUCUUGAUAAUUGCCAUUCUGACCAGAGAUGACAUUUUAGAGUAGUUUGAUUUGCAUUUCUGUAAUUGCUAAAGAUGUUGAACACUUUUUUUCAUAUAUUUGUUGAUUGAUGGUAUUUCUUCUUGUAUGAAGUGUCUGUUCAGUUCCUUAGCCCAUUUAUUGAUUGGGUUAUUCGUGUUUUGGGUGUUAAGUUUUUUUAAUUUUUUAGUUCUUUAAAUAUCCCAGAGACUAAUGCUGUAUCUGAGGUACAUGUGGUAAAGAUUUUCUCCUAUUCUGUAGCAGGUUAUAAAAUCAAUGCUCAUAAAUCAAAUGCACUCCUAUAUAUCAGUGAUGAAUCUACUGAAAGAGAAAUUAGAAAAACUAUCACUUUCACAAUAUCACCCCCUCCCUAAAUGAAAUACUUGAGAAUCAAACUAACAAAAGAAGUGAAAGACCUCUAAAAUGAAUACUACAGAUUUUAAAGAAAGAAAUUGAAGAAGGUUUUAGAAGUUAGAAAGAUCUCCCAUGUUCUUAGGUAGGCAGAAUUAAUAUUGACAAAUUGGCCACACUACCAAAAGCAUUAUACAGAUUAAUGUAAUUCCUAUUAAAAUCCCAAUUAUACCCUUCAUAAAACUAGAAAACACAUUCAUGAAAUUCAUUUGCAAAAAUAAAAGACCCAGAAUAGCCAAAGCAAUCCUUAGCAAGAAAAAUCAAGCAGGACGCAUCACAAUACCAGACCUUAAGCUAUACUAUAGAGCAACAAUAACAAAAACAUCAUAGUAUUGGCACCAAAACAGACAUGUAGACCAAUGGUACAAAACAGAAGACACAGAAAAACUCAUGUAAAUAUAGUUAUCUCAUACUAGACAAAGGCACCAAAAACAUUCACUGGAGAAAAGAAAGCCUCUUCAACAAAUGGUUCUGGGAAAAUUGGAAAUCCAUAUGUAGCAAAAUGAAAUUAAACCUCUGUCUCUCACUUGCACAAAAAUCAACUCAAAGUGGAUCAAAGACUUAGGCACUAGAAAAGAGACUCUGUGCCUAAUAGAAGAAAAAGUAGGCCUAAAUAUUCACCAUGUCAGCCUAGGAUUAAAUUUCCUCAACAAGACUCCUAAAGUGCAAAAGUAAAAUCAAGAAUCAAUAAAUGGGAUGGAUUCAAACUAAAAAGCUUCUUCUCAGCAAAGGAAACAAUCAAUAAUGUGAAGAAAGAGCCUACAGAAUGGGAGAAAAUAUUUCCAUAUCUUUAAAACACACUUUCAUAGCAAAUUUACGAACAGAGAAAAAGCACAGAAAAUGAUAUAUUUAAAUAAAGCCAACAAUUGGUACAAAAUUAAAUAAUUUUUAUUGUGUGAAAUUUUGAAAAAAGUGUUGGUUAGCUAAUUAUCCAGAUUUUAAUUCCCACUGAAAUUAUUUGUACAUUGAGUAGAGAAUUUUAUUCUGCUAAUCCAUGAAUAUUUAAUUACAAUCUGCUUUUUUUACAUUAUAGUCUUAUCUGCGACCAGAGUAAUAAAGAAUAAAUAAUAAGUGGAACAACAUAUGCAACCACUCACCCACCUGCUCGUGCAAUCAAGGUAAUGUAGUGCAGUAAUUGACAUUGUGGACCCUGUAACCAGGCUGUCUGGGCUUAAGUCCCAGCUCUGUCACUCACUGGCUGUGUGUGCUGGGGAAGGUCAUUUAACCUCUUCAUGCCUACUUUUCCACAGUUAUAAAAUGGUUGUAAUAGUGGUUUCUAGGUCAUAGGAUGUCAUGAAGAUUAAGUGAGUUAACAUAUGUAAAGCACUUAAAAUGAAGCCUGUUGUAUACCAAGUGCUAUAUCUAUUAUCAGCACAUGCAGAGACCCUUGUAGGAACCACAUGGCUCUGCUCUCAAGGAGUUUGUAGUCUUAGUGGGAAGUUUAAACUAGGAGAUGCUAGAAUAAGGCAGGAUAAGCCUGGUGAAGGCACACAGGAGGAGAAGUAAAAGUUUCAAGUCGACCUCGGAUUUGAGACCUGCGCUAUAAAGGGAUGAUGGCAUGGACUUUUUGGGAAAUACGUUUUGUGUAUAAAAAUUUUUAACAUAUAACUCUCAUAAUAAUGAGAACAUACUUAUACACUGACUUAUAAUUUUCAGUGUAAUGAAAAUGCCUCAAUUUUUUUGACUACUUUUUUAUCUGCGUUAUGAAAUCAAUAUUUUGAAAUAUUUCUCUAGGACAUUUGUUGGAGAAGAAUCUCAUAAAAAUAAAACAUUCUGCAACCUCAAAAAAAAAAUAGUUAGGUAGACUGUUUUUUUGGGUCCAAAUUUUAUAUAUGUUGAAAUUGAGGUUUGAAAGAAUUAAAGUACUUGCCUAAAGUCACAUAGCUGGUGCUACAAAAAAAUCAACAGGAAUGCCAGCCUCUGAAUUGUGUAUGGUUUUUAAUUCUUUCAUCACAUAUAUAGUAAUACUGGAACUAGAUGAAACCAUGUAGUCAUAGGUACAGACCACCUGAGUUUCUUUCCUCAAAAUAAAAUUUGAAAAUUGCAUGCUUUGGCAUGAAAGGCUCGACACACCAAGGUUGUGCAGGUGAAGUAUAAACAGAGCUCUCUGCAUGUGGCUUCUAUGGGUUUGCAAUUCCAUAGCAUAUCACUUGCCUCCAGGUUAUAUAAAAAACAUCUGAGCCUCCUUAUUCAAUAGCUUCCCUUGGCUAGGAUGCCAAGGCCUGUCACAGGGACAUAAAGGGAAAGGGUUGGGAGAUGUCUGCCCUUGGGUAUGAGUGACUGAAGUCAGUGUGCAGGGUUUGGAGCCAAGGACAACUGUCCAAAGUCAAAGGCAAGCUAAGGUAGAAGGCAGCUGGGGCAGGUUGGGGUUAGUCACUGAGCUGCCUUAGAAAUCCAGAAAUCUACUGCCAUUGGAGAGGGUAGUUCAAGGGUAUGCAAUGUCAAUGAGUUAGAAUCAAGAUAAGGCCACAGGGAGUGGGAGAAUUAAAGGUGGGUGGGGGUCAGGCAGGCAGUUCAGAGGACAGAUCCGUAUCAAGGAAACUGGAUCUCUGAAUAGGCUUCCUGUUCCUGCUUCUGAGGUUUGCUUCAGCAAUGCCUUGGCAGGGUCUGCCACAGCAGGGCAGCAAGCCUGGUCUAGACUGCACAGGUGAGAACCAGCAAUAUGUUUAUUUGGCUGAAGUGAGGCAGGCCAGGAUGGAAGGCCAGCUGUUUCCCAGUGAGUUAACGGAAGACAACCUUAGAGAUGAUAACAAAUUCCCUUCAGUCCUAGGAGACCAGCCUCAUAAACAUGAAUAUACUAAUAAAGAUUGUACUUAUCCAAACACCAUGACUACUUCAAGGGGGAGAAAACACUUUAAAAGUAUUUAAUUUCCUAAAAGUUUCAGAGUAGACUUGGGUAGUUACUGGCUUUCAGUGGGAAGAGGAGAGGAAAACAUAACGAAGGAAAUAUCAUUUUCAGUGAAUCAAAAACAUAUAUUUUGCUGUCUUUGAAAACUGGGGAUCUAAAAAUAAAGGAAGAAAGUUAAAACCUUUGGAAAACCUCAAAUAUUUGGAUUACUAUACCGUUAUUCCAAUUGCAAACCAGUGUAUAAUGUUGAAAUAAAAGUAGAUUUGAACGCCAACCUGAAUUAUGAAGUAUCUGAAGAUGUUGGGAACCUUCAUUUAUUAGUUUCCUAUUACUAUAGCAAAGUGCUUGAAAAAAUUAUCUUAUGAAGACAAGAGGUUUAUUUUGGCUCAUGUUUUUGGAGGUUUCAGUCCAAGAUCAAGUGGUUCCCUUGCUUUGGGCCUCUGACAAGGCAUUUAGUAAGUGCUAAAUUACUAAAUGCCUGCUCUAAUGCAUUAACAAUGUGGGAAGAAAUUAUGAACCCAUGAGCUGAAGUAUCAUGCACAAUAUCAUAUGCACAGAAUCCAGCAAAAGGCGGUUGUGGUGAAAUAUCACAAACCUACCUAUGCUCUUCUUUGUUUGCAAUCAUGUGGCCAGACACAUUUUGGGAACCCAGGAGCAUUUUGUUACAACUCCAAAUUUGUGCUUCUGUGAAAUGAGGAAGCUAUGUUUUCCACAUUACAGUUGGCCCCAAAUAUAGGUUCACUUCCUGGUUAAAGCAAUGAUUACUGUGUUGAACAGUGAAAUGCAUAAAAUACUUUAGACUUUGGUGUCAAAUGCAGAUAUGUAACUGUCAGAGAGAACAUCAUUAUUUGGGUCCAUAGUUUCUUCCCAUAUUGUUAAUGGGUUAGAGCAGGGCUUAAGGAUGAAGAUUAAUUCUGAUUGCUGGGGUUAACUUAGCUGACCUUACUAACUAUGCAACUUGUAAAGUACUUUCUCUUCCAGGGACUUAUGUUUCCUUUUCUACACAGUGGGGAUAAUGAUACAUUUGGCUCUCCCUAUCAGAACAGUGAGGAUAAUAACAUAGUUGGCCCUCUCUGUUGGGAGCUUCUAUAUCCAUGGAUUCAAUCAAGAUCAGAUGAAAAAUAAUUUUUAACAAAUUGCUUCUGUACUUGGCAUGUACAGAUGUUAUACCUUGUCAUUAUUUCUUAAACAAUGCAGUAAAAUAACUAUUUACAUGGGAUCUACAUUGUAGUAGGUGUUAUAAGUAAUCUAGAGAUGAUUUAAAGUAUAGGAGGAUAUGCAUAUCAUAUGCAAAUGCUAUGCCAUUGUACAUAUGAGGAACUAGAGCAUUCACAGAUUUUUAUAUCCAAAGGGGGUCUUGAAACCAAUGUCCUGGAGAUACCAAGGGAAGGCUUUUGUCCCUACCAUUCAGAGUUAUUGGGCACUUAAGUCUAACACAAAGUGCUUCACAUAUGGCUUGGCUACUUCUCUGCAGAUAAAACUAGAGGAAAUUAGUGGAAAUGGAUCAUUAAGCAUAAUUAUCUUUAUUUCUGGUGGUCCCUCCCCCUUUUAAAACCUCCACUAAUUGUAAACAGCAUUUAAACACUGUUAGGAUGGGAAAGUGCAAGGUACUCUUUCUGUUCUGUUUUGCCCAUGUAAAUAAAUGACUAGUUCUUACUGGAUUAAUGUUACCACUGAUUUUUGAGAGAAAAUGAGAAGAAAUGAUGAAUAUAAGGGACAAACAACUGAGAUUAAACAUUAGAGUUAUUUUAAUAAGAUGUAUUUAAGACUUGGGAAGGCUGAAGUAGCUCACUGUUAGAGCACUCACCGAGUAUGUGUAAGGCCCCAGGUUUUAACCCCAGAACAAAAAAAAAAAAUUUAAAAAGGGGGCAGAGACUGAUUAGGGGAAAAGAAAGAAAGCAAUGAUAGAAAUGAUUUGUUUUAGAAACUUAGAAAAGCUGUGGGGGUGUGUGUGGUGGGUGGAAGUUGGUAUCAGAUAACUUUAUAGGCGAUAACAUCUACAUUAAAACGGCACAUUUUUGGAAACUUGUACCCUGAACAGUAUUUAAUAGAGACUCAUUUUUAUAUUGAACUGCUAUGUAACACUUGUUUUAGGAUAUCUUCAUGAAUUCUCCACAGGUAAUUAAUUUUGUGGAAUAUUGUUAGUUGGCCUGCUUCUUUCAGUCUUUUCCACCAGUACUGAUAAUAUCAGGAAAUUUUUAAAAGCUCAUUAAGACAUUUACUAGAAAAUUCUAUGUAGCUGGGCAUGGUGGCACAUGCCUGUAAUCCCAGUGACUCAGGAGACAGAGGCAGGAACACUGCAAGUUCAAAACCAGUCUCAGGAACUUAGGAAGGCCCUAAGCAACUUAGCAAGAUCCUGUCUCAAAAUGAAAAAUAAAAAGGGCUGGGGUUAUUGCUCAGUGGUUAAGCACCCCUGGGUUCAAUCUCCCAAAAGAAAAGAAAAUUCUAUGUAGAAACAAAACAAAGCUCUUUACUUAUACCUAGUUCUACCUCAUUAGAAAAUAUAAUGGAAAGAAAAGAUCCCAUUUAAAAAUUAAAAUAACAAAGUGUUAUUUUAAUAAGAUAUAUUUAAGACUUGGGAUUUUAGUGGAAAGACUUUUGUGGGAAAAAUGGCAGAACUUCACUGAAGUAUGCAAAAGAGACACACACACAUACACACACCAAAAAAAGAAAAAAUGGCAAGAUUAACCACAUUCAUGGAUAGAAAUACUCAAUAUUUUAAAAAAUGCAAAUUCUUUUCUACAUAAUCUACAAAUUCAAUGCAAUACUAAUUGCAAUCAAAUAUAAAUAUAAUUUUAAAUUGGAACCUAACAGGAAAAUUCUGAAAAUUUUUAUAAUAAAGAUAAAAUAAAGAUAGAAGAACAGCAAGGAAAUUUUGAAAAGGAAGGUCAGAACAAAAGCAUGCUAAUAGCACUUGAAAGGAAAUAAAAUGAAGUUGUGCUUAAUUAAAACAACGUGUUGUGGAUAUACAAACAGGUGAGUAGGUCAGUGAACCAGAGCAAAGGUUAGAAAUAAAUGUUCUCCUACAUACAAAUCUGGUGUGUAAUGGCUCAUGUGUCUAGAUCAGAGUUGAAGAAUCCUAUUUAGACCAUAUCUGGUCUCCAAAGGGUAAGAGUAGGCAAACUCAGAAUUUUUCAAGUCUGUUUUUAUCAACUCAUUGUCCAGUGCAAGUCACACAGGUAAGCAUGGUCAGAGUAGCAGGAACUGUAGUGUUGUAUGGCAAGGACAUAGAUGUAGGGAGAGGUCUUGAAUUUGGGACCAUUAUUACAAGAAAUUAUCAUAGGUAGGAAUUAAUCCUAAACUGGGAGUUUGGCAGGUCUGGGUCCAGUGUCAGCCACCACUUACAAUAUGUGAAUUUUGAUGCAGUCAUUUGGCUUUUUAGUUCAUGAGGACUGUAAAAAUAAUAAUAUCUAUAACAUGAAAUAACUGUUGGAGAUCAAUUUCAAUUAUGCAUAUGGCUUAGCCUCCUAGUGUUUAAACCAGAGUAAAUGCUCAAUAAAGGCUAUUUAUUAUUGUAAUGGAAAUGACCCAAGAAGACACAGUUGAACAUAGCACAAAUGUCUGGGAUAGCUUCUGUUUUCAAGGACAAAAUAUAAACCCAAAUGAUACACCCUCAGUGACCUACUUAAUUCAGCCACACCCUACCUGCCUAUAGUUAACACCCAGUUAAUCCAUAUUGGUGGAUUAACCCACUGACUGGGUCACACCUUUCAUAAUCUAAUAUUUCACCUCUGAAAAUUCUUGCAUUUUCUCACACAUGAGCUUUUGGAGGACACCUUGUAUCUAAACAGGGGCAUAGCAGGGUAGGUAGUGUCAGAAUUGAAUCAGAUUGUAGGACAGCCAGUCAGUGUUCACCAGAGAACUGAACUGAAUUUUUUGUGGUAAAAACCAUUGCACAUCUGGUAUUAGAGUUCUUGGGAAUGUAAGAAACAGUUUUUAUCAGAAUGGGUUAUAAGUUCUAUAAGUUUAUCUUCUGUGUUGGAGACUUGGACUUAGGAUCAACAUUAAGGUAUUCUUUUGUUUGUUUAUGGCCUGGAGUUUUGGCAAAAUGGAUACUAGGCAUAUGUUUAAAAUCUUCUGUAAUAGUCUAGGUAUUCAAUAUCUGUCCCAUUAUUAGAUCUGAUAUCAAUGAAUGUUACCUGAUACCUUGAAUGUUGGGUCAGAGAAACCUUAUCAUGUUAGGCAUGGAAAAUAACUAAAUUAGCUAGAUUUAAAAAAAAAAUUAAAUUGUCUCUUCUCCAUGAAUAAGACGAUGUGCAUUAGCAUCCAGACAUGACUGUCAUGUGAGCAAUUAUAAUAUUGUAAAUACAGGCCAGGCUUCUCAGCCUGGACAUGUAUGGUAUGAAGUUCAUGUGUCAUCACAUGGUCAGGAGCGCCGGCUGUGAUCUGAGGGUUGCUGAGGUGGAAUGACAGAACUCUGACUUGUAUGUGGCCUCUCACGUUUUCUCUUCUUAUGUUUGUCUCCUCCCUUUAUUGAUUCCUGCUUGCAUCUUUCAAAUAACAACAAAUCUCUGUUGCUAUGUGCCUCUAUUGGAUGGUUAAAAAGUUGGCAGGUCCUGCACCUUGUCCAUGCUAGGUCCAAUGGAAUCGGAGGCCUUAUGACAAGACUGUUAUGCCUACCUGUGAUCCUAAUUUCAUCCUCUUGGAAGGGACCUCUUGGGAAAUAUGGGUAAUUUUCUGCUUGCUACCCUGUGAGUUCAGCUUCUUAUCACCUUAAACCUUAAAAACUCAAAGAAGCUCAUUCAUGUAUUCCUUAACUACUUAAUGACAGCUGGUUAUGAAGAGAUAUUUAUAACAACAACAUAGUCCUUGGCUUAAUGGAAAUCACAUUCUAGUUGUGUAGAAACAAACUGCACAGUGGUCAGUGCUCCAGGAUCCAAAAGCAUCCCUCCCGGCUCAGGUUCAUCGGGCACAUAACUACAAAAUAAUAAAAUGCUAGCAUCCACCCAUGAGCUGUGCAGCCACAGGUUUCCAUGUUGCCCGGACAUUUCCUAUAGAACGGGUGUUGCAGUUUCACUGAUGUUCUGCAGUAACUGUGGGCUCCAUUGUUAAACUGGAGACCAAUCCGGUGUCUGCUUCUGCUGAGUAUCCAGGGACUGCCCUGGAGAGAGCAGGAGGAGAAAGAUGAUACAUUUUUCCUGUAAUGUGACUAUUUCAUGUCUGUUUUCUCUUUCAGGGAGAAAUUGGUAAUAAAAUAGAGAAGAUAUACAAACCUCUGGGUGUUUAGAGGAAUUGAAAUUCUCAAAAGCAUUAUUCAAAUUAAAUCUAUUUCUGUUCAUAUUCUGUUUUGGCUGCUCUCAAUGAUUAUUCCUGGCAUUUUGAUUAUAGGCAGUAAUCCCUUCUGUUUUCUCUACACAUCCCUGCUCCCUCCUAGGCUAAUCUUUUUGAGCUAAACAUUUUAGAAGGUUUGUGAAAGAAUCAUUAGCCAUCAUUAGAUUAUUUUUUUAACUUGGGCACUACAGCAGCUUCUGCCAAAAUGCCUUUUUCCUUUCUUUGUAUUUGUAGUGUGCCUGUGAAUGUGAUGGUAGUAUUAGAAAAUGCUAGAAAUAUUGCAAAAUUUUUGUUGUCAUGCAGAGAUGGCUGCUCUGUGUUUGCCAAUUGUGGUUUCAGCUGGAGAGCAUUUAGAUGCAAAGAUGAGGAUGUUUGUGUUUGAUUGUUGGAGAAACACAUACAUGUCAAAAGGAGUGUGUGAGUGUGUGUGUGUGUGUGUGUGUGUUGAGUCAAGAGGGAUUGAAAAGAAUUUUUAAAAAGAAAAAUAGAAAAAAAAAUCCUUCAGGAUAGUAGCCCUCCACUCUGCAACAAUUUGUUUUUUAUACCAAAUAAGGAACAGAUAUAAGGGUCCUUGCAAUUUUGAUAAGAGCGUCUAUGCAAAUACAUAUGUACUAAGUGAAAUAUAACUGUGUUGGCAGCCAGGGGUUAUGUACAAGUCCAUUAAGGUCAUGAGGAUUACUUAGGAGAGUUAGGACAAAUGAAGUUGCCAGGGCUGUGGACACGGAUUCUGAGAGGGAUCCCUCAGUUGGAAUACUUAGCUUAUGUAAAUCAGGUACAACACUCAGUCAAAACUCAGCAUGUACAUUCACUUUCUUAGUUCUCUACCAUUGAAUUUAUUUUCAACAAAAUCCCCUAUUUAGUAAAUAGUGGCAACUUAAGCUUAGUAAGUUCAAAGUAAACUCAGUAAAUGUGUUCUUUUAGUCUUCCUGUUUUCUUAUUGACGUUGCAUUCACAUUUUAGAAUAUCGAGGCAUUAUGAAGCAGCUGUCGUGCCCCUGCUAUUGAUUGAAUGUGUGUCCCUCCAAAACCCGUGUUGAAAUUUAACUUCCACUGCAACAGUAUGAAGAGGUGGGGCCUGUAUGAGGUGAUCAGGCUAUGAGUAAAGAGUUCAGUUCCUUUUUUCUGUCUCUUCUGUCAUGUGAGGACAUAAUGUUUGUCUUCUCUGGAAGAUGCAGCAACUAAAUACUGCAAUAACUAAGUUCUGCAGCACCUAAGUACUGGGAGCAGAGAGCCAUCUUCACCAGCCUUGAUCUUGGACUUCCCAGCCUACAGCAUUGGGAGAAAAUAUUUUAUUGUUUUAUUGCUGCAUCUGUGGUAUUUUGUUAUAGCAGCACACAUGGACUAAGACAUCUCCUGAUCCCAGCGGCAGGGUUUGUUUUCUUGGAGCCCAUAGCAACCCAAUGUCACAUCCAUCCAUGUGACUUUUGCCUGUUUGUCAUGCUGUUAUGCUGUACAGGGCUGUGUAAAGCUGCCCUAGGUCCCUUUGCUUACAUGUCUCUUGCAACUGUUGACAUCCUACUGUUUCCAUGCUGGGCUGGGGAAGCAAGGAACAUGGUGUACUGUUCUGAAAAUCCUGAACUGACCAAGAGUUUUUAUUUUGUUCCAUUACUACCCUGACCUAGACUGGGGGAAGGGGCCAGAUGCAUAGUAUUUCUCAGAGGACCUGACCAACAUUGGAAUUUCUUUCUUUUUUCAAUUAUUACUUUCUUUCCUUGAUUUUCUUUUACCUUUAAUACUAUUGUGUCUGCUGUGCAUAUUGAAAAAAAAUUUUGAGGGUAAAAAUGAAGAAUUGGCUGCUUUUUUGUUGUUGAGCAUCAUCUAGACACAAGCUCAGAAUGCUUUGACUGCUGUCUGAUAGGCAGUGGCAGAAAUUGCUGGGAAUGAACAACACAUCCAUGAGUAUCCCACAUGCCAGUUUACCACACAGGUGUGUGUGUGUGUGUGUGUGUGUGUGUACCUGCACACCUAAAGAUCACAGUUAAUGGUCUCAGGUCAAUUCUUAGUAAGUUAGACUUUGUGCUUCCCAAACUCCCAAGUUUAAGAAUUCAUACAUUGAUUACAAAUCAGUCAUACUUGCCUGGUCAUCAUCUUAUUGCAUGGCAUGGCCAUGCUGAAAUGCCAGACUCAAUUUAAUAUAGAUUGGAGAGGCCAGUCUGAUGGUAGUUCUGGCAUGAAUGCCCCCAGAUCAUUCUCAGCUGUCUCCAGAAAGAAGACUGACCACCUUCACUGACCUCCUCUGAUGUACUCAGCGGUGUGACUAUCUAUGUAUAUACUGGACAAGGAAGUUCAUCCUCCUGUGAUUUGGUUAAGAUAGCUUUAUUAUGUGUUCUGAAUAUAUAGUAAGAUGUUCACAUUGCAAAAAAUAAAAAAAAAUCAGAAAAUACAGGUGUUUAGAUAUAAAAGAGCACAGUAGUCUGUGGUUUUGCUCUCCAAGAUUUUGGUUAUUUUUGGUCAACUAUGGUUUAAAAAUAUCAAAUAAAAAGUUUUAGAAUUAAAAUAAGUUUUAGAUUGUAUACCUUUGUUUUAGUUUAUUAGUGAUGAUUAUUGUUCAUCUCGUAUUUUGCUUAACUUAUAAAUUAAACUUUAUCAUAGGUGUGUACAUAUAGAAAAGCCCACAGUGUAUGCAAAUUUUGGUAUUUAUCAUGGUUUCCUGCAUCCAUUGGAGGUCUUGAAAUAUAUCUCAAAUGGAUAAGGGAAACUACUGCAUUAAGUAUAUUCACAUCCAGAUGUAAUUCUAUUAAUGGGUUGUAGAUAUUUUAAUUUCUAACAAGGAUGUAGAGAUAUACACAUACACUUAUAUUACAAUAUUGUGUAUGAUUUCCAUUUUCCCCUUAAAUUAUAUACUUGAACAUCUUUACACAUCAUCAUGCAUGAUCUAUAUCAUGUUUUUUAUGGGAAUAAUAAAUUACUUAACUAAUAUCCUACUGAUGGACAUUAAGUUGUUUUCACUGUAAAAGUAGUGCUAAUACAAAAAUCCUCAUGUCAAAAGGAGCAGACAGUUAAUAAUAACACCAAUCUUCCACCAAAUAGUUUGCAUCAAUUUAGAUUUUUACAAUGUGUUCCAAUAUCAUGGUCCACAUCGUGCAAUUUGAAAACCAAGACAAAUCUGUGUAAAUGUCACCAAAAGUAUAGUCUGUUACAACCAUCUUCCCUAUUGGCCUGGCAUUACAAAUUCACUACUAAGGACAUUCUUAGGAAUUAAGCUUUUGUCCAUGAGAACAUGCUUGAAAUGCAUCUGUGAUCUGGAUAAGUGUUUUUGAAAAAAAAAAAAAAAACAGUCUGUGUGUGUGUGUGUGUGUUUGCGUGCAUGUGCGUGUAGGUACACCUUCUUUCCAGGUGUAUACCUGAAAGAAGAGCAGCAAUUGCAGCUAUAGGUACAACACAUUUAUGUUCCAGAUUUUUCUAGGAAAGAAUUGUAUUAUUUUCUAGUAAAAUGAUUUAAUUUCCUCAUAGAUACAUUCAUUUAUGUGCUGUCUUAUGUAUUUAUGUAAAGGCAUUUGCAACUUCCUAAAGUCUGCUCAUUUGUUUUGCUUUUCUAUCCCAGGAAGUACCACCAUUGGUAUGGCUUCUACCCUGAGUAAAUGCAUGCCACAUGUCGGGCAGUUUGGCCAGUCCAUAAAAUGAAAUCUUUAGUUCUAGGCCAUCAGGCAGUUUUAUAGCCACAGGCUCUUGCAUCUGGCUUCUUGUCCUACUCUCUAUCUGUGUAAAACAGUAAGUACCACCCUAUGAGCCUGGAUUCAUCUUCCUCUGAGAUACCCUGUCCCCAUCUGCUCUCAGAGCAUCCUGUCUUUAUUUCUGCCUUUUUGAGGUGAAGUGUGGGAGUAAAGAAUCAGAAAAUGUACAUUUUUUUUUUCCUGAAGGUUGAGUGGAGGCUUGAGGAUAUUUUUGUUAAAACCUUACUAACCUAUUUCAAACAGGUAACCUUAGACCUUCCCUCCCACAUCCCUAUCCUACCCUGUCCUGCCCUGUCCUGUUUGUGUUUAUUGCCUCAAAUUUGCUUGGCUUCUUUCUUUUCCUUUAUAUAUAUCCUUGCCCCCAAAAGAAAGGAAUUGGGAAAAUGCUAUUGUAGAUUUGGAAGGUGUGGAUAGAAUCUCGCAAUAUCUUCUUAUUUGAGAUAUACUAGAAAACAAUGGAAACAUAACAUGGGGGAUAUCUGUGAUAACAAAAAGAAAAUGAAAAAGGGUCGGGGGAGGGAGGGAAGAGCAGCAGAGGCAGAGGGAGGGAGAGAUGCAUCUGAGAGUUGCCACACAUGUUAAUGCCUGCAGGAUGGAAGAGCAAAGACUGCUGGUUUCUCAGUAUUGAUUUUCAGGAGAAUGCAAUGACUGUUCUGCAGGGAAUAAGGAGCUCAAUGAAGAAACAAAGGUCAAACUUGUUCCCCAGAGACAAACUCAGGGGAAAACAAAACAAAACAAAAAAAUACAUCAAUCCUCUUUGGCUGUAAUCAUUUCCAGAAGUUUGUGUUGUCCCUCCCCACCAUACCCUCCUUUUCUAUUUGCUUUACAAAAAAAAAAAUGUAGCUAAUGAAUGUGAAGCAAAUGAGCCCAUGACAGUUUAACUUUGUGUGCCUUCAUUUCUGAUUAUGAUCUGAGGUGGAGGGGGAUGCCUGGGACCCUUCCCCACUCUAGCCUCUUCUGUGCAAUCAGGAGCCAUGUUUUUUUUUUCUCUCUCUUUCUCUUUUCUUUUUUUUAAAUUCCAUAUCCAGGUGAAGCAGCAGUGGGCAUUUUUUUCUCUCUCUCCUUUGUAGGCUGCCUGUGUCAAGGGAAAGAGCUGACUUUUGACAUUGAAAUAAACAGGAUGUGAUCUUCCCCCAAACUGGGCCAGAUAGGAGAGCUGAGGGUGGCAGAAGGGACCAGGUGGGAGUUGUAGUGGGCACCUACCUGGAGAUUUCUAGAGGAAGGGAGAAAUAGUAACUUUUCCUAAGAGUUCUUCUGCUACUUCACAGAAGCUUUAUUUGUUUUACUCCCUUCACCUUUGAUACCCCCAUCUCCUUCCCUUGGCCAUGCAGGGUUGAUGAAAGUGGCAGAUGGAGGGUUAUAUAGACAGCAAAGAGCAUCGUCACAUGCCUUCCCCUAUUUAAGUUUAGAAUAAUGCUACUUAUGGGUGCGCAUUAUGGUUUUCUCUAUUUUGUUGAUGUGGAAAGUAAAACUCAGAGAGUUAAAUGACUUAGUUGGGGUCACUCAGCAGGGAGUAGAGCCAGAACUAAAAUCCAGGCUUCUGACUUGAAGUCUAAUGGUUUACAGGAUAUUACCCUGGUGUACCAGUUGUGUAUAUGAUUUUGCCAAGUUUAUUGGCAAUUUAGAACAUAUUUUGUUGUUGAUGUUGUUGUUGUUUUUAUAAUGUUUUCAAUAGUGGUAAGAAAAGUCUCGAGAAACAAAGAAAAGUUAAAAGGGUAAAAGAACUAAAACCUACAGAUUGAUUUCCUUAACACUAUAUUCUCAUCUCUAGGUAGCAGAGACACAUGGCUUAUCAAUCAUUAUAGUCAAAUCACAAAGUGGUUCAAAUUGAAAAAAGAAGUGAAUUGGUCAUGAAAAGUGAAGUGAGGACCUAUAGAGUAGAGGGAAGGGGCCUCCAGGAGGGUGGAGGGAGGGAAAGGAGAAAUACUGGGGAAUGAUAUUAACCAAAUUGUAUUAUUAUAUGCAUAUAAAUAAUAAUAAAUCCCACUAUUAUGUAUAAUUAUAAUGCACUAACUAAAAUGUGGAAAAAUAAAUAAAACAAAUAUGAGAGGUUAGUAUGACAAAAUAAAUAAAUAUAUUGGAAAGAGAGCACAUAAAUUGAUAAAAGAGGUCAGUGUGGAAAUAGGGAAAUUUGAGUGUUCUGGUUCUGGAACUGGAUUACCUGAGUUCCAGUGCCAGUCUCAUUGCUUUCUAGUUACCCAGCCUCAGGCAGGGUGGCUCACCUGGGUAAGUCUCAGUGUCCUCAUCUGUAAAAUGGUGGUAAUCAUAUUUAUCUCAUGGAUAAUUCUUAUAGGUUAACCUUGUGGAAUGAGAGAUAUUACUAUGGUUUUAAUACAAAGGCAUAGGCAGGGUAUGGUGUGAAGAGGCAGUCUGAAUCCUCCAUCUGGGGCACAUUUGGGGUCCCAUAGGCAAGUUCAAAGCCUUCUUUCUUGAAUGUGGAGGAUGUCCCAGAGGAAGGAAUUCCUUCUUCUUUAAUGGAAACAGUAAAGAAGGCAUAAAUCAGGUGGAUAUAUGCCUCUCAUUUGUGCUGCUGCCAAACAGGUGAUAUCGCAAUGCACAGAUAGAAAGAGGUUCUUCUAUGAUUCUCUGGCCCAGUUAGCCCCUGGGAGGGAGGCUUCUGGCUGCCACUGUGAUGAGAUCCUCUGGGGCAGUAACCUGGGAUUCCAAGACCCCAGUCCCUUGCCUGCUGUGAGGCUCGCUUGAGAAAAAUCCCUGCUACCCCACAGCCCUUCUAUUUUGAGGUCCAUACAUCUACUUAAAGGGAUGCCCAGAAAGCAGCUGGAGCCCCAGAGAUGGGGGGGUGCUGAUUUGUGAAUGGAGGACAGAGGCCUCCCAACAGUCUUUCUGAGCUAAGAUAGGUAGGGUCUGGGGGGAAGGUCUGGGAUCAGGCUUAAGCAGGUUAAGGGAACCCACACCUACCUCCAUCCCUCUGUCACUCCCAGGCAUCUACUUCUGCUAGAAAGCCACUGGCAUGCUUAACAAAGGUGGGGGUCUGAAAAGCACACACCUCAGUAUUUUUUCUUCUGAGCAGUGGAAAGGAAAGCACCCCAGGGAGCUGAUGAAUUAUUCAUUAAGCCUCGUGGGGUGGUCACAAGGGAGCAUUGCUGAGAUGCAAUUAAGUGGUGCUUUAAUUUGAGCAAUGUUUAUUGGGUUGUAGCGUAAGACGUUUAUUCCUAUCUUUGUGAAAACCACAAGUUGAUGAUAGAUAAGGGAAGGAAAAUCUGGAGUGGUUUGUAGAAGUUGAUUCCCUGAAUAACUUUACUGUAUCUCUGCUGGUCCCUGUCUAGCAUCCUAUGUGCAAGAUCAAUUUGAUUUUUAAUGUAAAAAUAAGUAACACUUGUUGAGGAUAAGCUCUAACAUAGAACUGUAUUAAGAACCUUUUUCUCAUCUGUUAUUAAACAGGCAUCUCAAUGUCACAUGCUGUCUAAAUCCAGCACACUGGUUCAUUUUAUUGAGGAUAGUAUGUUAAAUGGAUCUGGUGAGCACAAAGUAACCCUGACCCCUAUGGAAAGACAUUUGCCUGCCAGAGGGUGGGAAAUAAAUUCUACAAAAUUUGGGGUCUCCCAUCUAAUUAAAAUUUCUGUGUCCAAUGGUGCGAGACAUGUCAAGAUAUCCCUAGUAAAGGGUAAAUUGUUACAUAUAGUCCAUUUUAAAACCAAAAAGGAGACUCAGCAUAGUCCUCUUUAGAUUUUAGAGGCAACAUUUUUAUCCCUUGGGUGAAUUUUCCAGCUCAUUUACCAACUGACCCCAAAAAGCUGCUAGUUUUGAGCAAAAGAAGAUUCUACAAUAGUUUCAGGCUGUGUUGCAAGCCACUGUGCACUGUGUCUGAAACUGGAAUAUAAAUUUCACAAGGGCAGAGGUUUUUUUCUGCUUUUUCUAUGGCUAUAUUCCCAGAACCUUGAACUUAGGCCAGCACAAAAUAAGCACUAGAAUAACUAUUUGUUGAAUGAAUAAACACCCUUUGAGGUAACAGUUAUUUAGUUAUUAUUAUCCUCAUUUUAGUGAUAGGAAAAUGGAGAACUUGAAUUUAAGUUGCUCAAGGUCAUGUAUCGUUAAAUGACAGAACCAGGAACCAACCCUAGAUCAAUCGGGUGACUGAGCCUUUUAUAUCUCUGAUCAGGUGGGUUCAUCAGAACUCUCAGUUAUAGCUGGGGAGAAAAGGGAAGCCCACAUAUUUUCCCAGUGUUCAUUUACUCAGGUCAAGUUUAGAGUUCAUGUCUUCCAUGGUUCUUGUAUGGUCCCUUCCUCCCAGAACCAUGGAGCUCCUGGAUAAAAGGCGCACAAACUGAGCAAAAUCUGGGAUUUCUCCAUAACUGGUGUUCCCUGAAGAGGGCGCUCCAGGCAAAGCUGGAAACUGGAUGACACCACCCCUGAAUCACUUUAUAUCCACUUCCUUUCAUUUGUAGGUAAAUGGAUGGAGUUAGAGAAGAUAAUGCUAAGUGAAGUUAGCCAAUCCCCCAUACAAAAUGCCGAAUGUUUUCUCUGAUAUAAAGAGGCUGAUUCAUAGUAGGGUAGGGAGGGGGAGCAUGGGAGGAAUAGAUGAACUCUGGAUAGGGCAGAGGGGGUGGAGGAGAAGGGGGGGGACAUGGGGUUAGAAAUGAUGGUGGAAUGUGAUGGACAUUAUUACCCAAAGUACAUGUGUGAAGACCAAAGUGGUGUGAAUAUACUUUGUAUACAACCAGAGAUAUGAAAAAUUGUGUUCUCUAUGUGUAAUAAGAAUUGUAAUGCAUUCCGCUGUCAUAUAUAAAUAAAAAAAAUAUUUUGUGUUACUUGAUGAAGAACUUUUGUUGUUGUUGCCUAUUUUUCUUCAGAAUUUGUUAACUUUCAUUGAAUAUUCUUCAUGUAUUUUCUUGCGUAAUCCAAGAGAAUCUAGAUAGCGCUCAAUAUUUGGGAGAAUUUGUAAUAUUUCACUAAUUGUGAUGUGAUGAAUCCAGGGCUCUGCUGUGGCUCAAGAAACCUAGAUAUUAAGGAAAUUUAUGAAUAUUUACCUAUUUAUUACCCAGACACAUCUUGUAUCUAAAUGAAUGUUAAGAACACGGUGGUUUCCUGACUAAAAAAAACAACCCUCAGUCUUUUUUGCUCGUUGAUCCCCAUUAUUUUUAUUUUUUAUAAAAUGUAGGUUUAGUGCACAAGUUACCAGUGGUGAUUGUCUAUGUAUGUAAUCAUAUUCUUAAGAAGGGCUUAUUUUCUUACUCCCUCUCCUUGGGUAGUUACUGUAAUAAUCUUGAAAAUUUCUAGUCUGUGAUAAUAAAUACUUCAAUUUUACUUGUCUUUAUGAGAACUCAUUUCUCCCCAAAAGAUUUUUCCUUUUUUUAAUCUCCACUUUCUUACUAGAAUUUCUUAAAAUAUAAUUAACAAUAAUAUUAUUAUUACAGGCUAAGUAUACCUUAUUCAAAAUGCUUGGGACCAGAAGUGUUUUGGUUUUCUGUUUUGUUUUUUUUUCCUUUUUGAUUUUGAAAUGUUUGCAUAUACAUAAUGAGAUAUCUUGGGGGUUGGACCCAAGUUUAAAUAUGAAAUUUGUUAAUGUUUCAUAUAUAACUUAUAGCUUUAAAGAAAUUUUAUACAGUACUUUUCUGUGUGCUGAAUAUGACUCUACAUGUCACACAAGGUCAGAUGUGGAAUUUUCCACUUGUGGCAUCAUAUUGGCAUCAUGUUACCAUUCAAAAAAAUUUGGAUUUUAGACAUUACAGUUUUUCAGGUAAGGUAUGCUAAUCUGUAUUAGUAGCAACAGUAGUUGUGAUCCUCUAAGUAAUUUGAAAUAAUGCUAAAGAUAGAGAGAAAUUGACCUGCCUUAUUUACUACCAAGCCAUGCAUUUGGCAAUUUGUUAGUUCACUAGUGUUUCAUAACACAGGACUAUGAAUUGGGUGGCUUGAACAACAGAACUUUAUUGUCUCAUAGCUUUUGAGGCUAGAAGUCCAAGGUCAAGUAUUAGCACAGUUGGUUCCUUCUGAUAGCUAUGAAAGAGUCUAUUUCAUACUUUCCCCAACUUCUGGUGGUUUGCUACAAUCUUUGGCAUUCCUUGGCAUGUAAAAGUGUCAUCCAGAUCUCAACCUUCAUCUUAAUGUGGUAUGUUCUUCCUGUGUGUAUCUCUGGCCCAGUUUUCCCUUUUUAUAAAGCUUACCAGUUUUAUUGGGUUAGAGCCUCUCUACAUUAGAACAAGCUCAUCUUAAUCUAACUAAGCACAUGAGCAACAGCUAUUUUCAAAUAAGGUCACUGGAGUACUAGGUGUUCAGUCUUCACAAUGAGUUUUGAGGGUCACAAUUCAACCCUUAUCAAUCAUUUUUACUGAUAAAUAUUUUGUCCUAUUGAUAUGGUCACUAUUCUCUUUCCUGGUACAUGCUUUCAGCUCAGGUUUUCAGACAUCCUGACACCAUAUAGAACUAUACUUGAUUCCAUUGAGUUUUAUAGAUAGUCAAUUUUUACUGUAAACAUAAUGUACCAUUUAAAAAACUCUUUUAAAAGCAAAUAUGCUGUCAAACAUGGCUUAUAUCCUGGUUUAAGAAUCUGAUGACAAUCGAUGAUGAUAAUAGCUAAAUUGUUGAGAACUGCUUAUGUUUUAAAAAGUAUAUGAAGUACUUUAUGUGCAUUAUGUCAUUUUUCCAUACAACAACUUUAUGAUGCUAUUAUACUAAUUUAGAAAAGAGGACACUAAGGCAUGAUUUACUCAAAUAGCUUGCACAAACUAUAAAAGGGCAUUUAUGAAAGGUCCGCUAAGUUGGUAUAUAAGCUGUUUGUCUGAUCACUGUUGUAGAAGCCAGCCACUUUGAAUAGCAUAAGAACAUGAAAAGUGUCUCUUACCAAAAUGUUUUUUGGCUUUUAACAUUUUGUGUGUAUGCAGACAGCUUAUAUUUGAGGUAAAUUGACCCUGUGUUGUGAAUUGGAAUGUCAAGUGAACAGCUUGUACCUAGCCACUGGAAAAGAGUCCCUAGAGGCCAGCAUAACAUCUCAGCAAUGCAGAAUUACACUUUUUUAAAAAGCACCUUAACUGCUGUAGAUAUGAUAAAACAUGUGAAACGAGUGACAGAUUGUGAAAGGAAAAUCACAAUUUUUUUUGUGACAGUGUAAAAUCACAUAUUUUUUUUUUCAUGGAGACAAAAGGCCAACCAAAAUUGAGAAAAGAGACUUAAGUUGUAUGUCAGAUUGUACAACUGUUCACCUUUAUCCUCACUCUGAUUACCUAUACCAACCUCUCUGCCUCUGCUCUGAUUGACUGUGGGGUUAAGAGUCGUCUUCUCUCCACUAGCAUCCAAAACACCUUCAUGUUCUCCAGGGAGACUCUAGCAACACUAUUUGAAACUCCUGUUAUACCAAGGAGAUUUACUUAUGAAGGUUUCCACUUUGGGAUUUUCUCCAAGAUUGUUUUGAUAAAUUUUCCUACAGUUGAAUGUACCAUUGAUGUUUGCUAGCAUGCUAAUCCAGUUUAGGCAGUAAGAAGCCCCAAGUCUGUAGUUUGAGUAUCUAGUAUUGAGUAGAUAUGUUCUGAGAAGGCUCUAAAUAAGACCUUAGAGUGGUGCUUCUCAAACUUUAAUGUGCACACCCAUCACCCUGGGUUUUUGUUAAAAUGUAGAAUCUCAUCCAUCUCAGCUCUGAGAAGUAUCUCAUUUCCAACAAGCAUUUCCAACAAGCUCUCAGGGAUGCUGCCACUGAUGGAUCAUGGUCCAUACUUUGUGUAGCAAGGACUUGAAACAGUGGUUUAUUAAACAUAUCUGCACAUCAAAAUUACCUAUGAAGCUUUUUUUUUUAAAAAAAAAUUACAGCUUAAAUAAAUAGAAUUCAUAUAUCAUACAACUCACUCUUUAAAUUAUACAAUUUAACAGCUUUAGCACAUUCACCGAGUUGUGCAAACAUCACUGUAACCAAUGGUAGAAUAUUUUAAUCACCCCCAUGAAAAACCUUGUACCACUUAGCAGUAUAUUCUUUCAUUCCUUCCAACCUCCCUUCCCCCUAUCCCUCAAGCUUAGGCAACCACUAAUUCACUUUAUAUCUCUAUAGAUUGGCCCAAUCUGGCAAUUUCAUGUAAAUAAAACUCUGAUAUUUUGUAACUGGCUUUUUAUUUUUUACUUAGACAAUGUUUUCAUUCAUUUUAUAUAUCAGUACUUCAUUACUUUUUAUGGACAAAUACUGUUUCAUUGUAUGUACAGAUAACAUUUUAUUUAUCCAAUAGACAUUUGGGUUGUUUUUACUUUUUGGGGGGGGAGGGAUGCUAUUAUGAGAAAUGCUAUUGUGAAUAUUUGUAUAUGCGCCUUUGUUUGGAUAUGUGUUUUCAGUUUUAUUGGGCAUGGUCCUAAGAGUGGAAUCACUGUGUUAGAUGGUAACUCUAUGUUUAUCUUUCCAAGGAACUACCAGAUUGUCUUCCAAAGAUGCUGUACCAUCUUACAUUUCCACUAGCAAUAUAUGAGGAUUCCAGCUUCACUAUAUCCUCACCAACACUUGUCCUUUAGAUCAUAGCUCUCCUAACGGAUAUAAAGUUGUAUCUCAUUGUGACUUUGAUCUGUAUUUCUCUGAUUGCUAAUGGACAGUUUUUUAAAAAUAUUUAUUCCUUAGACCCUCCACCCCAGACUUAUUGGAUCAGCAUCUUCAAGAACUUGUAGAUGGAGAAAUGGAUAGUUUUUACUAAACUGUUCAGAUGAUUUUGAUAAUCAAUUGACCAUUAUAGUAGUUUCCCAUUCUAGUAGUUUCCCCAAAGGAAAUGUUUGAACCUCAUGGAGAAGGGAUCUCUGGUUGUAGAUUUCAAAAUUCCAUAAAUCAUGUGACUUGAUGGGGUAGAUGAGAAAAUGUAUUUCUUUUAAUACACAUAGAUUAGUGGAUUGUUGAUCUUCCGAAUGAAAAUAACUCCUAAAGUCAUAUUGACAAAUUUUUCUAUCGACAAUAGAUUUUUUUCUUAGUGUAUAUUCUUAAUAGAAAUUUGAUUUUGGAGUCUUCCUUGAACAUGAUUACAUGAUUUUAUGGUUUAUUUAUUUGAAUGGCUAGUCUGUCUCAGAUGUGAUUUGGAUGCCUCCAGAAUCUGGGAGCAAUCAAUUGGGUAGCAGUUUAAAAAAUACAUGAUAUCCGAGAGACUUGGGUGAUUUAGUGGAUGUGUUCAGGGACUUGGGAAAUGAGAAUUCUUGUUCUGACUCUAAUUUAUCUUGGCUAUUAGGCAAGUCACUUUCUCUUUCAUCUGAGUUGUCUCACCAAGUGAGACAGAAGUAAAUUACAGAUAAUAAAAUACUGACUCGGAUAAUUGUUGGUGUCUUGGUGCCCACUCUUGGAAGCUACCACUAAAAAUAGAUAACCAUUUAUUUACUGAGAGUUUUCUACUUGCCAAACAUUGCGUUAAAUGCUUCCUGGAUCUCUUAUUUAAUCUUUGUACCUUCCUCUGUAGUAAAUAUUGUUGUACACACUUUGUAAACCAGGAAAUUAGCAUUAAUAUCAGCUAAGAAACUUGGUGAAGGCUGUACCACUAUUAAGGUGUAGGAUACUGUUUUUUUUUUUCCAGACCUGAUUUUAAAGUCUUCAGUCUUCCUUCUGUAAGAUAAAACAAAAGGCCCCAAUAAUAUAAAAAACCAAAACUAAUUCUCAGAACUGUGUAAAGAAACAAAACCUGUGCAUUCUCCCUAGUCUCAUGUCUGUGCCUGUGCUGUUGUAGAAUGAACCCCAACGUGGAUGCACGUCUCGUCAUUGAUGGACAAGUGAUGUUAAUGUAGCUGAAUGAAGUCAGUGUAGAUGUGAGGGUCCUGCUGACUGUGGGUUGAAGCCAGGCUUAAUCCUAUGAUUCUGGGCAGAUUAACUUUUUGAGGCAAAUUGUAUUUAUUAAGUUCUGAUCACAAUACCUGUUUGAUGAGCUGAUCUAACAAUUAGAAAUAAUGGCUAAAACAUACAUAAUUCAUUGGUAUUUAAUAUGUGAUAAUAAUAAUGCCUUAUUUACUGGGAUGUAAUAGAAACACUAGCUCACCCAGGUUAUCUGACAUCCCAUUGUUUAGGCCCAAAAUCUAGCAGUAAUUCUUGAUUCUUCACUUUGCCUUAUAACUUAUAUUUAAUCCAUCAUCGAAAAUUCCCAACUCUACCUUCAGAAUGUUUCUCCUCCAAUGACUUCUCUUUGCCCUCACUUCUACCACUCCAGGGUGAGCCUCUUUCACCUUUCACCUGGAAUCGCCUUUUAAGAACAUAAAUCAGCAUUUGUUACUACCUUGAUCAAAGUCCUCCAAAGCUUUCCAGUGCACUUAGAAUGAAACUCAACUCCUUAACCAGAUAAUAUGAACCCCAGCAUCUGCCACUGGCUUCCUUUCUGAACUCAUCAUUAUGACUUUCUCUAUUCUGUUCUAUUUUCCUUUUUGCUGCUGACCUACUGGCUGGUUUACUCUUGGGCCUUUUAAUUGGGGGCUAGAAUUCUCCUCAUUCCCUCUCCUGAGCCCUUUGUCAGGUUGGCUUCUUUGUUCAUUUCAAAGAUAUCUACCCAGAUCCCCCAUCUGUAAUUUCCCUCCCACCUUUUGUCUGUCUUGGUCCAUUAACAUGAUUUAUUUUUUUCAGACCACUAUACUACUUUUAAUUUGGCAUACGUAUUUGUUUACAUAUAUGUGGGGAAACAAUUUCUUGUUUGAUGUUAACAAUUAGGGAAUGGAAUAGUUUGAAGGGCCAAUUAAUUGUAUGCACGAGAGAGCACAAUAGAACUCAGAGAAAGGAGAACCCAGAGGUCCAAUUCUAAGCAGCUCAAGGAGCUAGGUUCUUUGAAAGGGGUUCAAAUCCUAAUGUUCAAAUCAAGAACAGCAAGGGGGCAGUAAGUUCAUGCUGAAUAGGAGGCCAGAGGCAGUUUGACAUGACUAGAUGAGAGUACCUGGUUUCCAGAAAUGAGUGUGAUGUCUAGAAAGGCAGAUGGGGGUGGAUCGCUGAGUCUCAAAUGCUAGUUGCAGGCAUUUGUGAGCAUUCCAGCAAAGGACCUUUAUGUUCUCUAUUUUCAGAGCUGGCUUCAGUAAUGUCAGAUUGAGUUGCUAACACACAAUCCCAAGGGAGAGCCUCCUGGUUUAGAACUGCUGAAAUACCAGUGAUUUGCAUUGGUGAUUUUUGUAUGUAGUUAAGUGUGUGUUUCAAAAGCCAGACAGUAGUCAAGCCAGUAAGGAUGAAGCCAGAUUGGGUUCCUCUGAGCCAGAAAGUAACAAUAGCAGCUGGUUAUUGUUGAUUAUUGAAAAACAAGGUGUGCUAGUCCUGUUUGCUUUAGGAUAAGUGAUGCCAUUCUGCAGUUUUUCAAAAAGGAACUGUUUUGGUUGCCUAAGGAGGCUUAGACUUCACAAAUGCAAUUGCAUUAGUAAUGUUUUUGCCAUAAAGAAAACAAAGUGUUUUCUCAGUUCAGCAAGAGGCCUGUAGUAAUUUACAUACAGAGACUGCUGUGAUGAUUGGGGGAUUAUUUAUGGUGACAGGAAAAUGUGCACAUUUUUGUAUAUUCUUCUUUGCUCUCCCUUUUCCUUCAGGGAGAGAAGUUUAUAUUUUCAUAUUUCAAUGUCUUAAAGAAUCAAAGUGUAUGGUAAUGAAUGUGCCACGGUUGAAGUUUUUUCAAACUUCAAAGGCCAAGUGCCCUUGGGCACAGAAGGAACUGCCUGCCACCCAAGUGGUUGCUGGCAUAUACCUCCCCACUCUAACCACCUCAAGGCAGGCAGGUCCUCGGCUGCUCUGGGUGUUCUGAGGGCAUCCGGGAGCUAAAACAGAUGUCUCCCCAGAAAUGUUUCUUCCCAUUUGGAGGACGAAUAAGAGAACAGAGUGAGUUGAACUUGUAUGUUUGGAGAUGGUAGGAUAUUGGGGAAGCUGCUGCCACACAUUUCUUUCCUCAGGCUCUAUCUACCACAGCCUGGAUCAGCUUUCAAGCCUGGCCUGGCAAAUCAAGUGUCCACAACAGCCACCCAUCCUGCUGGAAAUCUGCUUCUGUCUUUAAUUUUAGUUGUCUUGAGUCUUUUGGCUAUGCUCCAAGGUACUGUGAAAUCUGAGCCAAUAUAUAUUGGAAGGAAAAGAGGGCAACAUUUUGUUUACUCGUGUAUAUAAAUAUAUAAGUAAUAAAUAUAUAAAUAAACAAAUACAUGCCUAUAAUAUUGUUAUGAUUUAGUAUAAAGUGUUCCCCAAAAACUUAUGUGUGAGUUAAUGCAAGAAUGUCCAAUGAUAAAAUGAUUAGGUAAUGAGAGUUUUAACCAAGUCACUGGAUUAAUCCAUUGAUGUGGAUUAACUAGAUGGUAAGUAGAGACAAUCAGGGUGUGCAUGGAGAAAGUAGGUCACUGGGGGCAUGCUUUUGGAGUUCAUAAUUUGUUCCUGGUGUGCAGAGCUCUCUCUGUGUGUCCUGGCUGUCAUGAACUGAAUAGAUUUCCUCUGCUGUGCCCUUCCGCCAUCAUGUUCUGCCUUACGUCAGACUCAAAGCAGCGAAGUUGGCCACCCAUGGACUGACUGUCUGAAACCGUGACCCAAAAAUUUCAUCCUCUAAAUUAUUCUUGUCAGAUAUUUUGGUCAUAGCAAGGAAAGAAAAGUUGACUAAAACAAACAAAUAAAAUGCAUACACACACACACACACACAUAUAUACACAUGUGUGCAUAUUUAUAGUAUAUAUUUCACUUACUUUAUAUGUAUCUGUGAUUUAUGUAUAUAUACAUUGUCUACUUUGUGUGUAUAUUCCACAACCCUUUGAAUGUUCUUAUAUUUCCUUUUUCCUUCUGUUUCUCCAGCAACUCUGCUGAGGUUGUUUAAGUGGGAAUUCCCUGACUCGUCUUUCUGACAGGAUGAGGAGGACAGAUGACGGAGCUCCGGCUAUUCUCAGGGUUGCAAGGCAGGAGACAGAAGACCUACAGGAAGCUUCCUUGCUGGAGUAACACAACAGAGUCCUGUCUGAGGCACUUCCGAAGGGGUGGGCUUGCUGCCCAUAAGGCUGGGAAAGACAGCUUUGGCUUGGCCUGAGUUCAUGAACAUUUUCCCCUAGAUAUCAAGAGAAGUUUUCUGCUUCCAGUUCAGUUUAGUAAGUGAAUGACAUGCUUUUCCCUCAAACUCCUGGAGAGGUGGAGGUGGAGAUGGAGAUGCUGAAUUUUGUACCUAGUUCAAUUUCAUAGGGUAGGAGGUAUCCCUUCUACUUCUAGUCUUCACAAUGGAUGGUUGACUAAUAUAGUUCAUGGUAACAGCCUGAAGGAAGACAAGGUUAAACCAAGGAAAGCAUUUUUCCCUAGUGAAAGGUGCCAGCAAGUUUCUUAUGGAUGAGUAGAAGGAGACAGUAAGAUUUUUUAGCUAAAUACAGCAUUUAUGUUACCUGUGGAUCAUAAAUUGUUAAAUGCAUAGACAGUUGACAGUUGCUUGGAUUUCAAUUCUUACUUCGGUUGUAGAUUUGCUAUGUAGGAGGGACUGAAAUAGGCAAUUAGAAUGACCUAUGAAAGACUGAGUCCAUUUUUGAUAUUUCCAUUAAAUAAGUUUUUUUCCUCUCAUAGCUGAACACUUAGGAAUUGGGCAAUAUUCCCGGAUAAUGUUUUCCCUACAGCUGGUUACAUGCUUAUAGCAUGUUGGCUUGUGGUCUCUCGUGAUGUCAGAGUGAAGGAAAGGCCAUUAGCUACUAAGUUGAAGACCACAGAUGUUCCCCGUUGUGCACAGGUUUUUCAGACGUAAAUCUCAAUGUUCUGGGAGGCUGGUAGGAAGUUCUGGGAAAUAAUUCUGGGAUAAAAGAAGUUUUAAACAAUGCCCAUUGCAAACACAAGGACACUGUAAAUAAACCAAAUCUCCUGUGUACUUCCCUUUCAGCCAUAAAUACAUCUUUUCCUCUUCUGGAUCUUGCUGGCUUCCUUGUACAGGGCUGCUAGCCUGCAGCACCCUUGACGACUUAGUUGAUUUCCACAUUUCAUCAAUUCCUUCCUCAUUCACCUGGACUUCCUGUCGCUCUUUUAGGAAAUACACUUCUUCCUGCAAUUGCUCAAAGCACAGACAUAAGACCUUCUUGAACCACCACUGGGGCAAGAGUGGAGAAGUAACUCAGCAGUCCCAUAGGGCAUGGUUCUUAAAGCCAUAGUUGGUUUAUUCUCACUCCUUCAUGGUUUAUGAGUCUUUUAGAUGACACCAGGUUUGUCUUUUAGGACUUAUAUAUGUUACAUUUUAUUUCACAGAACAAACAGAAAUUAUAGGAAGAAACCUCACAAUCUCACUUAUCAACCAUGUCAAUCUAUCUAUCUCUGCACUCAUGCUCCUCUCCUUUCCCGUUGUUCCAGUAGAGCAGUAUUUCUAAAAGUUUUGUCCCUAAAGUACCCAAUAGGAUUACCUGGAUUGUGUGUGGUUUUAAAAAAAAAAAGCUAGACCUAUUAAUUCAGAAACCUAGGAGGUAAGUAGGGCAGGAGAAUCUGAAUUCUAAUGAGCAUACUUGUGGCUUCUCAUGUACACUGGUAUUUAGGGACCACCACCUUAACCUAUUUACCAUGUUUUCUGUAAUGCAUUAAUCCCUUUCUCCGUAGGAAACAGAGAAGGGUUUCUUAUUUGUUAAAAUCAAGGAUCCUGAAGCUAUGACCCUUUUUUGCUGAGCAAGUUAUUUAAAGUCUAUGCUUCCAUUUCCUUAGCUAUAAAAUUAGGAUAAUAAGAUUACUUGUUUCUCAAAGGCUUAUUAGGAUAAUAAGAUUACUUGUUUCUCAAAUUAAAUGAGUAAUAUAUGUAAAGCAUAUACAAAUGUUUGCAUAAAGAACAUAUAACCAAGAUAUGUGUUUGCUAUUAUCUUCACUUAACAUUUAAACACAUGCAAGACUGUACUAUUUUUUUUAGACCAAAAUUUAAAAAAAAACAAAAUUCUUCAGAGCCUCUUUAUCUCUUUCCAGGGCCACAAUAAUAUCACAUUCUUUUAUAUUAUUUCCUUCAAAAACAUUUGUCUUUUCUCUCUCUCAUCCAUAAGGAUUUAGUAUAAGGUGAAAUACUGUUCCCAACACCACAUUUUAUUUUGUUAUCUUUGAAUUCUUUUUCUAUUGUUAACUCACUACCACCUUUUGCAGAGAAGCAUCAGACUUAGCAAAUGCCCCUGU
rnacentral:lncRNA from 1 species